UAAGGGUUGGUGUACGGAUAAAGAUAUAUUAUACUCUAAGAGAAGACACAAGUGUGAAUUUUGGAGAUUAUAUUAUUGAGAGGGACAAUUUCAAAUCCUGAAUAUGGACUGUAAAAUAAACAUUAAAGAUAUCAAAACUGUAAUUUUAUUUAAAAUUUUAGACAAUAUGUUGUUAUAGAGAACUAGUUUAAUAAGCAAUGCACUUCAUAACUAUAAUUGAUAUUGUUAUAAGUGAAAAGUUGUUAGAAAAAAUUAAAAUAAAAAAUAAAAAAAAUCUAUUAUAUUACAAAUUUGGUUGUUAUAACUAAAUAUAUAUUGUUAUAGAAGGUGAUUGUUAUAAAGAAUACUAUUUUUUAUAUAGGGCGAUUGACUGUAUUUUAACAUAUCUAUAAAUAUGAAAGAUACUAUGAAAAAUUUUAACUACUCAAUGGAUUUAAGAAUCGGUCUGCUUUAAUCUUUUGUUUUGAGUAAUAGAGGUAAGGCAUGACUCUCUUAUGCAACAAACCUUAAAAUAUUUAAGAACGUAUUUUAAUUUUUUUAAUAAUUUCAUCUCAACUCAUAAAUAGGAGGAUAGUACGCUGAAGCGUACUAAAACCCACAUAUUCUUACAUUGACACUGAUAAUCAUGUCAACCGAACUAAAAUUCAAUCGACAUGUAAAUUAUUAUUUAUAUCAAAUACAUAUUGAAAUUAUUAUAAAUAACAAUAGCACCCAAAAUGGGUUACUAUUAUCAAAGUGUUUAUAAUAAUUAUAAGGACAAGGUUGUCAAAAUUGAAUUCAAAAUAGCUGAACAAAAAAUUUCCUUGAAUUUUGAAUGAGACAUUUGAUUAAGUUUAUUUAUUUGUUUAUUAUUAUUCUCCUUUGAUUUAAAUGAGUGAGAUAGGAUGAGACGAUUUUAAAUAUAUCUAACAUUUAUUGAUGUAAUAAAAAUCUUUAAAUUUAAAUAUCUACGACGGAGCAAGAUGAAAUGGGUAGAGCAAUUUGAUAAUGAAAUGAUGCUUAAUAUCUGUCCCCUAUACAUAAAGUCCUGAAGAAGGCAUACAAAUUAUUUCUGCUAAAUGCUUGCACCCACCAUAUUUAGUUCUUGGUUUAAUCUUAAAGCGCCAAUAUUAUUUCAGUCUCAAAUGCAAAUUUUUAGUCUUCGAAUUUCUACACCAUGCGACACGUCGUAUUUGCUGAAUACCCUUUAAAAGCCAAGUCGAAAACCAGUGUUUCCAUGGAAAUAGAUUGGUAAUAAUUUUUGCUCAGAAACAACAAAAGACCUUGUAAUUUUACAACAUGUCACGAGCUUGUUGAGAGUAACAUUCCUAAGUUGCAGAUAAGAUAGUUUACUUCACCCGAAAAAGAAAAAAAAAAUGGGUGUUUCCAUUAUUAUUUAGGCCCCUCUUCAGUCCUCACUCUCAAAGCAUAUCCAACAAACAUUUUGGAGGAGAUCCCAUUGUCGGACGUGAGUUUGGUUUUUAUACACUGAAAUUAUGUGUUCAAAACUUAAAAUCUAGAUUCUGAUUAUGACAGUUUUUUCUUUUUUUUUUCUUUUUUAAUGCUAAGGCCAACCAUCAAAAGGGUGUCAUGGAGAUCUCACCAAGUCACCUUGCUUUGAUCAACGAAACUCACCUCCUCGAAGUACCUCGGUUGAGAUCACACCUCGCCUCAUGUGGUCAUUCACGUUUAUCAAUCGCAUGAAAAUCUGCGAAGAAAAGAUCCUAGAUAACUUCAUAGGCAUGUGUCAAGAGCUCACUAUGACUCAGUAGCUAACAAGCCUUUUCUCUAGCCACAACUGAUCUAGAGGUAUUUAUGGGUCGGGUCGGAUUUGGGUUGGGAGUAAGUAUUAUAUUAACACACUUUAUGUUCGCCCAAGCUCGUCCGACCCAGAAUAUAGGCUUAAUAUUUUGUCUAAGUCUGCACAUAUUUGCAAAUAGUUAACCCAAACUUAUUUUAGGCAUGCUAAUGUUAUUUUUAAAAAAUAAAAAAUUAUUAAUAUUAUUUUAAUUUAAUAUUGAAUAUUUUUAUAUUUUUUAUUUAUUAAAAUUUUAUAUAUAAUUAUCUUAACAAGUUUUUUUUUGGUAAAUAUCUUAACUUUUUUUAAUAUUUACAUUAUAAUAAUAUUAUAUAUUACUAUAAAUUUAAUUUUUAUGUUAUAAAUAGGGGUGAAACCACAAUUUUUUUUAGGGGACAAAAUUAAAUUAUAAUUUUUACAAUAACAAAAAUGCAAUUUCACCAUUUUAAUAGUAUAUAUCUUUAUAAUUUUUAAAUGAUUAAAUAAGAUUUUUAUAUUUUUAGGAUGGGGCAAAGCGUAAUUUUACCUUUACUAAUUUAAAAUUUAAAAAAUUUUAAAGGACCUAAAUGAAAAAUUUUUCAUUUUAAGGGGGUAGGGCACUUGCCAACCCCCUAAUUUCGUCCAUGGUUUUAAACUAUAUAAUAUAUAAAAAUAUCAUAAUAUAAAAUAUUACAAACUUAAAAGUGGACUGGGCCAGGCUUGGGCCUUAAAUGUUCAAGCUUGAGGUUGACCCAUAUUUUAAAUGAGUCUAAUUUUUUUACUCAAACCCAUUUUUCACGCCUAAUAACUUUGUCAAAGCCCUCCUAAAUUUCGAGUGGACCUUUGAACUUAGACAAAUAAACCAACCCGAACAGAUCUAAACUAGCCAAACUUAUGUAUAUUGUCCCAUGUACUUAAGAUACAUGUAAACCCAUUAAACAUGCUCUUACUCGGUAGAAGCUUCUUCUAUGAAUUUUCAACUAACUUGGCUCUUUACACAAUUAUCGUGUUAACCAUUAUCAAUUGCCCUACCACCUGUGUAUUAACAAAUUUGAAUGUGAAAAUGAAAAUUAAACUUGAAUUUUGUUUUAAUUAAUUAAUAUUAUUUUUCAAAAAGAAACUCUUAAACUUAUUAUUAUUACUAUUAAACAAUCCAACAAAAUUAAUUCUAACUCGGAUGAAUUCCUCGUAAAAAAAAAAUCCAAACUCCGACGUAAGAUAGCCUUUUGAACUAAUUUUCAAAACUUGUAAAAAGAAAAAGUGGUCCAACCCAAAACGAUGGCGACUGCAAAUUACAUUAAUGUUGAGAUAUGAGAAAUGAAGAAAUAAUUUAUUUUAUUUGGUUGCUUAUGAAGAAAUAUAUAUCAUAAGGUUGAAAUGAAAAAUUUGUAUUCUUGUAGGGUGAUUUUGGCAUUUAGGUAAGUGGGCAGUGGCAGUGUCCGAGUGCGACCCAAACGGUAGUAUUUUUAUCUUAUUUUAUUAUUUAAAGGAGGCUAAAUUAGGGAAGACAAUGUGGGAAAGGAAUUUUGCUGCCUGACAACGAACUCAACAGUGAGGGAGGAAAAGUCUUAAGUCACGCACUUUGCAUGGGGUCUGUCAAUGUCCACCCAAUCAUAUUCCGUCACGUGUACAUCUAGGUCAAAUUGAGUCCUCGUUUGUCCCUUUCACGGGUGUGCUUUGAAAACCCAUUCCGUGAAAGUGCGGUCACAAUAAUUAAUUUAUUUUUCCCUUGUAAUUUCUCCCUGUGUGCUGCCUUUUUAUUACCCGACCUUUAUAUGAUAACCGUUGAGAGAAAGGAAGGUGAUUGAUCUUAUCUUCCACGUGUAAGGUGGUGAUUUGCCUUGUGGAUUUUAGAGGGGAGGAUUGCUCAAUCAUUUAGUGCGGGGCCUACUUUUCCCCUUCUAUUUAUAGAAUAUUGAUUUUUCUAAUAUCGUGAAUCCAUCGGUUUCUUAUUAUUGUUUGAAAAAAUAUUGAAUUGAAAAAAAACGUGUCUGGACUUGGAGAAAUCGUUGUAAAUCUACAAAUUUGCAAUAAAAGUUAUCUAUGCAAUUAAACGACAUCAUUUCACUAUUUUUUAGAGAAAUGGAAAUAUAUUUGAUGUGUAGCUUAAAAUGAGUUGAAAAGAGUUAUUUUGAAUGGUUAAAGUGUUGUAAUUAAGAUUCCUAAAAGUUGGGUAUGAUUGAAUUUUUUUUUUCUGAAAAGAAAUCCGUUUAUAGCAAUUGGGCCUGAACAACAAACAGGAGAAGUCCACCAACAACUUACAAACCAAAGUAAAAACAAAACAAACAACAAACCGGGGAAAAAAAAGCAAAGAAAAAGAAAAUAAUUAAAAAAGAAGAUCAACAAAACACCAUAUUCUCCAUCUAACAAAUCUUUCAGGCGCUGUGUGUGUCAACAAACCUCAAAAAAAAUAAACGGUAAAAAAAUAUAUUCCAAAUCCAACAAUGCAACAUCUGGACAAGAAAGCAGUUGAGAAUGGCCACCCUAUAUCAGUAUUUCUCAAUUCCAUCACUGAAAUAGAAAAUGGGCUAUGGAGGUCGCCCACUCCGACGAUCAGAAUCAGCCACUUCCAAAGCUUUCAAAGGCACAUCUUCCACCCAGAACAAAUCUCCUUCAGCUCGCAUACCCUCAACAGCCAUUACAUGCACUGCUCUAUUCCCUUCUCUCGCAAUGAACUGGAAUCGACAACAUUGGAACUUCCUUGCCAGGUUCUUCGCGUCCCAAGUAAAUGGUCUAGACUCCGAGUAAUCCUCGCUUGAUUUUUGAAUAUUAUUUACCACCAGUCUCGAAUCACUCUCAAGAAUAACAUUUGAAAAACCCAAAUCAAGGGCAAAUUGGAGCCCAUGAAGGAGAGCAAGUGCUUCAGCAAUCGCCACCGAAUGAACCAAAUUGUGUCCUUGAAAUCCCGACCCCAUUAUAAAUCCCUCAUCAUUUCUAAUAAUAAAACCUGACACUACUCGUUUUUUGGCAAUUGACAAUCCCACAUCAACGUUAAUUUUUAACCACCCUUGCGGAGGGGGCGACCAUUUUACCAUGGAUCUCAGUUGGGGAUGUUGCGGAAGCGACGAUAAUAUUAAUAACAAUAUUAUCAGAAAUAUUUAGAUAAUUAUUAUGCCAACAAUUAUACUAAGAAAAUUCCCAAUUAAAUUGGAGGGGUCACAAAUGGUCCCGCUUAAAACCCAACAACUAGACAGAACUCACUUAGAUAUUUAUAGCAAUAAUAACUAAAUAAAUAUAACCAACAUAAAGCUAUUAAAUAUAAGCAAACAAAUAAGAAAUAAAAUACCAGAGAUUUAACGAGGUUCGGCCAAUUUAGCUUACGUCCUCGGACACUACCAAAUUAAUAUUUCUUCUAGAAAUAUUACAAAGGAGAAGAUUUUGGGAUGAUACAACCAAAGGGGGAGGGGUUCUAUAUAUAACAAACCAAACCCCCUCCCUUUCUAUCUUUUCCUAAUGUGGGAUAUUGCCGAUAUUCAACAAAUCUCCACCUUGGCGAUAUUCCACAUCUUCGAACAUCUUCUCAUAACACAAACUUCAAUAGUGUCUUCAAAUUUGCGCCAACGACGCCAUAUCAAAUGUGUCGGACAUUGAUCAAGUCUAAACAAUGUUCAAACUUGGCCCUUGUAACCACCUUAGUCAGCAUAUCUGCAGGAUUCUCCGUAGUGUGAAUCUUUUGGAGAAGUAUCUCCUCUUCUUCGAGAAUUUCCCGCACAAAGUGAUAGCGAACGUCUAUGUGCUUCGUUCGUGCAUGAAAAACUUGAUUCUUUGCUAAAUGAAUAGCACUCUGACUGUCAGAAUAUACCUUAAGUUGUUUCUGACCAACUUCCAAGUCUUUAAGCAAUCCAUGAAGCCAAAUUGCUUCCUUCACAGCCUCUGUAAUUGCCAUAUACUCUGCCUCUGUUGUAGACAAAGCCACCGUGGACUGUAAGGUAGAUUUCCAACUAACUGGCGCUUUCGCUAAAGUAAACAAAUAGCCAGUUGUAGACCGUCGCUUAUCCAAAUCACCUGCAUAAUCAGAAUCACAAUAUCCAACUAUGCAUUGACCAAAUGAUUCAUCCUGCUCGAAUGCCAAUCCGACAUCUAUGGUAUUUUGGAGAUACCGCAGAAUCCAUUUCACAGCUUGCCAAUGACCCCUGCCCGGAUCAUGCAUGUACCUGCUAACAACACUAACAUCCUGUGAAAUAUCUGGUCUUGUACAUACCAUUGCAUACAUCAAGCUUCCAACUGCAUUUGCAUAUGGGACUUUUGCCAUGUACUCUCGUUCUUCCUUAGUCGUUGGAGAUAACUGGUUACUUAGUUUAAAAUGAGGAGCAACUGGGGUACUUACAGGUUUUGUACCUUCAGACAUACCGAAACGUUGUAGUACCUUCUCCAAAUACUGUUUUUGUGACAGCCAAAGUUUGCCCCUCUUUCUAUCCCGAGUUAUUUCCAUGCCGAGAAUCUUCUUAGCUUCCCCUAAAUCCUUCAUCUCAAACUCUUUACUCAACUGAGCCUUCAGUCUAUCAAUCUCCAUUUGGCUCUUUGCUGCAAUCAGCAUAUCAUCAACAUACAAGAGUAAGUAGAUGUAGGAACUAUCUUGAAGCUUGCGCAAAUACACACAAUGAUCGUAUUUGCUUCUUUUGUACUUCUGGUCCUUCAUGAACCUGUCAAAUCGUUUGUACCAUUGUCUCGGAGAUUGUUUCAAUCCGUACAACGAUUUGCUAAGUUUACACACCCAAUUUUCUUUACCAGCAACCCUGUAUCCAUCUGGCUGAGUCAUAUAGAUUUCCUCCUUCAAAUCACCGUGUAGAAACGCGGUCUUCACAUCAAGUUGAGCUAGCUCCAAAUUCAACUGCGCUACCAAGGCCAACAAAAUUCUAAUGGAGGAAUGUUUAACAACUGGAGAAAAUACCUCAUUAUAGUCAAUUCCCUCCUUCUGAGCGUAGCCUUUAGCCACUAACCUUGCCUUGUAACGAACAUCUUCUUUGUCGGGAAAUCCUUCUUUCUUUGCAAAUACCCAUUUGCAACCAAUCGCCUUCUUCCCUUUUGGUAGUUGUGCCAACUUCCACGUCUUGUUUUUCUCUAGAGAUUGCAUUUCCUCUUCCAUUGCACCUAACCAUCUAUUAUUCUCUAAACUCUGAAUGGCUUCGGUGUAAGUGGAUGGAAUAUUAUCAACAACUGGAAGUGCAUAAGCUACCAUGUCAGUGAAACGAGCUGGUUUCUGAAUUUUUCGUCUCUGCCUUCUGACUGCAAUUGGCUCUGAUUGCUGUUGAGGUUCUUGGGUAGAAACCUCUUCCUCAUCUGACUCUGCAUCUGCCAAUGAAGAAUCACUAGUGGUACCUUCUACUGGAAUUACCACACUCUGCUCAAACUCCACCUGCUGCGGAGUACACUCCACCUGCUGCGAAGUACUACUCACUCCUUCUGGAUUUACCUUAUUCAACAUGGCAGAUUCAUCAAAGGUAACAUCCCUACUGAUUAUCGUCUUCUUUGCCUCUAGACACCACAAACGAUACCCCUUAACACCAGCAUUGAAGCCCAUGAAUAGAGCCUUCUUUGCUCUUGGAUCUAACUUUGAUUCUUUCACAUGAUAAUAUGCAAUAGAACCAAAAAUACGCAAGGUGUCAUAAUCAGUAGCAGGUUUUCCAUACCAUUUCUCCAAAGGAGUCUUGCCAUUUAUAGCAGAUGAUGGCAAAUGAUUGAUGAGAUGUUGAGCGUACGUCACAGCCUCAGCCCAAAACUUUCUAUCUAAUCCAGCAUUAGAUAACAUACAUCGAACUUUCUCCACAAGCGUUCGAUUCAUACGCUCUGCCACCCCAUUCUGUUGCGGUGUUCCACCUACGGUGAAGUGCCUUACUAUGCCACAAUCUUGGCAUAUCUUCAGGAAUGGAUCGCUUUUAUAUUCUCCACCGUUGUCUGAUCGGAGAACCUUAAUCUUCCUUCCUGUCUGAUUUUCAACUUUAGUUUUCCACUUAAGGAAAACUUCAAGCACCUCAUCUUUGUUCUUCAUAGGAAACACCCAAACUCGUCUGGAAAAAUCAUCAAUAAAGGUGACAAAAUAACGUCUUCCUCCAAGUGAUGGAGUCUUGGACGGUCCCCAUACAUCAGAAUGCACAUAAUCCAGAAUACCUUUAGUAUUGUGAAUCCCAGUGCCAAAUUUCACCCUUCGUUGUUUUCCCAGAACACAAUGCUCGCAAAAUUCAAGUUUGCAAGUCUUUGUACCUUUCAAUAAUCCUUACUUGGCUAGAGUUUGCAAGGAUUUUUCACCAGCAUGGCCCAAACGCAUAUGCCACAGCUGUGUUGCCUCAGCGUCCUUCUUGGUACUCGAAAUUGCUGCUGCUGUUGUCCCAACUACUGUACUACCUUGGUAGUAAUACAGAUUGUUCUUUCUUAUGCCUUUCAACAUCACCAAUGCUCCUGAAGUUGCUUUAAGAACUCCAUCUCGUAUUGUCACAACUAGGCCUUCAGAUUCUAACGACCCCAAAGAGAUGAGAUUCUUCUUCAACUUUGGGACAUAUCGUACAUCCCGCAAAAUUCUAGUAGAUCCAUCAUGACUCCUCAGUUUAAUUGAACCUAUCCCGGCUAUUUUACAUGUGUUAUCAUUACCCAUGUAAACAACCCCUUCAUCUAGUUUUUGAAAUUCAAAGAACCAUUCUCGAAUGGGACACAUAUGAUAGGAACAACCAGAAUCCAUGAUCCACUCAUCUGCAUAUAAUGUUGAAGAUGUCAUACUAAGAGAAAAGUCUGACUCUGCUUCACUAUUGCAUUCUGCAACAUUUGCAUCUUGCGGAGUCUUCCAUUUUUUCUUCAAUUUUGGACAAUCUUUCUUCCAAUGUCAUUUUUCUUUGCAAAAAGAACAUUCAUCUUUGGCAACAGCUCGACCUUUGGACUUUCUUCUCUUCCCCUUAGACUGACUUUGCUGACGACCUCUUGUUACCAAUGCUUCCACUGCUGCUUCACCUGAACCUUUCAACUUAUCCUUUCGGCGUAGUUCAUAGCUAUACAAUGCAGCAGUUACUUCAUUGAAAGUUACUUCCGAUUUUCCAUGAAGUAGAGUAGUUUCAAGGUACUCAAACUCCUCAGGAAGCGAUCCCAACAACAUUAACGCCAAGUCUUCGUCUUCAAAAGUCACAUCCAAAUUCAACAAAUCAGCCACCAGCUGAUUAAAAUUGGUAAUGUGCUCGUUCAUCGUGGUACCAGGAACAUAAUUGAAACGAAACAGUCUUUUCUUCAUAUGCAACUUAUUUUGACUGUUCUUCUUCAAGAAUUUCUCCUCCAAUGCUUUCCACAAUUUACUUGCAGAAGUCUCUUUACUGAAUGUAUACUUCUGCUCUCUGGAAAGACAUGAUCGAAUUGUACCACAUGCCAAUCGGUUGAUGGUCUUCCAUUCUUUAUCAUCAACCCCUUCUGGUUUUUCUUCCUCAAUGGCAAUAUCUAGACCCUGUUGAAAGAGGGCAUCUAGAAGCUCACUUUGCCACAUGCCAAAAUGACCUGUUCCAUCAAAAAUUUCCACUACAAAUAUCGUAUUUGCAGUUCCAAUCCUCGGCAAAAUGUACGAAGUGGAAGUUGUUGAUAUGGAUGGUUUUUCUUCUGUCAUUUUUGCCAUAGCUUCUACUUAAUAGCCACCAAAUGCAGAAUACCCACAAGCUUUAGGAAAUGUUUCUGAUGUGUAAGAUCAGACUAAGCUGCAAACACAGAGCAUACUACAAAACCUUGGCUCUGAUACCAAUUGUUGCGGAAGCGACGAUAAUAUUAAUAACAAUAUUAUCAGAAAUAUUUAGAUAAUUAUUAUGCCAACAAUUAUACUAAGAAAAUUCCCAGUUAAAUUGGAGGGGUCACAAAUGGUCCCGCUUAAAACCCAACAACUAGACAGAACUCACUUAGAUAUUUAUAGCAAUAAUAACUAAAUAAAUAUAACCAACAUAAAGCUAUUAAAUAUAAGCAAACAAAUAAGAAAUAAAAUACCAGAGAUUUAACGAGGUUCGGCCAAUUUAGCUUACGUCCUCGGACACUACCAAAUUAAUAUUUCUUCUAGAAAUAUUACAAAUGAGAAGAUUUUGGGAUGAUACAACCAAAUGGGGAGGGGUUCUAUAUAUAACAAACCAAACCCCCUCCCUUUCUAUCUUUUCCUAAUGUGGGAUAUUGCCAAUAUUCAACAGGGGAUGCUUCAAAUUCUUAGCAUUACUACGAUAUUCCAACCCAAAACUCCUAAUGAAGGUAACAAUUUCCUCCAAACUUUGCACCUUUCUUUCAUGUAUAAAUUUAUUUCGAGAGAACCAGAUCGCCCAGAUAGUAACAACAAUUACCCCUCUCCUAUUCUUAUCAGAAUUCUCUAACAGCCAACUCAGCCACUCAUUAAAAUUUAUCAUUGACCUCGGCCACUGGACGUCUAACUUGGACCAAACUUGUGCAUCAAACAAUCAAUCCCGAACAGCAUGAGUAGAAGAUUCACACCCCUGGCCACAAUACGGACAACAGUUAUCAGAAGACAAUCUCCUAUAAUGUAAGUUUUGAAAAGUAGGCACAUAAUUUUGAACAAAUUUCCAGAUUAAGAUGCGAAUUUUUGAAGGACACUCUAAACUCCGUAUCUGCUUGAACAUUUUUUGCUCGUUGAUGCUCACAUUAGAGUUAUCCAGUAACAUUUUAUAUCCACUCUUUACAGAAUAGAUACCCGGAUUUUCGCUAAACCAAACUACUUUAUCUGAUUGAUCAGUAGUGGGAAUAGGUAUACUCAUAAUCUGUUCAGCUUCUCCCACAGAAAAAAGUUGAGUAAAUAAGAUCUCUGUUCCAACAAUUAGGUUCCUUCAGAGUUAACUCAGCCACCCAAUCCAAACCAGCCACCCUAUCAGCAUAAAUAGAACGUUGAGCUUUUUCUGGCAACCAAUGAUCUUUCCAUAUUGACACCGAUGUUCCAGACCCAAUUCUCCACUUCAAACCAGACCCUAACAGGCCUUUAGCACACCAGAUACUUUUCCAAACAAAUGAUGGAUUCACUCCUAAAGAGGCUUCCAUAAAAUCUAAUCCCCUAUAGUACUUUGCUUUGAGCAAACACGCAAGUAAAGAACACGGGUUUUCCAUAAGCCGCCAACCCUGCUUAGCAAGAAGUGCGAUAUUGAAUUCGGUCAAAUCUCGAAAGCCCAUCCCGUCCUCCUCUUUUGGUACAGACAGCUUCUUCCACGAACACCAAUGAAACCCUUUUUUCCCUGCUUUCUUUUGCCACCAGAAUCGAGCCAUGACCGCUUCUAAAUCCCUACAAACUGCUGACGGUAACAGAAAAAAAUUCAUAGCAUACAGUGGAAUAGCCUGGAGUACAGCUCUGAUAAGGACCUCCCUCCCCCUAUGAAAAGUAAUCUCGAGCUCCAACUUGAGACUCUUUUAAUUAGCUUUUCUUUAAGUUCCUUAAAAGCCCUUUGUUUGUUACUCCCCACCAUUGAUGGGAGACCAAGGUAAUUCUCCAGGUUUAGAUUCCUAUUAACCCCCAGACCCCUACAAAUUCCUCUCUGUUAAAUUGAUCAACAUUGGAACUGAAAAAAAACCCUGACUAGUCAAGAUUGACUUCCUGACCAGAACACUUAGCAUAGGCCUCUAAAAUUUCUUUGAUCACCACUGCUCCAUUGACAGACACAUCUCCAAAGAUAAGGCUAUCAUCUGCAAAAAAACAAAUGGGUGAUUCGUGGGGUUUGCCUACUAACCCGAAAGCCAUUAAGAACUCCCCUUGAAACAGCCCUUCUAAGAAGAGUCGACAAUCCUUCACCACAUAUAAGGAAUAAAUAAGGACUAAUAGGGUCCCCUUGGCGAAGGAUAUUCAUGUUUACUCUAUUUACAUUUAUGUCUAACCUUAGUAUAUUAUAUAUAAUUUUUGUUUCUAAUCAUUAAUUUUAUUUUUAGUGAUUCAUAUAUAUCAUUUUUUAAUUCUCAAUCAAUGUUAUACAUUUUUUCAAAAAUUCCUAAAAUCAAAUCCAAAUUAAGUCAGAUAAUUGAAGGAUUUUUAUUUUGGAAUUUAAAUAAAUUACUUUUUUUUAUGUUAUAAAGAUUUAUAACCUAUAAAUUAAAUAAAUAGAAUUUAAUUCGGAAUUUAUAAAUUGAAAAUUGAAACUACAUUUAAUCAUUUAAAAAACUUAAAUAAAAUAUUUGGAUUGAUUUUCAAUUUUCUUAAUUUUUUUCAACUUACUUUUAUAUCAAAACGGUGCUUAAAAAGUUCCGUUUUCCUUGGUGUUUGCGUUUACGCCUAAAACACCAUUUUCAAAGUCAAAAACAAUAAUAGGCGGGGGGGACUACGCAAGGAAUAAAGUGAUAAACUCGUUUUACUAACAAGGGAAAUAUUAUUCUUAAUUAAAAUAUACUCAAAAACCAUUUUGAAAGAAAAAAAAAAUACAAUCACGUUAUCUGCAAUAUACAAAAGGAGGACAUGGAAACGGAAAAGAAAUAGUGUUUUUGUGAAUUAUAAGAGAAUGAUAAAGCCUUAAUGGAAACGCGAUUAAUGUAAUUCAAAUUCAUAUCACAUCUAAUGCGGAUCAUCAUGUCAAUACACGGAGUUCAAAUUAAUGGUUUUUUAUGUACCAAAGAAAGCAUUGCUUAUUACUUUUUUGAGCAAAAACUAAAAAUUUUUUGCUUCUACUUUUGGUUAAAAAAAUAUUUUUGCAAAGUACUUUUGAUCCCAAAAAUAUUAUUAAAAAACUCAAAUACACCUUAUUUGUUUUAUUUUAAAAGUGCUUUUGUCCCAAAAAUAUUUCUUGGAAGUAACCCUAAAUUGACCCGAAGUAAAAUAUAUGAGUCAUUAAAAAAAAUUAAAAUAUAUAGGGGUAUGUAUUUAUAAAUGAAAUAAAUUUCUAAUUUUAACCGUUUACAAUGUGAAAAUGCCAUGCAAAUAACAUGUAUAGCAUUUAUAAAUUUAUGGGAAGGGAGAAAACAAAAAUAUUAUUACAAAAUGUAUUUUAUAUCAAAAUUUAUUAUUUAAUAACUAAAAUGUUGAAAUUGCUUCCAUUUUUAGGCUGGCAAAUGGCAAUGCAUCCUUGGUUUGUUGCCAAAUCAAAUCAAAACAAUUGACCUAUAAUACACUUAAACAAACUAGCUUUGAUCUAAGCUAUUACUAUUAAAUAUUAGCUCCCAUAAGGUUUUAAUUAAUUACUAUCUCUUUUAUCAGAAAAAAAGUUGCAGUUUGAAACAUGAAAAGAGAAUUCAAAUAUUGCACAUUAUUUGCACACACUUUUUUUCUAAUUAUCAUCACGCGAGAUUAAUUAUAAUAAAAAUAUAAAUAACAACAGAGUAAUCUAAUUAUUUAUGAUUUUAAUCAAUUUUUUUAUUAAUUUUUUAGAAAAAUAAUAGUUUCCCAUGAAAUUAAGAAAUAUUUUAAAUUUCAAAUUAAAUCAUCUAAUUGAGAGAGAAAAAAGUAUUAAAGUAUUAGUAAGAGCUAAUUGUAUCAAUCAUCUCUGAACUAUGAUUCUCAUUUUAAAGUAUUUUUUAAACUCAAAAAUAUUUUAAUUACAUCCUCAAACCAUCAAUGAUAUAUCAAUAAGGGUCUUCUGUUAUUAAAAUAUUUAAUUUAACUGUUAAAUGAGACGUUAAAUCUUACAUGACAUAAUUUAAAAUGAAAAAUUUAAAGAAAAAUAAAUAUUGUAAAAAUAUUGGUUUUGAGGUUUUCAAAGCUUUUACUAAAACCAUUGUUCACUCUCUAAUUUUUUCAAUCUUACUCUUUUUUUUUUUGGUUUUUAAUUUUAAAAGUUAUGGGACAACAUUUUUUUUCUUUCAAAUUUUCGUUUUAAAUUACGUCACAUAAGAUUUUACGUGUUAUUUAAUGGUUUCAAUAAUGGAAAGACCUACUUGAUAUAACAUUUGAUAGUUUAAAAAAUGUAGUUUUGAAGUUUAGGGACCAAUUUAAAAUAAUGGUAAUCAUAGUUUGUGCAUGUCUUGGAAUUAACCCUAUUAAUAGUUUUAAAGAAAAUAGGAAAGUGGAACAAGUUUUAUGGACAACAGCAAAUAUGUUUCCGAGGAUGAGGUAGUCAACUUCAACACUGGCUUUUGCACUAUUACGAUAUGUUACCAUAAUCUCGAGCUGUCAACAAUUGUUAGCUACCUUUUCUUGCCUUAAUUACGUGGAUUUGUUCUUAUCUUUUUUGUUCUUUUUCGGAUAUACUGCACCCAAAACAAAGGAAAAAAGAAAUUAAUUUGAAAGCGUAUUCUAACUGUUUUUAAUUCCAGGCUUGGAUCCACCAAAAUAUCCCAUUUCAAACUUUCAAGAACCGACUAAGAAAUUAAAACGUAAAUUUAUAUAUUUUUUUUCCUUCCUGAGAGGAACAAACAAAUUAAUUUUACUUAGAUGAUAAGCAUGUUAUAAUCUAAUCUUCGAAAACUUUCUUUUACUUAAAAUGAGAGAUAUUUAUAUAUUAAAUCCCAUAUUGAUAAAUUAAUUAUUCAAUCACCUCCUUUAUCAACACAAGAUGUUAAAAGGUGUAAAAUAUUCUAUAUUCUACAAAAAAAAAAAAUUGUGCAUUAUUGGAAAAGACAAACUUACUUGUUAGGUUGCCUUAGAGGUUUAUCUUAAUUGUUAUCCUUGGUACAAUCAUUUAAUUUUUAAUUUUCCAAGCUGGUGAAGAUUUUUUUUGUAUAUUUGUUUUAAAAUAUAUCUUAGAGUUAGGAUACAUAGUGAAGUAGAACAGAUGUCUUCAAAGUCACCACUGCUUCAUAUCUGAUAUGCUUUGUCUCAUUUCCGUUCUGGAUGUGUAAUAUUAAAAAUCACUAUCACUUAUAUGGAUGUUAGAUAUAUUCAUUCCGCUUCACUUUGAUUUGGUUUUUACUAGUUUUUUUUUAAUAUUUUUAAUCUUUUUAAAGUGCCAACAAAUAUUUAAACAUAAUUAUUUAAAAAUAUAUUUCUGAUAGUCUCAAUUUAUUCUUUAGAUUUGGAAAAAGAUAAAAGAAUUUAAAAUAUUUUUCUAUAACAAACUUUUUAGAUUUUUCCCUCUUAAUAAAUUUACGUUUAAAGAUAAAAUUGUAAUUUCCUGCGGUAAAAUAAAGCAUGAUAGGAUAUAUAUAAAAAAAAACUUAUCCAUCCCACAUUGCAUCCAUUUUUUAGAAAAUUAUUCACUUCAUCCAGAACGAAUAUUCUAUUAAUAAUCUAUUUAAAUAUUUAAGUUUUACCAUCCUACGUACAUAAACAUAGAUACUGUAAAAUUUGAAACUUUCACUAGGGAUAAGUGAGAUGAUUUUUUCUAUUGAAUUUUGCAAGGAUAUACUCGUUCCAUCUAUUUUUAUUUUCUUAAAAACCAACUAUAUACAGUAUUACUAUAGAUGUUUAACUUUUUAUUCUGGUAAGUAAUAAAGUUAAAAAUUAUUUUUCAUUAAAGAAAAAACUUCACCUAAUUAGUUCCAUUCACAAAAUUAAAAUCUCCAUCCUAAGAAUCUAAGUUAGGAAUCUAGAGUUUGGUCCACACUUACAUAUUUAUUAUAUAUAGAUAACCCCUAACUCCAAAGGGGUUGAUAAUAGUUAUUAUUACUAUAUAAGAAAUUGGUGUGCCAUGCAAAAUUGGCAGAGAUUGCAGCUAAGUCUUUCAUAAUAUAUGAACAAAUAGUAAACAAUAUAGUCAAGUGAUGAUGGGUAUGAAACGCACAAAAGCAGAAAAAAAAAGAAAGGCAAGAGGAAAAUAGCUUUUAGCCAUGCCUCUUACAUAUAUUUAAUCAAUGCUUCAAUCAUGUCACUGUAAAUGUAAAAAAAAAGUCUACUACCCCAUGAUCAUGAUGUCAAUAUAUAUAUUUUCUGAUAUGGUAUAAUACAAGCUAACACUCCUUGAUUUUUUUUUUUCAUCUUCUUUAGCUUCUUAGAAGGCAAAUAGACAAUUAUUUUAUUAUUAUUAUUAUUACAAGGGGGAGUGUGAAGAGAAAAGAGGAAAAAGACAGAAAGUGCAACAUCAGAGGGGCUCCCCACAACCCUUUGGCUUGUGGUUUUGGGUUCUUGUUUUCGGACAGCUUUGAGGAUUAAACAAGCAUUUCUCCUCAUCCACAUCUCUCUUUCUCUCUCUCUCUCUCUCUCUCUCUCCCACUCUUUGUCUGAGUUUUAUGAGUUGAUCAGUUUCAUAAUUUUGUAUGGUUAUUGUUGGAUGUUGUUUUAGGUUUUUAUUCAUAACAUGAAGCUUAAAAGUGGAUAGAGAUCGAGGAUCUGCAUAAACCUCUAUAUCUGGUUACUUAUAUAUAGAGAGAAAGUUAUAAAUACUUACAACACUGCUUAUUCUAUUUGUUUCUUUUGAGAGAAUUUCUUUAAAAAAAAAAAACAUUGUCUCUUGGGUUGAAUCCAAUAUGAUGAUGAUUAUUUUAUAUAUUCACCCAUGUAUAUUAAGCCUAGCUAAUCAAGUAUCAAUUUAUUUCUCUUUUAUCACUUAGUUGGUGUUUUUUUUUUGGGUUUUUUGUCUUUGGAUUUUCUUUUUUCCUUUUUUUUUUUUCCCUUUUUUGGUUUGUAAAAAACCAAGAUCCAUGGCCCAUGAUAUGCAAACUCUGGAGGUGGUCAAGUUCAUUGGUUUAUGUAAGAGAAGAUGAUGAAAAGCUUUAUGUUCCACCAACAACAACAGCAACAGCAACAACAACAACAAGUUUUGGAAGAGAAUAUGUCUAAUUUGACUUCAGCUUCUGCAUCUGGUGAAGCCAGUGUUUCAUCUGGGAAUAGAACUGAAGCCGGUUCUAAUUAUCCUCAACAGUACUUCACCACUAGUCAACAACCUCAAACUCAGCCAGUUAAGAGAAAGAGAAACCUACCAGGCAACCCAGGUUUGGUUUGGGUUCAAAAAGCUCUUUACCUUAACACCAUUCUUUUUUGUUACUUGUUUUGUUCGUUUCCUUUCCUACUUUCACUUUCCUUGUCCGGGACUCAAUUUUUAAUGCAUUUUCUUGGUGGGUUUUUUAUUUUUUAUUUUUUAUUUUGAAUCAUACCCAGAUGCAGAAGUGAUCGCUUUGUCGCCAAAGACACUCAUGGCGACAAAUAGAUUCGUGUGUGAGAUCUGCAACAAAGGGUUCCAAAGAGACCAGAACCUUCAGCUUCAUAGAAGAGGGCAUAAUUUGCCAUGGAAGUUAAAGCAAAGAACAAACAAAGAGGUGAGGAAGAAGGUGUAUGUAUGUCCAGAAACAAACUGUGUGCACCAUGAUCCGUCGAGGGCGAUGGGGGACUUGACUGGAAUCAAGAAGCACUUCUCGAGGAAACAUGGCGAGAAGAAGUGGAAAUGUGAAAAGUGUUCGAAGAAGUAUGCGGUUCAAUCGGAUUGGAAAGCUCACUCCAAGACUUGUGGCACCAGAGAAUAUAGAUGUGACUGUGGAACCCUCUUCUCACGGUAUCAUAAAUAGUUAACAUUUUUCCCCCCAUGAACACAAUUAUGAACCAACAAAUCUUCAUUUAUUGAGGCAUGCACUUGAGUAUAACUUUGAACAAUAAAAAAAAAAAGGGGGUCCUUAGACUGUAAGCUUUACAUUCUUUGUACAUUGAAGAAUUCAUUGCAAUAUAUACAUCUAGCAGUUCCUAGUUUUCACACCCUAGAGAGAGAGAUAGAGAGAAUGAACAUUGAAAUUUUGUUUUGCACUAGCUCGAGUGGACAGUUUGUCCUAUGCAGUGCACUCACAGUGAAAGAGAAAAAAGAAAAUGAAUUGGAUACAGAAAAGAGGGAAGAGAAAGUAUUUAUCUGCCAUUGUCAUAGCACUUUAUGACUGGUUUUGUUUUUGUUUUUGUUUUGUUGUGCUUAAUUUUUUACUUGAAAACUUUCUUUUUUCUUUUUCCAGGAGGGAUAGUUUCAUCACCCAUAGAGCCUUCUGUGAUGCUUUAGCAGUGGAGAGUGCAAGAGCAAUAAACCCACUUCUCUCCCCUCAUCAACCAGGCACAGCAGCAGCAUCUCACAUGAAUUUACAAGUGCCCCAAUUCAAUCCCCAUGACAUCAAACUCCAAGCAUUUUCACUUAAGAAAGAGCAGCAAAGUUUCACGCCUCUAAGGCCAGAGAUUCCACCAUGGCUGGCUAGCCAACCGAUGCUCGGGGCUGGUCCUGGCCCACCACACCCUAUCGACCUUUCCUCCCCCUCAUCAUCAAUAUUCUCCCCGAGAUUAGAUCAUCAAGAUUUAACACUUCAUGGAACCCCCAGCGCUAACCCUAGUCUUGUCCCCACACUCCCUCCAUACCAUCACACAGCACUGCCUUCCCCUCACAUGUCAGCCACUGCAUUGCUCCAGAAAGCAGCUCAUAUGGGUGCGACCAUGAGCCGUAAAUCUGGGUCAUCAUCAGUACCGUCCACUGUUGCAGCAGCAGCAUCUGCCUCUUUGAUGAGACCCCACCAACAAACUCACGUGUCUCCCGAUUCUGCUGGCACUAACAACAACACAACAACAGCUGGUUUUGGACUCGACUUGCCUUCACGUGAAGAACUAGAAGUGGGUAGCAGCAGUGGCAUUAUCCACGGCUUGGCUCCUUUCGGGAACCGUAAACCUGCUGCCAAUGCAGGCGAUGAUGAUGAUGAUAAUAAUAAUAUUGCUGGCUCAGGUGCUACUCCUUCCCUUCUUCAAGACAUGAUUAACUCUUUGUCUUCUGCCACUGGAUUUGACGCCACUAAUUCCUUUGAUGACAUUGCAUUUGGUGGGAUUUUUAACGCAACAAAGAAGCUAUGUGGCAGUUCCAUCAACGAAUCCUUCUCGAAAACAACUACACCAACAGUACCCACGACGACAAACGGCACUAGAAACGAUCACCAUGGAAGUACUGCCGGUAGUACCACCACCACCACCACCACUCAGGGUGGUGAUCAAGGCUUGACAAGAGAUUUCUUGGGUCUUCGAGCUUUCUCUCAUACCGAUAUUCUCAACAUUGCCGGUCCUGGUCGUAAUUACUGCAUCGACACUUCGCAAGAACAACACAACCAGUCUCAAAAACCAUGGCAAGGUUAGGUAAUAUAGCAACUCUUUUUUGUUCAAAUGCUAUAUCUUAAAUUUUAUAAGCACCUUUUUCGUAUUUUAUUCUGUUUCUUUAUCUUUAAUUAAUUUCCUUCUACCUUUUGCUACAAUCUUUCUAAAGGGAAGGACCUCUAAAAAUACUGAUAUAUAUAAUAAUAUCAGUUCUUCUUCAUCUUCAUAUAUGUGUAGCCCAUGUUACAAACUUUUACCUUUUUGUUUAACUUUAAUAGUAGUAUAUUCUUCAUUCACACACAUAUAUGUAUGUAUAUUCAUAUAAAAGCUGACCUGCAAAGCAAAACCCUAAGGUUAAUAAUAUAUUGGGUGAUAAAUGAUAGCAGCUUCCAGAGGAAAGGAACAUGAUGAUGAAUAUGACACCAAUUAGUGGGUUUAGUCUUAUAAUCUAAUCAUAUUUAUUAGGUGAUUUUUUUAAUUCUUAAGUGCCUUACGUGUAACUAAGCACCCAAUGUAAAUCCAGUUUAUAAGUUAUGAUUAUUAAUUUUGAAAUUGAUGAGGUUGGCUUAGUCUUAAUUAAUUCGCCAUAUGGUUGUUUUAUCAUCUUUAUAUAUUCAGGUUUUUCUAUAAAAUUUUAUUUCGAAUCCAAAUAAUACUAUCAGGUUAUGCAAUCAUUAGUUUUUAGUUAUGAUUAUGGUUCAUGCACAAGAAAUCUUAGUAUAAGUUUGUAAUAAUUAGAUGAUUUAUUAUAUGUCGGAAAACUGUGUUUAUAUCACAUUUGUCAUGAUUAAGUAUGAGAAAAAACAGAAUUGGGCUAUUAUGAUUUUCAACGCGUAAUCAUGGUUUUUCUAUUUUACAUCAUUUUGGGAAGUGAAUCUAAAUGCUUUCUUAUAAAAUUUCAAUUUCAAGUCUUGUUCAUUUUAUUCAUAUAUAUAUUUAAAAAGUAUGAUUAUAUUCAUUUUUUUCAUUUUAAACUAAUUUAUGUGAGGUAUGAAUAGUAUACGAUUAUAUAAAAAUAAUUAUAUUUUUUUCAAAAAAAAAUUAAAUAGCAUCUUAUUAAUUAAUAAUGCAUAAAAACAUACUAUGUCAUUAUAUUCGUGGCCAACAUCUAUCUCUUAAUGGGCCUACAGAAUGUGGAGGGUUUGUUAUUAGACUUGUUCCGAUAGAUAUCUUGAUAAAUCAAAAAAAGAAAAAUGUUUUUUUUACAAUGCAAGAUCUACAAAGCUAUUAACCAUUUCCCCUCAUUUUUAAAUAAAAGGUCGAUUAAAUCACAUAUAAAGUGGAAAUAGUUUUAUGUUUAGGUUUUUUUUUAAAGAGAAAAUUUAUUAAUUCAUUCUAUGAAUGGGACAAUAUAAUUUAGGAGGAAGAAAAAAAAAUCAAAUAUAUGUCGUUGAUGGUAAAGGACAAGUUCCAUCAACAUGACAAAAGUUUCAGUCUUAGUAUCAAUAGAAUAUUAUGGCACGUUGAUAACCAGCUCAUCACAAUAUAAUACUUAAAGACAAUAUGAGUCCAAACCGACUUGUGAAAUUAUUUAUUAUUCUAAAAUAUUAUCAAAAUGGAAAUAAAUUAAGAAGCCGAAGAAAAGCCACCAUUCGAGUAUCUAUGACCAACCUACUUUCUAAGAGAAAUUUUGGUGGUCGAUGGAAGUUUAGCGAUGAUAGACACCGUCAUAUGUUCAUCACAACUUAUGGAUGUAGCGAAAGUACUCAUAAAAUAAAUUUGCAAACGGAAACGAGAGAAAACAUGUAGAGUGAACAAGGAAAAUGAAAAAAAAAAAAGAAGAAGAAGAGAAAAUUAAUAGGAGGGAGAAAAAACAUGCGGUAACCAACUAAAAAUUAACACUGCGGUUGGAAAAAAAAUUAUAUUAAAAUAUUUAAUUUACACAAACGAGUUCAAUAUACUUAUAAUUGUUGCUUGCCAGUUGAUUAUUUACACCAGUCAUUUGAAUUGGUAUGAAAAUUAUAUUUUCUAUUAUCGAUAAUUUUUUUUAUAAAGAAUAUUUUGAGGAUAAAGUUGUUAAUACCUCAAAUUAAUAUGAUAAAUUUUAAGGGAAAUUUUAAACUCGAGCCAAACAUAUUCAAUAUUUUAUUUCUCAACUUGUAUUUUGAAUUGACACUGUACACAUACAUGAUUGAGCAAUAAAAUGAUAUAUAUUUAUAUAAAAAUAAUACAUUGUUUUUUUAACAUCAAAGUAGUUUUGCUCAAUUAUUUUGACUUUUUAGUUGAUGUGAAGGCAAAACUUUCCAUUAUAAGUAAACUGAUGAUGCUCCCACUAACUAUAUAUGUCCAUACUCAUGGUUAUCCUCCUUGGAUUUCACUUAAUAUCCUUUCUCUUUAAUUUGCUCUAUUUUAAUAAUGUGAAUAUCAAGGAACGUUGAUAUAUGAUAAAAAUCACGAAAAUUUUGUAUUAUGAGUCAGAUUAUAUUUUAUUCUCAUUUAUUCAAAAUAUAAUUAAAUUAAUCCGCGUACGUUGAAUUAAAGAGUAAACUAAUAUUUUUCUGUUAAGAAUUUUCGUCUACAUUUUAUUGUUGAAAAUUAACAGGGUUGAUGGAAUAAUCAAUUAGUUACACAUGGCCUCAUACUGACGUGUAGAAACCAGUUGUCACUAGUAGAUAUGAAUGGAAUGUUUAACAAAAUGAUUAAUUUAUUCUUUGAUCUAACGUGAAUAAACUAAUUUAUCUAAUUUUUAAUAAAGAUGACAAAAUAUAAUUCGACUAUUUUUACUAGUGAUAUAUUAAAAAAAAAAAAAAAAGAGUUUGAAAUUUAAAUAUAAACGCAUAUGUAAAAGUUUUAAGUGAUGCAUUGGAUUCCCAACAAACAAAUUAGUUAAGUUGGCUAAUGUGAAGAAAUGGGCAAGUUAGCUAGUGUUUUAUUUUUUCUUUCCGAAAAAAAAUGAAGAAAAAAGAGAUGCUGUCUGACACAGGUGUGGAUGCAAAUGGGGAUUCAAUCCCAAGAAAAAGGAUCUCUUUCCUUUGUGUUUAUUGGAUUUUGGCCUCUUCAGAUUAAAAAAAAAAUAUUAAUAAAAAAGGACACUUCCCGUUUUCAUAUAUACUUUUUUCUAUUUAAUUUAUACAAUUUUAGUAACCUGUGAGUUUUAUCAUUUCGUGCUACAUUCAAUUCAAGUUUUUUUUAUUUCUAAGAAAUUAUUUCACUUAAAAAUCUUAGGCUGCUUCAACUUAAUUUAACUUGCAUACUCAGCAAUGAGCCUUAAUUUAAAGAUAUUGUUAGAAGUUAUAGGAAUUUUGAAAUUUUAUUUAUUAUGAUUUAAGUCUUCAACAUAUUUUGUUUAUUAAUACAAUCAUGGUUGAUUUUAUGUAUAAAUAUUUUGAUGUAUUAUUUAUAAUUAAAAUAUUAAUGUAGUAGUAAAAAAACUUAUACUAGUAGAUGGAAACAUGUUUUGUCAUAAAAAUACUAUCCUCUAGUGCAUAUAAAACAUAAUAAUGCCAAACAAGUAUAUGCAUACAAAAAAACUAUAUAUACACUAGAUUAUUACAUAUUUAUGAUGUGGGUGAUUUCUUUUCUUUUUCUUUUUUAUGUAAAAGUAUAUUUAUUUUAUAAUUAAAUAAAAUUUUGGUUGAAAUAGUAAAGUUGAAGUGUUUUAGGUUCAAGUUUCAUAAUGUAUAAGUUUUUAUUGUUUUUCUAUAAAAAUAAAGAAAAAUAAAAAACACCACAAUAAUAUAAUUUAUUUUGUAAAAUUAAUUUUUUAAUAUUUUUAGUUGAGUAAAGUUAAUUGGUUUUAAUGGAUUUCUAAGGAACAUACGAACAAGUAUCUAUAUUUUGAAAUAUAAUUUAUAUAAAAAAAUACAAUUAUAAUAAAACAUUACAUUCAUACAUUAUUAAAUAAUUAAUUAAAUUUUCGUCAUUAGGCACUUAAAUCACACGUGUUCCCUUCUCUCAACAUUAUAUUAAUAAAAAACAACUAACUAAAAUAUCGAAUUAACAAAGAAAAAUACAUUUUUUUUAUACAAAUACCAAACUCACGCGUAAUAAAGUUUAAUCUUUGCUCUAUAUAAAAUAAAAAUAAAAAUAUUUGUACCUCAAAGUUGGCCUGCUUCUUUUAGUUUAGAAAUCACUAUUAGUGCAAAUAAUAAAUGCAUAUUCAAACAAGCCCUCCUUUGGCUUUGAUUUAUAUUUUAUACCACGGUCAUGAUAAUAUUAUUCCAUUAAUAAAUGUUAACAGUGCUUAGUAACAUUCAUUAGGGCAAUGAGUAGAAAUUGUAAUUUAUAUAAAUUAUUUUAAUUUCAGUAAAUAUAUAUAUCUCUGAUUUCAAAUUCAAACCCUAAAGGUGUCCACAGUGAGUAUCGCAAUAAGACCCAAAAAGGUUCCAUAAUAAUUACUCAAAAGUUGGAUAGGAAUGCUAAAUAAAGGAAAAUCAUGGUUGUGCAUCAUUUAUUCUUCCAAUAAAUUUUCUUUUUGCCCUUUGCUUUUUGUCCUUGAAGAGCUUUUGUAAUAGAGAGUAGUGUUGAGUGAUCAAGUGAGAAUGUUAUCAAAGUAGGGUAUUAUUAACCUAUCAUAAGAAAAGUGAUGUAAACCUUUACAAAUAAUAAUAAUAAUUAAAAGAAAAAAAAUUGAGAAAAGAUGCUUAUCCCAAAGAAAUAUUGCUAUGUUAGGUCAAUUUAAACAGAUGUAUGAGCUAACUUUAAUAGUGGCAAUGGCACCUGUCAUUUCAUUUUGGUUUAGCCAAAAAGGAACAAAAAGUUAAGAAUAUAUAAAAAUAUAUUUUCUUUUUUAAAAAGAAAAGAAAACAAAUCAACCCCAAAUCUAUAUUCCCCACUUUUCCUUUGAUUUCAUGUGCUAUGUUGUAAGGCAUGCAUGUUCAUCCUUCAAAUAACCACAGAUUCAUUCUUGAUCCCCUUCUUUUUGCUAGCUUAUAUAUAUAUAUAUAUAUAUAUGGUUUCUCUUUUAAGAAACUUUAGUUUAAAAGAUUGGCAUGUUUUGUCAUUUGCACCCAGAAUUUUCGCUCAGCUCAAUAAUAAUAUUCUUAUUAUAUAUUAUAGCAGGCAUGGUAUUAUAGUAUGGGCAUGGCAUGAGCAUUGCAUGGUGGGAUAAAGCACAAUCCCCUAUUUCCCAUAUGUAAUGUCUCAACUAUGAGUUAAAAUGUGGUGGUUACUCAACAUAAGAUUGGGAGUUGGAUUCCUACCCAUGAAAAUAUAACACAUUUUAUAAUAAAUUGUUUAUCUCUUUGGAGCACCUACGAAGAAGAGACUAAUUAUUAUUACUAGUGAUGGAUAUCUUAAUACAAAUAUGAAAAGAGAAAGAGAGGGGGAUAAUAAGCCCAAGUUGAGAGGUACUUAUUUAAUUAUUUUAUAUUUAAUAUGUUUUUUAUUCAAGUCAUGAAAUUACAAAAUUUAAACAUUUUGUUAACAAAUGCCUUAACAGAACUCUUUUAAUGUUAAUAUAAUAUAUUUAUGUGCUACAAUGAGUUAGAGAUAAUGUAUUCACAAUAAUUUACAUAGUGAUUGUAUGGAGGGACGUUAAAUUUUAAAAAAAAAGAUGAUAAGAGUUGGUGAAGUUGUAGACAAUAGAGAGUAUUGCAUGCGCCCUCUACAUGGGCCCUCUACAUGGGCUUCUGCCUGCUUGUACAUGUGUCUUUUAUAUAGUUAUUAUAUUACCUGUUGUUCUUUAAAUGAUAGGUUUGAUGAGUCAUGGUAAUUCUUAGACACGUAUUUUCAAUGACUAUGGAUAAUCAUAUCUACGCAUAAAUCAACUUAAAUAAAUUACAAUGAAAUCAAACAAUACUCACAUGAUAAAAAGAGUGGUGAAGUAGGUGAGCAUAACAAUACAUAUAUAAUAUAUUUACUGAAAAUGAUCAAUGAAAUUGUAAUUAUUGCAUUUAACGUAGCUUAGCAAAAUAAAGUGCAGUUAAUAUAAUAUUAUUACUAUGAAUAAUGUAAAAGUAUCCAAGGACAUUGGUUAAUAAAUUUUUUUUUUAAAUAUCACCUCGAUUAGAUGGUGGUUACCAUUAUACAUGUUAGAUAUGCAUAGCAGAAAAGAUGGUAAUUAUCAAAGCUGUGAUUGUGUAGGUAGAAAAAAACCAAUGAUUGGGGGGGCUUUGUGUGUUGUUGUAGAGUAUAUUCAUGGCGUGGGCAUUGAAGCAUAUGAUGAGAGGUAAAAGCACCAACUUAACUCGUCAUUGUAAAAAUGCUCCCUAGUUAAUUAAUUAUUAUGAAUCACAUGCCUUUUAUCAUUGACUUGCCUUCCAUCCCCACCAUUUUCAUUUCUUCGUCAUUCCUCGCUUUUUCUUUUUUCUCUGCCAUCUACGCCUUGGAUUUUUACAGCCUUUCAUGGUUUUGAUCUCUAUGUUGAUUUCCCCUUUUUACUUUUUCACUGAUAAAUAUUAAAGACUUCAAAAUUUAGAUACGACGAAAAAAUUAAUUUUUUUAAAUUGUGAAAUAGAUAUAAAAAAAAUGUUUUAAUUAUACCAAAAAUAAAAAGAGAAUUUCUCCUUCCCAAAGGCAAAUUUUUUACAUCACAUCCGCGCAUUACUCGCAUAUAUAAUUAUAUACAAAAUGGGAUAUAAUUAUGUAACUUUAAAAUAUUAAAUUCAUUAUAAAACAUAAAUCUAAAAUUUCAAAGAGUAUAAGAUGAAACAAAUAUGAAAGCUUCAUUGGCCGCAUCGUGAAAAUAAAAAACAUGGUAGAGUUGAUUUCAGUUUAACUAUAUGCCAUCAAGAAGAAAAGGUUAGAUGUUUAUUUAUAACUCAUUUUUUUUAUGUAUACCUUAAAGGAUACGUGUUAUCCUGUUUUGUAGUGCUAACAAAUUUCAUUGAGAGGGAUAAUUUCAUGUCUAUGUAUAUAAUUCAAAAUCCAUGAAACCAUUUUAUUUUAAGUUUAACAACUCAAAUGGUUAAAUUGUUAUAUUAGUCCUUCCAAAAAAAAUUAUAAUUUAAUUCAAGGUUUUUUUAUAUAAAAUUUAUGCUUUUGAUCCUCCAAAAAAAUUUAUUUUUAUUUCCUCUCUUAACACAAAAUUCUUUGUGAAAGAAUAAUUUUGUAAAGUAAAUCAUGUAGGAGGAUUUUCUCUUAGGUGCUUGCUAAAGAAAAACUACAAAAAUAGGAUAUGGUAUUAAAACCAGGCUUGAAAGCCAAGUCCAGAUCCAAGAGCUCAAUUUCAAUAUAUAAGGCCCAAUGUUUUACUACUCACUUCUUUCCCCUUUAGUUUAACUGGAACCUCCAACAACAUUCAACGGCAACGCUAAUCCUCGCGCAGCAUCACGUAGCCAAACUAUCAGCCCGGAAAAGAGUGUACUUUCGGACCUCCGGUCCUAUUGCCUCCAACUUCUAAGAAAAACAUGGAUCCCAUAUUGAAUAAAUAAAAUUCUUGCUCUAUUUAUUUUACUAUUAAUUAUAAAAAAUUUAAACAAGGUUUAGAAUUUUAGAAUUUAAAGUUUAAGAUUUUAUUUGAAUUUAAUAAUUAAUUUUUUUUUAAAAUUUGACUGCAAUGUUUAGUUUGAUAUUUGUGUGUUUUCAAUUUAUUAUUUGAAUUUUUUUUGUCGUAAUUAAUUAUUUGAAUUUGAUUUAAAAAAUUAUUUUGAUAGAAUUUAAUAUAUUAAUCUGAUGAUUAAGAUAUUCUGUGACUUAAUAGGGGCAUAAUUAAGACUUUACCCUAGUUUUGUAAUUCAUUCAAAUUUUUUUUUUUGAUAAGCCAGUAUUUUUUCAUCGAAAUACUUGGAAUUUUUUUACUACAUUGCAUGUGCUAAAUACUAAUUUAAUCAUUUUGGCUGACGUACUUUUUGAGUAGUUUAAAAAUAAAUAGAUAAGGCAAAUGUAGCAAAUAAGAAAUUCUGAAAACCGUUAGGUGAGCCGGUUCUUUUCCUUCAUUCCGAACUCAACACGACAACCCAUUUUGGAGCAUUACAUUUGAUUUUAUUUAAUUUUAUUAAGAAAAUAUUACAGUCAAAUGAAUGAUUUCACUAACCCGAAGAACAAUACUUUGGAAGCAAGCGACACUAUAGCUGAAAUGGCAAAGUAAAUGAAUCGAAGUAAAAGCCUAGCUGCGACCUCCAAAUCAAUUACAGCAAUGGCGAGGAAGCGAAGCAGCAAAACUAUGUUGAUCUUCUUCCUUUUGCUUUCCCUUUUAGCUUUCCUUUCUUUCCUUCCCGUCUUCGCUUCUCUCCCUUCUCUUCCCUCUUACUCUCACUCUCACGAUCUUCACUUUCAUCUUCCUCGUCAUCAGCGUCUGCAUCGCCGCCAAAAGGUAAAGUAUCUUCUGACAACAAAUGCUUUAGCUAUACUUCAAAGUAGCUUUCAAAUUUAUAUUUAUUUUUUUAUAUGUGUGCUCCUUUUCUGUUUCGAAUUGAAGGGAAUUAGAUGUAUAAAUAGUUGAGUUCUGUUGCCUUUCCAAAGGAAGAAUUAAUGAUGAUAUGAAGUUAUGAAAUUUUAGUUACUGACGUUGUUGUUUAUUUAUUUUCUUAAUCAUGAGAACAAUAUGAAAAUUAAGGAAGCAAAAAAUUUAAAAUUUUCAUGGUAGCUGUUUUUUUUUUCUUCUUAUUUGGAUUUAAAUGUUGAAUGAUAUUCUUUUUUUUGUGUUUGAUCGCAAGUCAGAUUGGUGUUAGAAAAUUUGAAAUUGCGGAGGAUAAGUUUUGGAAAGAUGGGAAGCCUUUUCAGAUAAUUGGUGGUGACUUGCACUAUUUCCGGGUUCUUCCUGAGGUAUUUAUUCUUUCUGUUAGCAGUUAGCACUUAGCAUCUUCCAGAACUAUUCGUUCUUGCUAUUGUUAUUUUAACGGGAUAAGCGGAAUUGAGAAGAUUGUGGAAAGGUUCUUAAGGUUUUCAGCAUUAAGAGGGUAUAAAAAAAAUAGUAAGUUCUGAUAUUGUUAGAAGUGGGGAGUUGGUUGUUCCUUUUAUCCAUAACUAUCCUACUAUCUUAUGGAUGCAGUACUGGGAAGAUAGGCUUUUGAGGGCAAAAGCAUUGGGGUUGAAUACCAUCCAAACAUAUAUUCCUUGGAAUUUGCAUGAACCAGAGGCUGGCAAACUUGUUUUUGAAGGCAUUGCAGAUUUGGUAUCAUUUCUCAAACUUUGCCAGAAACUAGGUCUCCUUGUUAUGCUUCGAGCUGGGCCUUAUAUUUGUGCAGGUUCGCCUUUCUGUCAUGUGUGUAUAAUUUUUAGUCAUGUACUUUAUAGGUUACAAAUGGGUCCAGACUAUUUCCUAGUAGGUUGCUUCUUAUAUUCCUAGAAAUGAGGGAUUGAUGUGCUCUCAAAGUUUUAAUCUUAUAACAAUAAGCAUUUGUUUUCUUGUAUUCUUAUCUGAGACAGUUUCCCUCUUGUUGCAUGUGUUACUAAAGGGGCAUAAGAAAGAGAGGGGGAGGGGGGGCGGGGGGGAGAAGAAGAUUGUACAUUGUGCUUAAUGCUUACUAACAUAAUUGUUGGAUCUUGGACUGUAUCUCAUCGCAUAUAUUCUUGUGACAAUAGAUGUCUUAGUUGUUCUUGUGGCAAUGAAUAGAUAACUCAGGGUUGAUAGUGACAUGAUUUCCUUUUGGGGACAUAUGUCUCUUGCAGAGUGGGAUCUUGGAGGUUUCCCAGCUUGGUUACUUUCCAUACAUCCAGAUGUCAGAUUAAGGUCAUCAGAUCCUGCUUACCUUCAAAAGGUAUGAUCUCAUAUAGUCCUUACUUUUAAGUAUAUAAGAUGGGUGUUGGACGGAAUGUUCUAGUUUUCACGCUUGGCACAAAUUCUAUGUUGGAGUUGUAUUGUAUAGUUUCUGUUUGCUUAACAUGUUCUUGGAUGAUGCACUAAUUGGCAUUUUGUAUUUGCUGGAUUAUGUUUUGAAUAUGAUAUUACAGGUUGAAGGAUGGUGGGGAGUCGUUCUUCCAAAAGUAGCUCCUCUUCUUUAUGGCAAUGGAGGCCCUAUCAUAAUGGUUCAGGUACGGGCAUGGAAUAUUUUUAUUAGCUGCUAGGGUUCCUUUGAUAAAAUUAAUGUGCCACUUGGUUUUAUCUCCUAGGAUUUUAUGCAAUGAUAGGAAAGAUGUGCCUAUUUAUCAAAACAAAUUUCUCCAUCUGAUAAUUGUUCCAGCUGCUUCAUGUUGCUGAAUUUAACUGUCUAGAGUUAAGGCCAAUUGGGUGGUUGAUGUGAUUUCAAAGUUUACCAACUAUGGCACUUGUGGAGAAGAGCCUCUUUUGAUGAAAAAAGAAAAACCUGAGAUAACUAGGAACACUGAAGAUGCUAGAAUAAAAUAUAGAAGAAGAGACAAAAGACUAGCCAAUAUUUAACUACAUUUUAUUUGAAGGUUUUUUUUUUCCUUUUUGGCUAAGAGUGAAAAAUAAUUAAAAAAAGAAAUCAAUGAGCCUGGUACGAGUCUAGAUAGCUAACUCAGGGUUAUGAGCCCUCCUGUUAUGUGAGUUUGUAGCUCACCAUUUGAAAGAUUAUAUCGUGUGCCUGAAAAAAUUGCUUUUUUCACAUGUUUCUUGGCCUUCAAUUCUUUAUAUGACACAGGGAAAAAGAAAGCGAUAUUCUCUUUAAAUACAUAUUUCAUUCCUUCCAAUAAAAUAUGUUUAUUUAUACUGUUGAAUGUCAUUUUCUGAAAGUUUCAACAUUUUAUGCUAGUAAUCUUCAACUAUAAUGUGAUUUUAUACUUUGGUUUCAGAUUGAAAAUGAAUUUGGGUCAUAUGGAAAUGAUAAAGCUUAUCUUAGUCACUUGGUGAAGUUAGCUAGAGGGCAUCUUGGAGAAGACAUUAUUUUGUAAGAGGAUAUUUUCCUUAAUUCCCUUUUAUUGGUUACACCCUAGAUAAUCUUCAGUUUAUAAUGUAAAAUCUAAUUCUUCAGGAAAUAUUCAAACCUCCUUGAGUUGAUUUUAGUUGAGAAAACAUGAACUUCUAUCAAGUUGUACUGCAUUUCUAAGAUUUUGCCCAAUGGAAGCCAAAUAAAUCAGGUGUAUAGGUAGGAAAACUAAAAUUUACUGCAAAUACAAUCUUACAAUAAGGCCAACUGAAUGUGCAGAAGAACAUACCAAUUUGCUCAUAUUUACCAUGCAUUCCAAAUUACUGAUUGGGCUAUACAGCCUAUACUGGUAUCUUUUACUGAAGUAUGUUAUUGAACAUAUAAUCAUUGAAGGUUGAAGUAAUAGCUUCUGAAAUUUAGGUAAGAAAUUUUUUGGUUUUAUAGUUGGUACCAUGUUUUUUACAUUGUGAACAUUCAUUUUUUUUGACACUGCUAUGUAACCACGUUGACAUUAUAUACUGUUAAUGGAGCUUGUCAAACCAUUCUGAUUUAAAAUGUUUGUCAUCUAUAGUACCAAGGACUUGAAAGACAGAUCUGCAUUGGACUUUGAUACUGUUCCUCUUGGAAUUCUCUUUGAACUCUCUCUGAGAGCUGAUAACUAUAUUAAAAGAAUGUUUAUUGCGUACUAGAUGUAAAAGGACUCAACUUGAGCCUGCAUAUAUAUUGACUGAUUCUGUUUCUAUGCAUAGAGCAUGGUAGUAAGAGUUUAUAUCCUCCCUUCAAUUUUACUUCUUGAAAUUAUUAAGAAUUAGUAAGUAUUGAAGCGACAUGCUUUGAUCAAAUGACUUAAAGUACAGUAUUGUAUUCUUAUUUGAUUAUCUUUUACUUAUUUGGAUGAGUUAUGAUGGUUUCAGGUACACUACUGAUGGAGGCUCUCGAGAAACUCUUGAAAAAGGGACCAUUCAGGGAGAUGGUGUCUUUGCAGGUACUGCUCAAGAUCAACAUGUCCUUAUUUGAUAAGUUAGGAAAAUAACAGAUCAUCUCAUGACAUUAGAAACACAUAAUAAUCUUCCUAUUCAUCAACGCUUUCUGGGUAAGUUAUCAGCCAUUGGUAAUAUUAAUUCCACCCCCCUCCCCCCAACAAAGAAAAUAAAACUAUUGUUUUAUUUCCUCGUAUUCAUCUAUGCUUUUGUAUAGUGUAUCACCAACAAUUUUAUCUGCUUUUAUGCUCGAACUUUCCUAGAAGAUGAAUUCAAUUGACCAUUAAAUUUGAUGGUAGAUUUCUGAGUUUAGGUGCUGUACUGAGGCCAGAGAACUGCAUACUUUAAAUGGAGCUUUUCAUUGAAAUAAAGAUAGACAUACAUGUAUAUGCAGGCACACAGAAUUUCCUAAGUUAAUAGUAAUCGUUUCUGAUUUGUAGCUGUUGACUUCACUACUGGUGAUAACCCUUGGCCCAUAUUCAAGUUACAAAAGCAGUUCAAUUCCCCUGGGAAAUCACCACCGCUUUCUUCGUGAGUGUAUUUUUAUAAUUGAGCUUUGAGAAUUAUCUUUAUGAUUAAAAAAGUACGAAAGAUGAAUUUAUUUUUCAUCAUAUAACUAAAUUCAUUUAUGCGAAUUAUAGUUGGACCAUAAAUAAUUUUUUAACAAUUAUUAAGUACCAUAAAUGAUUUUGUUAUAAUGUAAAAAAUAAUACUAUAAGCAACUACGAAAACUUUAGUACAAUUAAUAAAAUAUGAUUUCUUCUAACCAUUAAUUCACGAUCCAAUUGUUGGAUUUUAAAACUUGAAGACUUCAACCUUAAAUGACCAGAAUCAAAUGACAUGAAUCGAAAUAACUUGAGUGUCAUGCCCCAAAUGACCUAAAUUUGGAAUGAUCUUAAACCCAGAUGACUUGAAUCCAUGAUGAUCCAAAUUUCUUUUGACCUCUAAUGCCAUGAUCCAAAGACAAAUUGACUUAUCCAUUUGACACCUCUAUGAUCAUAAUAGUGCUUUUGUUUCAGGGAAUUUUACACAGGUUGGCUUACACACUGGAGUGAGAAGAUGGCAAGGACAGAUGCAGAUUUUACUGCGGCUGCCUUGGAAAAAAUUAUGUUACAAAAUGGUUCUGUUGUGCUUUAUGUAUGUUUUUCAAUCCUACUUCUGUUGCUGUCUAGUUAUGAUCUGCAUGGUCAUGCUAUAAUUUAGGCCUUUGAGUUCCAGAUGGCACAUGGUGGAACGAACUUUGGAUUUUAUAAUGGAGCAAAUACUGGUGCGGAUGAGUCAGAUUACAAGCCUGAUCUAACAUCCUAUGAUUACGUGAGGAGGAUUUUUCCUUGUAGUUAGUUUUUUUAAUUUAUAUUAUUCAAGCUUCAAAUUGGUUCUGCUUUACCCCAGGACGCACCAAUUACAGAGUCUGGUGAUAUAGACAAUGCAAAAUUCAAAGGUAUAAUCCUACUUUGGCUGGCUGAAUAUACCUGGAUUAGAAGGAUAGUAUGUUGAAAUUUUGCAUAGUUUGAAGAACUUACAGACAACUUUGCUUACCAAGAAUAAUACAUAUUGUCUUAAAUGAAUAAGUGGAUGCAUUUAUCCAAAAAUAGACAUUAGUUACAGUGAUAUGGUAGAUAGGUAGAUAGGAGAUAGAAGGAUUUAAGUUGAUGGAUUUGACCAAUGGCUGAAGCUGAUUACCUGUUUGACUUCAAUUUACUGAGAUGGGCAUGGUCCUUCACUUGGUGUUAAAAAGGAAACAGCUUUCUCUAUAGCUGCUGCUUAUAUUCAUGGGAAUUCUACCUCUGUAUAUGAAUAUUGUGGCUUGCGAUAUAAUUACAGUUUUAAGUAAUCUAUACUUUCUGCAUGUUGAUGGACAUUAUAACCUGAUUGCUACAACCUUUGGAAAUUGGAAAAAGACGGGAACAGUAUCAUUUGAAUGGCUACUGUUUAUCGCAGAGAAUAUGAGUAAAUUUGCACCGAGGAGAAUGCUUCAGUGUAUUUCAUCUCUCAAUUUAUUGAAAAGGCAUUCUACAAGCCUUGUCAUCACUUUAUUUUAUUUAUUUAUUUUGUGAUAAGCUGUUUAUUUAUUGCUUUUUGUGAACUUUGAAGUCGGCAAUCUUAUUGUGACACUGAUUUGGUCUUUUGCAUGGUGAUAAUUUUACCGAAGAUACUAGUGUACAAAUUAAUAGUUGGGAUAAACAGCAUCAAACUAUAUUCUCUUGUAAAUGGUGUCUAUAUGCAUACUCCAUUCACUAAUCUGUUCCAAUUUCAGCCAUUAGGAGAGUGGUGGGGAAAUUUAGUUCAGUAUCUCUACCUUCACUUCCUCCCAAUAAUAAAAAGACUGGAUAUGGAUCCAUCCAGUUAAAAAGAACAGCAUUUUUAUUUGAUUUACUUGAUGAGAUUGAUCCUCUUCACAUUGUUGAGGCUGAGUCUCCAACUGCAAUGGAGUAUUUAAACCAGGUGUGCAAAAUUUAGAGGCUUUGCUGCUCAUUAGCUUCUAUGUUUAGCAAUUUAAAAAAUCUAAGAUUGCUGAAUAUUUUCUCUUGUUGUCUUUCCUAUCAUGCAGAUGUUUGGAUUUGUAUUAUAUGUAUCUGAAUAUGCAGCCAAAACUGGUGGAAGUAAGCUAGUUAUACCAAAGGUAUGCCGUCUUCCUCAUUUUGUAGUUAAGAUAACUAAUUUAUAUUUCCCUCCAUACUUCAUUAUUGACAAUUAAUUCAAAGAAUUUUGAUCUCUGUUGAAAAAUAAUUCAUUUGAUAUCUGUUGACAAAUAAUUCUUAAAAAUUUAAAUCUUCUCUAAAAUAUGAUGUUUGCAGGUGCAUGACAGAGCUCAAGUGUUCAUAUCGUGCUCUCCUGAAGUUAAUGGUGGGCAAGUAUCAUAUGUUGGUACAAUUGAAAGAUGGUCAAAUCAAGCAAUUAACCUUCCUAAUGUUAAAUGUGUUUCUAGCACCAGCUUAUUUAUUUUGGUAACCGACUGCCCUCAUGCUUUCAGCAUAUCACCCUUAAAGUUUUAUGCAAUUUGCCAAUUAGUUAUUUGUGACUGUUAAAUGAUAGCUUAGUGAAAGUAUUCUGGCUUGCGGUAUCGUUAAGCUUGCUAGUACUGUAGUUUAUCAAGUUACACACUUAACAAAUGCGCCCUAUGAACUAAGCUUCUCUAAGGCCGAGCAGCAAUGCCUUCUCAGUUUCAUGCUUUACUUUUUGUUUCACCUUUUGUUUUUAUUCAGAAAUAAAAAUUAUAUGAUUAAUCUUUAAGUUGAAACUAGAUAUCAUUCAUCUAUUUCACAUCUUUGUUUCUACGACACAUUUGCAGGUUGAAAACAUGGGUCGUGUAAAUUAUGGGCCAUACAUCUUUGAUAGGAAGGUAAACUGCCUGUAAAGCUGAAAAUUGUUCUUUUAUUUCUGAAAUGAUGCAAGGCCAAUGGUCAUAUUUUAUUUUUAUUGGCAUCACUCAAAUCCUAAACCAUUCCCUUUCAUUAAAAUUGUGCAAUUGUGCUAGUAAAUUUGAAAGGUAUAUUGAUCUAAUUGCCAUUUUUGGUGAUAUCAUCAAUCCAUUGCUUAUUAGCACGGAGAAAUAUUUAAAAUGGUUAUCUGGUUCCUUAAUGCUCCUUAGUCAGAGAAACUACAUUUCAAUAAGCUUGUUCAUCAAUGAAAACUGUUCUAUAACCACCACUUUACCAUGCAACAUCAGUACCUAUAGUCUGCUGUCGAGUUUUUCUAGUCUAACAGAUAAUCAUCCUUCUUGACUCCAAUUUUGUAGGGUAUUUUGUCUUCUGUUUAUGUGGACGGGAGUGUACUGAAAAGAUGGAAAAUGAUCUCAAUUCCUUUUCAUAACCUGAAUGAGGUGCCAAAAUUUAAUCCCGUCAUUCAGGUUACAUCCAAAUUCCAUAAAGUAUCAGCCGGCAAAAAACUAGAACACAAGUCAGGUAUGUCUCAAGAACACAAGAAGCAUGCUGUAUCACAUGGUCGUACACUACUUCCUACUGUGCAGUUUUUCGUUCAUCUUACACUUCUUUUAUAUACCUCACUACCAAGGAAAUCCAAUGGACAUAAACUAUGAUGCGAUAUAAUUAUCUUUUAAGAACUUGCUUUGCCUCACGCAGUUGGUGUUGAAGGACCAUCAUUCUACACUGGCCAUUUCUCUAUUGAUACGAAGAAUGAAGUUACUGAUACAUACAUUUCACUUAGAGGCUGGGGAAAAGGAAUUGCUUUUGUUAAUGAAUUCAACAUUGGAAGAUAUUGGCCGGUAAGUGCCUUCUCUCUGUGAAUAAAUCAUACACCUCUGAAAAUAAAUUAACUGAUUUUCUUUGCAGACUUCAGGACCUCAAUGCAACCUUUAUAUCCCUGCUCCAAUCCUUCGGCAGGGGGAAAAUGUUUUGGUAUGAAAUGCCUGUGCAAUCUAUUAAAUGAUUGUAUUUAUCCCAUCUCAAUGAAAAUUUCUUCCUUGACCGGUUUGGUUCGUCACUUUGUAGGUGAUAUUCGAGUUAGAAUCAUCGAACCCUGAGCUCAUGGUAGAUUCGGUUGAUCAGCCAGAUUUCACUUGUGGUCCAGGACAAGCAAGUGUGCAUCAAAAUGAAGAUGGCAAAGCUAGUGCGUCACUGUUAACAUCCAAUCCACUAGGGCUGCGUACUUUUUGAGAGUGUUCCCAAUUUCCACAGAGAAAUGUGCCUUUGAGUGUAUGCAGAUGAGCCAAAAAGAAGUGUGUAGAAGAAAAUAACAUUACUAUCACUUGAAACAAAAGCUGUAUUUUAUGCCAUUGGAUCUAAUAUUGUAUAACAAAAGACAUUCACAUCUGAAUUUGAAUGGCAAUAUACCAUCUUCUUUAAGUUUAAUUCAAAUCAAAAGUGUAGGUUUUUCUUAUUUCAAGUCAUUUAAAAAUAAAAACUCCGUGAUGACCAAAAUAGAAUUCCAAACAUAGUCAUCUUCUCUAGACAAGCUCCCAUGAGCAACUGACUACUUCACCUACAUUACAAAUGCCUACAAGGUGCUGAAAGAAAGAAUGAAAGAAAAGGAAGAUCAUUUUGGAGGUUGCUUAGACCCAUCUUUUUGCUCCUGUUUUGAUCCUGUCAUUGCAGCAGAAGCCGCUACAGUCAUAGCAGCCGCGGCUGCACCCAGUUUAGCACCACCAGCAGCCUUCAUUGCACCUGCUACUUUUGCAAAAACAGCUACCCCUCCUACAAGAAAAGCCCUCAAAGCUACUGUUGGUUUCACGGCCAUUUUGUUUAAGUAUCUGCAAUCCAAUAUCACAAAAAUUCAGAUCUGUAUUCUCAUUCAAAGAACUAUAUAAGAACCAUGUUCCUUAAACUGCAAUACAACUGUAGCUCAUACCCAUCAAAGAAAUUUUGGUUCAGUUGCCUGAAUUCAGAACAGAGUUGAAUCACAGUGACUGUCAUUUAUUUAUUCUUUCACUCUUUUCUUAACCAGUAAACUUCAACCACAGAUUCAAAUUCCCUCUCCAAACAUCAACUGAAGCUAAAAUUCAACAUGUGUUAAAAAUCCAUGGACUGGUACAUGGGACUACAGAUUUUAAACUUGAAUAGCAAGUCUUAUUGAGACCAAAUACCCAUAAGACUGAAACAUUCGACUAGAUUGUUAAGCUGAACAAUUUAUAGAUACUGGCAUUCAUUUUAGUACAACUCGAGCUUGACUCACAUCUAAAGCACCCUUGACUCUGGAUGAUCUCAAUCAUGUCAUCUUCGUUGAAAGAUUGAACUCAAGAAGACCUUUGUGACUAUAUUUACCGAUUCGUAACAUUGGGAAGCCCCUGUCUCUUAUACCAUGAGAGACCAAACAUGUUAUUCUUGUUGUUAAGUGUUGGAAACACUAGUAUUUUGUUGAGUAUAAAACACAGAAACCCUAUUUAUCUACGGAUAACCUUAAAAAAUAAAUAAGAGCCUCUUCAGCAUACAAGCAUACAGAAUAUUGAACAAUCAUCCAUCCCCAUAACUGAAGCACACAUUUCACAAUGCUAAAUUGCCUCAUAAAACAAUAUCUAAGAUACGGUUCAAAACAAUCCGACAAAAGAAGCAAAUAAAUGAAAAACAAAAAAGCUAAAUCUUGUCCUUUUAAGCAGUGUAAGAUCAAUUCUACGAUCUCAGCUUCAUUUUCAGAUACGUAAAAUCCAUCUUCCUUUUCCUUGGAAAAUUUCUAAAACAACUAAAAGCUGUUACUUCUAUCUUUGACCAACAAUCCUGAAAAAUAAUUUAAAAUUUAAUCCCAAAAAGCAGUUCUGAUGUAGAACCCAUUUUUUUUCAAAAUCAAAUCAAUUGUAAUGCCUUCCCUAUCCCAACCCAGCUAAAAAAAGUUUACCUUUUUUCCCUUUCUGUUUCCUCUUCAUUAGCAAACUUCAGGUUAAACAGCAAUAGAAAUAAUAAUUAAAAAAGAAAAGAGAAACAAACCCAGAUCAUAUAACAGGCAAUACAAGAGAUAGGAGAAACCGAACCUCGAAGAGAAAAUCUUAUCGAUUGAGUCCUUUUGCCAAUAGUUGAGAGAGAGUGUAAAAUACUAACGAGGUCUGUUCUUACUUUUUUUUUUUUCUUUUUUAAGUUUCAUGUUUUGGACACGUUUCCCAUUUUUCCUACCACACGUGGCAAAAAUUUAUUGGAAAACAUUUUAAAAGGCGUAGGAUAGCAACGACCCUCAUCUUCACUGUCUAACUGUGCGCCGCUGGAAAGGAGAAGAAGUGAGAGAGAGAGAAAGAAGACGAUGGAUCCGUACUUAGGAGGAAGCUGGACUAUGAUCCCCAGCAUCCCAACCCACAGUAACGUAUCUACUCCCACCAAUCAAGACCAUCUAUACCUUUCCCCUCCUCCACCCUCACAACAACAACAGUUUCAUCCACAACAAUUCCAACAACAACAGCAGCAGCGUCUGUUACAGCAGCAGCAACAACAACAACAACAGCAGCAGCAGCAAGUGCAGCAGAAUCAGCAACAACAGUCACUAGCUUCUCACUUCCAUCUCUUACAUGUAAUCCUUUAAACCACAAUCUUAACAAAGUUUGUCUUACACUAUAAAAAAAUUGAUGUUUUGCCUUCUUCUUUUUUUUAUGUGUUUGUUUGUGUGGGGUUACAGUUGGUGGAGAAUUUGGCUGAUGCUAUUGAUAAUGGAAGUCGGGAUCAACAUUCUGAUGCUUUGGUUUGUUGUGUUUUCUUUUUCUUUUUUCAAUUUUAAGAUUGGAUUUAGGGUUCCUUUUGAAGAUUAUUGAACUUUUAUUUUGCUGGGUUUUUGGUAAGGUUAAUGAACUGAACAAUCACUUUGAGAAGUGCCAGCAGCUUUUGAACUCGAUUGCUGCAUCAAUUAAUUCUAAAUCCAUGGUAAAUUAUCUACUCUUCUUGCUUUGGUUAUUUUAAGUUGUAAUUUCCCGUUUAUGUGUUAUGAGAUGUUGAUAAAGUUGCAUUCCUGUGGUUCAUGAAUUUUAACAAACAUGAAAGUACUAAAAAAAAAAAGAUGCAAGCUUCUGCAAAAUAAAUAUGUAAAUUUUAAUAUUUUUCCAUCAUUUUUGGAAGAUGUAUAUACAUAUUCAAUGAUGAUAAAUUCUAAAAAUGUGCUGACAUAUUAGUAUCAGUGUUUCUUUUUUCUGUUUUAUUGGAAGUUGUUUGUAUAACUUGCAAAUUUUUCAAUGCCGGAUGUAGACUGUUGAAGGUCAAAAGAAAAAGCUGGAGGAAAGUGAACAAUUGCUAAACCAAAGGAGGUAAAUUGUCGGUCAUAACUUGUGUUUUCUACAGUUUAAGUUUUCUACUUAUUGAAUAUCUGCAUUUGAUAUUCUUCAAUUCUAGGGAUCUGAUAGCCAAGUAUAGAAGCUCUGUGGAAGACCUUUUGAAGACCGAGCCAUAGUCGUUUCUCAUGCUACUAAGCACAGGUAAAAAAUGCAUACAGAAGAAUAUGAGUGACAAAUAUUGUCGAUAAAUAGUUGCAGUUUGCUGUUGUUUACUUUAACAUGUCAGUUUAAUGUCCAAUUUUAUGAUACUUGUUCAUAGAGAAUCUUGUUUCAAAGAAGGAAUUUUGCGUUGCGUUUUUGUACUUUGUGUCAAAUAAGUAAAAAAGUGUAUAGAUUGGGAGACUAGUAUGGUUUUAUGAAACCAUGUGUAUAUGGCCCGAAUUUGUAGUCAAUCCUAUUUCCUAUAGGAGAAGUUGAAAUUGAAUCCAACUUGUUUCAUUGGUUUUGUAUCUGUAAUAGUGCAGAAAGCUUAGCUUCAUGUUGUUCAAGAAUAGUAGUGUGGACUAGUUAGUAAUAUUUCUUGAUGGGGACACAGGGAAGGGAUAUAAUUCAAUGGUAGAAUGCCACCUUGUCAUAGAGUUUCAGUAAGGGCAUAUCGAGAUUAUGCAAGGGAACAACUAUGUAAAUGAUAGUAUUUAUCUUGCAUGAGAAUAAGAAAAGCAAAACGAAUUGAAUGUCUGUCAAGUUUUUGGGCAGCAAACAGCAAAACUGUACUUUGGUGAGCAGUAUUUUUCUGAGAGAGCCUACCUAUUAGAUAACUUUGCUACUUGGACUGAAUCUGUUCUUUUGGAGGUUUACGUUGCAUUGAUGAAACUUACUUUGCCUCUAGGAAAAUCUAUUUGUGGUGGUUCCACCUGUUAUGGUUCAAACUUUGUGAUGUUAUCAUAUUAUUCAUCUGCAGAACAUGUCAAGUUUGGUACGAAUCAAAAAGACAGGACUUCAAAUUCUUGUACUAUUGUCAUUGGAGAACUCUUUAGUUUCCCAGAAAAUUGUUCACUGCUAUUCUAGAGCCAUUGAAUUAGAUUUGUAUGUUUUUGCACUUAAUGUAUGAUAGAAUUGCUUUUUUCUGCUGUUUUUAUAUCUAGUUGAUACCAGUUUCAAAGUGCAUAUUUGUUCCCAUGAAACCAUUAAUAUUUUGUUUUGCUCUUUGAUUAUGUAAGAUUGAUGAUUGUUUUUCUUCAGCAAAUUUGAACUGCAGCUUUUGACUAUCUUUUUGGCUUUGUUGUAUUCAGGUCAAGAGCUUCCAUGUUUAACUCUGAGAGAUGGGAAGGAAACCCUGAGAACUUGUAAUCAUAGAAUGAAGUAAAACAGUUUCAUCUUGUUCAGCAAGUAGAAAGUUGUUUCUUUUCCUAGCUUUUUCUUAUAUCAAACUUUAGUUUAUAUUCAAAUGCAAUCUUGGGUUUCAUAAUUGUUUAGUGCCAUCUAAUAUCAUGGAGCUUUGAGUUUUAUUAUUGCUGGGCCCUGGGGGCUGCAUGUUUCUAAGGUCUAUAGUUAAAAGAAAAAGAUUGAUAAUCCUUGUCUACUCAUUUAACUUCCUUUACUGGAUUAUUUACUAGAUCAUGUGUGCGUAAUUUAUGACAAUUGUUGAAUAUGCUAUGGGUUCACCUUUUGAUUCACAAAUAUCCUUGAUGAAAUGCAAUACUCCCUAGCCCAUCGCUGUUUGUCUUUCCAGCUUCAAAGGAUGCCAUAGUUAAAACAAAGACUCAUUUUUGCAGGGGACCUGACCUGUCCCGUAAGAUUUUGUUCUCUAACCUUGAAAUUACCAAACCAAGUUUUCAGAGUUCAAUUUUCAUCUGCAGCUCCAGGACUGCCUUCUGAAAAACUACAUUUCUUUUCUUUGUUAAUUAGCUUAAAAAGAAUAAGGUGGUCGUUCAAAACUCCCUGUAAACAUUCACUCCGAGUAACAAGGGAAAGAAAGCAAUACCGAUGACCUUGCAUUCCAGGGGGAAAUUUCCUGGAAAGCUAAUAAUAAACCCGCAUAAUUUUGAGGAUGGCCAGACCAAUUAAUGGAAUGAAAUUUUAUAUAGUAAUAUACUAUAGAUACGAUUCCAAAGAAAAAAAAUUAACAGUUGCACUAAACGAGUCAACUAAUUUUCUUUGUACUACAAAAAUCCCAGAUCACUGAUUUUGCAAUGACAUCAAUACGCAUGAUCCUAUUUAUCUUUUCUUUUAUAAUUGGUUACCAUCAUCAAGUAUUCCUCUUAAAAGAGUUCAUCAGGGUUGAACCUCGGCUCUCAAUUUAAGUUCUCUGCUAUUUUAAGCAGGAUGACAAAAAGUGUUUAAGUACUCCAACUGGUAUAGUCCACCUAGUAGUCGUUAUCAAUGUCUGGCAUACGACUUGGUGGUUUCUUCUCAUCUGGAUUUUCGAGGACAGAUGCCUCGGUUGUCGUUAAUAGCAAAGAGACACUGCAAUAGGAAAAGCAUAUUUAUUCAGUUAAACUCGUAAAACAACCACGUAUUACAUGCUUAUGACUAGAUUCUUCACCUGGCGGCAUCGACUAAGGCUGUUCUAAUGACUUUGAGAGGGUCUAUGAUUCCAGCUUUCACCAUAUCAAUAUAUGCACCUGUUUUUGCACAUCAAACGAGAAUGAUCAGGGCAGAGGGUAUGCAGACUGACUCUCCUUGUAAAAGCAAAGAACUGUGGCAGGGCAUUUUGAGAAAAACAAUGACGGCACAAGCGUGUGUCCGUGACAGAUAGAGAGAAUGCAUGCAGCAUAACUUGGUGAAUUCAAGAGAGAUCGUUUUUAAAGGAGUGAAAUAUAUGGCUUGAAAUGAGCAUUUUCAUAAGAUUGAAAGGAACAAACCUUUUGAAGCAUCAAAACCCAAAUUAUCAUCAUCUUGUUCCAGUAGUUUCCCAAGAACCAGAGAGCCAUCAUAACCAGCAUUAGAAGCUAUAGUUAAAGUAGGUGCCUAAAAUAGAGUCACAUAUUACUGUGAGGUACUAUAGGUUAUAAUGAGAUCAAAAGAGGUGUGCUGAGAGUUGCCACAAACAAAACCUUAAGAGCAUCCUGAAUUAUCUGAACGCCUCUUUUUUGAUCUUCAUUUUCGGUUUGAAGGUUCUGCAAAGCCUUUGUACUAUAUAAGAGAGCAACACCACCGCCUGACCCAAAAAAAUCCAUUAUAUUAUGACCUAAAUAAACAUUGACAUUUGAAACCAAAAAAGGGGAAAUUAUUUACCUGGCAAAAUACCCUCUUCCACAGCUGCUCUUGUGGCAUUCAAAGCAUCUGUGACCCUAUCUUUCCUUUCUCCAACUUCUGCCUCACUAGCUCCACCAACCUGAGAGAAAAACACCAAUAAGUACUCACCUUAUGCAGCAUAAGAUGCACAUUGCAUUUGGAACUUAGAUAAAGGGAUCAUAAACCUUGAAAACAGCCACACCCCCAGAUAGUUUUGAUAAUCUUUCUUGUGCUUUCUCCCUGUCAAACAUGGCACUGCUCUUAUCCAUAGCUGUCCUCAGCUGCAGAAGUUUUCAAGAAUCGUGAGGAAAAAGAAAUCAGAAUAGCCUUUAUUACAAAGUUAACAACAUUAAGGCGUUGCUUGGUAGGGUGGAAAGAAAAUUGGAAAAAUGGAAAUUUAAAGUGGUAGAAAAUUAAAAGAUAGAAAAUAUAAUUUUUCUUUCCAUAGGUGUGCUUGGUAGGAAUGAUGAAAAAUUUAAAGAAAAAGUAAUUUUCUGUCCAUCCAUUGUUUGGUAGAGUUGAAAAAGAAUUAAAGAAAAGAAUAUGAAACUUUUGAAAAAUGCAUAAUUUUGAACUAACACACAUCCCUCUCUCAUUUUCUAUCCCCUUAUCAUUCCAACUUGGAAGUAUUGGUUUUUCUGCAUGGGAAUGGAAAAUGAUCAUCUCUCCUAUUUUCUUUCCUCUCACUUUUCUUCCCUAUCGAGCACACUUAAAAUCUAGUUUCUUUCCACUUUUCCACUCCCUCCUCUUAUCCUUCUCAUUUUCCACUCAACCAAGCACACCCUAAAAGUAGAUAACAGGAGAACAAAUGGAUAACAAAAAAAUUCAUCCAUUUGUAUCAACCCCUCCCCCCCAAAUCCCAAAAAUUAAUCUAUAAAGGGCAACGAGGACAUGAAUAUGGCAUUUAAAAUGGGUCGAGGUUAUUAGAGAAAAAUAUCAAGAAACAACCAAAUAGGGGAUCAAAACACCUGCUCACAUCUUUCUUCGAUCAGCUUCUUAUCCCCUCCCCCAUGUAGAAUUAUUGUGUCAUCAAGUGAGACAGUGACCUGUCAUAAAUCAAGUCACUUACACAAUAAAGAAGAAAUUCAAGCAUGUGCACAGUUUCAUGCGUACCCUUUUUGCAGUACCAAGCAUUUCAACUUUGACUUUGUCAAGAGUUAAGCCACGUUCUUCACUGAUAACCUGUAGUUUUGACGAUUAAUAAUGAUUCCAUUUAUAAAGAAUGAAAUCUGAGCAACAAGAAUAUUAUUACCUCUCCGCCGGUAAGAAUGGCAAGGUCAUCUAAAUUUGCCUGUCUAUUAUCCCCAAAACCAGGAGCUUUGAUGGCACAAACCUAAGUACAUAAGAUUCCACUAUUAGAAAGGUUCCAGAGGUGUCAUCUACACUAAGAGCAUCUCGUACUCUUUGAUGCAUGCAAAAGUAAAUUUAAAGCAAAGCCAGAUAGCUAAUCACCUUCAAACCAGCAUGAUGCUUGUUGAGAAUAAGUAACUGAAGCGCAUCACUCUCCAAAUCCUCAGCCACAAGAAGAAGUGGUCUGUUUUUCUGUUCAAAUUGAAGAAGAGAAUGAGCAAGCUCACAACAUGCUUCACUUACAAUCAUAAAUGUAAAAGAGUCCUCAGAUGAAUUACAUUUAUAGCCAACUCCAAUAUCCUCACAAGUGAGUUAAUAUCUGAAAUUUUCUUGUCAUGAAUGAGAAUCAAGGGAUUCUCAAGUUCCUGCCAACAUAAAAUUGAACCUUCUUUACAUCAAAAGCCAUCCAACAUCCUUAUGAAAUUAUUACAUUCAAUAGAAACAGGAAAAGAAAACUGAAAAAACUAAGGACAUAAGGCAGGUCAAAUUAUUGUGUACGCAAAGCCAUGAACUGUACACUAAAACUUUGAGAUGGAACUAAUAUGAUCUUCAAAUUACAUUAAGGAAAAAUAAGAGAAUGACAAGAUUUCACUGUGAGCCCCCUCCAAAUUCAAAACAUUUAAAUAAGAGAAGAAAAUUGAAUUUUGUGCAUAGGAUUUACAUUGGAAACCCCAUUUUUGCUCAACGAACAAGUACCCUACCAUAUUGAGUAAAAAUUAUUGUAAAAAGAUGCAAAUCUGAGCUUACACAUUUCUGGGUCUUUUGAUCGGUAACAAAAUAGGGAGAGAUAUAACCUCUGCCUAGCUUCAUUCCUUCCACCACUUCUAACUCAUUGUCUAAAGUAUUCCCAUCCUAAAAUUUGAGGUAAAAAUAAGAUACACCAAAUUACAUAUGGUCUAAGAAAUAAUCAUUAUUACUCAAAAUCUAACAAUAAUUAAAAAAUGUACAAAAAUCAAAUUUGGGCUUACAGUGACAGUAAUGACCCCUUCCUUCCCAACUUUCUCCAUUGCUCUUGCUAUCAAUUCUCCAAUUUCACGUUCUCCGUUUGCUGAAAUAGUGGCAACCUAUUCAAAACAUACCAAAAACAAGUUAACACGAGGUAAAUUAAGGAGAAUUAGAGGUAAAGAGCCGGAGAGCCCACAUCAAUAAACCUGUGUAAUUUCUUCUGGUGUGCUUAUCAUUACUGCCCUGCUUUUCAAGUCAGAUAUGACAGUAUCAACUGCCAUAUUAAUUCCUUUUCUCAAGUCCAUCACAUUUACGCCAGCAGCCAAUGACUUGCAGCCUUCCAAAAGAAUUGCCUGAGUUAGGACAGUUGCACAAGUUGUACCUGUGAAGAGAUGCAUAAUAGUUAAUAGGUCUUCAGCAUUAAGACUAUCAAAUAUGAUGGGAGAAAUUAUUUUAAAAAUGCCAUAUCUGUAAUCGAGAACUAAAGCUUUCUUCAUGUAUCAUGCAACAAAUACAACUGAACUGAUCCAUGCUUUGAACCUGAGGGCUAUAGAAAAUACUCGCUUAUUGCAUACAGAUAUGCACUGCAUAUCUAGGACUCUGAAUUCUAAAUGAAGUCAAAGACCAAAAAACAACAAUUUCCAAGAACCCAAAGCACUUAUGCCACACUUUCCAGGAAGGUUUUCUAACAGCAAGUUCUUAUCCAAAGGCUCACCCAUCCGGAUUAGCUUGGAAUGAAGGCUUGGUUGAGCUUUCUUAAGAUUUUUGUUAUUCUUUUUUACUUUCUAACCAGAAUGCCUUGACCAUAAAUCAUUGGUAUACUGAUUAAUCAAUGUUCAGUUACAACGCCUAAAUAAAAUAAGGUUGAAAAUAAUAAGAAAUUACCAUCUCCAGCAACUUUAUUGGUGGCAUUUGCAACCUGCUUUACAAGAUCAGCACCAACAUUUUUAGCCUUAUCCUUGAAUUUAAUGCUCUUGGCAACAGUAACACCAUCCUUCGUGACUUUAGGAUAGCCCCGACUACUCUCAAUAAUUACAUUGCGACCCUAAAUCAAUAGAUCAGAAUGAAUACUGUGACAAAGCAUAAUAGCAUGCAUAAAUCUGAGCUCUUAGUCCUUUAUAUAUGUUACCUUUGGUCCCAUUGUGACUUUCACGGCAUCUGCAACUUCAGACACACCCAACAUCAUAGCCGCCCUUGCCCCAACCCCGAAACUGAUAUCCUUCGCUACAUAAUUCCUAUUGCAAAUUAUCCUACUACAAACCUGUCAAAUUCAAAUAAUUAACCAACCAAAGAAAAUAAAGUUUAAGAUUCAUUCAUAUUCAUCAAAACCAAUCCUAACGAACAUAUAAUUUUACCAUAGAAAACCUUUCCAACUAUUUCGUGAUCCACCUCGAAAUUUUCAUUGUUGCAAAAGAAUAUAAAAGCAUUAUUUACAUAAACCUAAUGCAGCUGUUGGUUCCUAGAAAUUUUUGGACUUUUUCAUUUCAUUUCUUCUAUUUCCCACAUCCCUCACCGUACAAACAGAAAUCAAAAUGAAAGAGAAAUCAAGUAAUACAUUAUGAUUUCUUACCAAUUUUCUCGAAGUCGAGGAACUGUAAAACAAAAAAACGAUAAUUUAUAUCAGAUAUAAACCAAAAAAAAAGUUAACUGGCAGGAAUUGACAUGAAGGAAGCAAAUGUGAUCUAUUAGAAGCAUUACCUAAUAGAUGAAGCUAAUUUUGAAGCUAUUCGAUACAUGAGUGAGACGGGUUUUACUUUACACAGCGAGCAAUCGAAAAGAAGGAUCAAAAGAGAGACUUAAAAGAGAGCUUCCAAUGGAGUUCUUAAGGCUUCCAAUUUCAGGUUUAAAAAAGAGUAGGGUUUUAGCUCCGGGGUUUUACAGUGGAGGGCUUUCCCGUCACUCUAUCUGAAAGAUAAGAAAAGGUUAAAAUCUGCUUUUAAGUCCCUAUAGUUUUUGCAUAUUUAGAACUUAGUUUUUUACUUUUAUUUCAAUAAAUUUAAUCCUUUAAUUUUUCAAUGUAAAAAUGCAAAUUCAAUUAUUGAUAUAGUUAAAUUUUAAAAUAAGAUUUUAACAGUAUUAAAAAUUGAACUUAAAUUAUGAAAUCUGAAAAAGUAAGACUAAAUUCUUAGAAAUAAAAAUAAAAGAUUAUUUUUUCAAAAAAGUAAAGAAGAUUAAAUUACAAAUAUAAAAAAUAAAUGGACUUAGAACAUAUUUAACCCAAAAAUGGAAUGAGAAGAUUGAAUCUGGAUUGUUCCAGAUUUUGAGUGUCCAAUGCACUGAACUGAUUAAAUGGACAAUCUCUAACCCAAAUUUUGGGUUUGUUUGGUCUUGGGCCUGUUGCAAAAAAUAAUAAUAAUAUUUUUUGUUUUUAUUUUAAAAUAUUAUAAUUAACAACUAAAAAAAAAAGGUAAUUACCUUAUUCACGGGUAGUGGAGUAAAAAAACUCCACAAUCUGGUUUAGAAAAAUAUUAAAUGCCCUUUUUAAUUAUUUUAUCAUUAUUUUAGGGGUUAAUAUUUAACAUAAGCAGUUUACUUUUUUAUUUAACAAGUAGUUUUAAAAAUUUGUCAUUUUUUUUUCUAAAUAUUCUUUUUUAAUAUUUUAUUAUAUCACUAUAUAGACUUAUCAAUUUUCUGACUUUAUUUAUAAAAUUUAAAAAUGCUACAGUAUACUAAAUAUUUUCUCUUAUUUUAUUAUGGUAGCAUCAUUUAAACCUACUUAUAGAAUUUUUUUACUGUAGAUAAAUAAUGCAAAAAGUAAACUCACUUUAUUUUUACAUAAUAUUUUUUUGGAAAACAAAAUUUUCCUUCGUUCAUGGUUGUCCAGUUUACUAUUUAAAUUUUAAAGUAUUAUGAAUUGUUGGUUUGUGUCAACUUUCUCAAAUAAAAACGUAUGAAUAUAAAAUUAUAAUUUAUAAUUGUUUAAGUUCAUCUACAAUAUCAAUUUAGAGAAAAUAUUCAGUACACUAUUAAUUAAAUUUUUAGACUUUAUCAGUAGGGUUAUAGAGUUGACAAGUGUUUUAUAGAGAUAUAAUAAAAUAUCAAAAAUAAAUAUUUUUAAAACAGAAAUAUAUUACAUUUUUUUAAAUUACUUGUGAAAUAAAAAAGACAUAAAUUAAUCUAGAAAUGCUUUGAAUUCAUUCUAUAUUAAUUAAAAGUUUUUUUUUAAUAACUCAGUUGAAGACUUUUCCCUCAACCUUAAUGUUUAAUUUUUGUGAAAUUGAUAAAUUAAUCAUGGAAUACAGGCCAAAUAUGGUGAAGCUAGAUUGUAAAAUUUUCAAUGAACAGAUCCCCUCCCUUUGAUAUUUUUUUUCAAACUUUUUAGUAUAGAUUGCAGGACAGUAAUUUAUAAAUUAUUUUAUAUAUUUGUUAGUAUUAUACUUGAUUCUGUCUUAAAAUUAUAAUUGAGCGUAAUUUAUAUUAAAACCACUAAAAUAUAUACUCCAAUUGUUUCGAGUGAUCCACAUGCUGUAGUACAUACAUAUUUGGGGGGUGUUUUUCCAAGAAAUGGUAGUGAAGCUUUGAGAAUUGAGACCAUACUUUAAAAUACCCACCGACACUCAUAUUUUGCGAAUUACAAGCAAGCACUUAAUCAUUUCUUAUUUCUCUGUUUCAAAAAGAAAAUAAAAGCAUUUAUUUAAAGGGGUAGAUCAAGAAAAAUUAAUAUUCCGCAACCACUAAAUACUAUAUUUAAUAUGUGAAAAUUUAUCUCAUUUAUAGCUUCAGUUUCACACAAGGAUUGAAAGUGACAUUUGUCUUAAGAGUAUGGUAAAAGAUAUAAAUAAGAUUUUUGUCACAUUUUUAAUAAGAACUCCACAAUUUUUACAUCAAAUAGUUGCUCUUUAAUAUAUAUAGAAAUCAUAUUAUUUAUUGUACAUGUAAAUCUUAAAUUUUAUAAACAGCUAUUCUUUUUCUAUUUUUACUUAGGACGAUAAAAUUUUAAUAUAUAUCGAAAAAUCAUGUAAAUCUUAAAUUUUAUAAGAGGUAUUUUAGGAAGAUUCUUUUAUGGAAGAGUAUUAAAUUUAUUACUAUUUAAUUGAUCAGAGUUCUUUUCUUUUUUACAUGAUAUGAUUGAUCUUGGAUUUAAAGCAUGGAUGAAGUCAGAAAAUUUUUGAGAGAGGUUGAAAUUAAAUUGUAUAGUUUUAUGAUAGUAAAAAUGUAAUUUUUUCAUUUUAAUAGUCUAGAUCUUUAUCAUUUUUAAAGAACUAAAUCAAAAUUUUAUCAUUUUUUGGGAGGUAAAAUGUAAUUUUAUCAUUAUAAUUUUAAAAUUUUAAAGAGCCUAAAUAGAAUUUUUCCAUUUUAGAGAGGGUGGGGCCCCUGCCAGCCCCUUGAAUUUCACCACUAAUUUAAAUGUCCGAGGCUUGCUUGGACAAAUCUCACGAAUGUCUCGAAAUUUAUUCAAGAGGGAAUUCGUUAUGUGUUUGCAAAUCCUAGCGAGAAACUUUUGUACCUUAAUGCUUUGAUUACACAUCUCCCUCAGAUCCUAUCAUAUCAUUGCUCUUUACUAAGUUGUCUUUAUAAUCAUGGCUAGCAAAAACGAAAUAGUUCAUUUCAUUUCCAAUCAAUGUGACUUGAACACCUAGACUUUAAACAUAUUUUGAACAAUUUCUAGACUUAUUUGAGUCUCUUUUUACUAGACACCAUAACACCUUUUACGAGCCUCUUAUCUUAAUGAAAUAAAUUCACCUUUGGCAAUAUUUUUAAGAAAAAGAGUCGACUUAUGGUGCAUAGGGACUUUGAAAGCCCUAGUUAAAACCCCUUAUUUGUUCCUCAUCAACCUGCGUAAAGUCACCCUCACAAACUUAAAUGUUGUGACUAGGGAAAAAGAAUUAAUUGCACCCCGGCGUGUGUGCAUUGGGCUGAUAAUCAACAUUAAAACAAUUAAUAAUAAGGUAGUAUAUUGCAAGUGUGACAGGUCGAGUUGCAAUAUUUUUAGUGUUACAAUGGAACACUCAAGUAUUCCAAGGAUCGAACCUAAUAAAGUUCGAGUACAAAGUGAUUCCUAAAAAGUCUAGCUAACUACUCAUUAAGUUUCAUAUUACGACAAUUUAUUAACAAGGAUUAAUUACACUAAUUAGCUACCUAACACUACGGAAAACCAAAUUGUAAAACAAGGAAAAUUACCCAAUUAACAAUUCAAGAAAAAUAAAUGGUUGGUUGAUUUCCAGGUUGUUGAUUAGUCUUUGGAUUAGGGAUCUAAAAGGCUUCUACUUUUAAUUGGCUCAAUUUUUACCUCUCGGACACCAAUUUAUUAAAUUAGAUGAUUUAGUACAGUUUAUCUCUCAACCUCGUCGAACUAACUCAGGCUAAAUGAAUUUAUGCUUAAUAGGAUCUCCUCUUGGUCUCACCUAUUUAUAUGGUCUCUUUAAUACGUCACCAAACAACAUUUUCAUCAACCAACCACCAUAAAUUUAGCUACUGAUCAUCAUUCCAAUAUAAACAACAACCCAAAAAAAAAUUCAAAACAUGCUUUAAAUUAAGAAGAAAAGUAGGGUUUAACAAAGCUUAGUGACUUCUUAAUGGUUGCUGGCGAAGAUGAAGAUGGCAACAAUGGUGGUGAAAAAUAAUACUAGAGUUCAUAUUUUUGCCAAAGAAAACGAAAUGAAGCUAAGCUAUAUUAAUGAGUAAGAAUUAAACUGAAAAUACAAGUAGAGUUAGUACUAAAAUGCAAAUAAAACCAAGCUAUAGUAAAAACUAACUAACUAACUAUCAUCAAAACCAUAAAAAGCUUAAAACUGAACCCUAAAAAUGAAGAAAACGACAACUAAAAGCUAAAAAUAUGGAAAGGAAAGUAAAAAGUGAGCAGUCUUCUUCUUCUCUCAAUCAAAAGUGGCUUUCUCAUUUGUUUACAACCUAAAAUUUUGGGCCAAAAUGUCCUUAGAAGUUUUUCUUAUUGGUGUUGGACAAAAACCACCCCUGUAGUCAAUUUUCUCCUCACUAGGCAGUGGUAUCGCGAUAUCCAGUUUCUGGUAUCGCGAUACCCAAAAUAGUAUUGAAAUUCGAAGUCAUAAAGGUCUCACUAUCGCGAUACCUAGGCUCUAGUAUCGCGACAUCACUGGAGUUAGGCCCAAUUUUCUUCACUUCAGCACUGUUAGGGGUAUCACGACUUCCAUGCCUCAGUGUCGCGAUACCCCACCUUUGAAUGAUGAUUUCUUCAAGUUUGGAUCAUUAUCGACUUUCUACACUCAAUCAUAUUGUUAGGUCCCCCAUGUUGCGUCUAACCAUUUGCUUCUCAAAAGGUUAUAAAAAUAAACAAAAACGUUUAUUAAUGCUUAGAACUAAAAAUUGACAAAAACAUAUAAAAGAUACUUAAAUUGCUUAAGAAUAAGCUUAUCAAUUGUAUUGGAGAGCCUAAUUUGACGUAUCAAAUUACGAUAGAUUAAGAACUCCUUUGGGUCUUAAAAUCUCGAGCAAAUUAGAUAAUUCAAUGGGAAUGUAACAGUCGUUUAUUCCAUUUAUCUACUCUAGUUCAAAGAACUGUUAACAGAAUUGAAGGGCUAAUUAUUUCAAACUAUUUUUUUAAACUGUUCACUACCUUUGGGGUUUCCUCCUCUUUUCAAAUCAUUGGCGGAGACAAUGUUUGGCCAUAGAUAUUUGAGUUUGACAAACUUUUAACAUGUAUGGAAAUUUCUGAUAUUGAGAUUGCUAAGGUGGUUUGGUCUUUCAAACCAACUAAAGCUCUUGAAUCAGAUGGCUUACACCUUCUUUUUUACCAAUGUUGUUGGAGUGAGGUAGAACAGAAAGAGCUACGUCUUAUUCGCGACGUCAAUCUAAAAUUUUAGAAUCUUUAAAUUUUGGCCCUAUUUUGACAUCGGGUUAGAAAAAGAGCUUUCAUAAGCUUGAAUAAGACCCGAAAAUGAUUAUGUAUCGCUCUAUAUACUCAUUUUUAAGGGUGAGCAAAAUUCGAUUCGAUUCAAAAAAAUCAAAAAAAAUUCAAAUUUUGAGUUAAUUGAAUCGAGUUAUUCGAGUCAACUCGAAUAAGAAAUUUUGGAUUUCGAGUUCGAGCUGAGUUGAAUUUUUACAAUUCGAAUAACUCGAAUAAUUCGAAUAACAGAUUAGUAUAAAUACCAUUUUGGACCCUGUAAAUUUUGAAAAUGGGCAAAUUGGUCUAUCUCUUAACAAAAAUUACAAAAUAAUCAAAGUAAUUUUCAAAAUUUGAAAAUAUUUUUUAAAAUUCUAAAUAUUAUAGAAAUUCUAAAAAAAUUAUAAAUUAAAAAAACUAAAAAAUAUAUAAAAAUUUUAAUAAAAUAAUAAUUUUGGUAUCUAAAUAAGUGAUUAAUGAUUUAAGUUUAUCAUAAUAAAAUAUAUAUAUUUUUUAUUUUGCUUUAAACAAGUUUUCAAAUAUAUAUAUUGUUUCAAAUUUUUGUGUUCUAACAUGGAAAUAGUUAUAUUGUACAAGAUUUUAAUUUAACAUUAUUAAUUUUUCUAAUUUAACUCAAACAGUUUCACUCGAUUCAAUCAAAUGCUCACCCCUAAUUCAAGUUAUCAAAAAAAUCCAAAUAAAAAGGGCAAAACUACAUUGUUUUGAUAAAUAUUUACCUUUUCUAAAGUUAAAAGUCAAAACUAUCAAGUUAAAAGGCAAAUCUAUGUUGUUCUGAUAAAUGAUUACCCAUUAGUCUUACUUUCCUUCCCGAAUCGCCCCACUCUCCCUUUUUUCCUUUUCUCAAAAUUAAUCUAAAAGAUUGUAUUUCGUCUACUAGUAAAAUAAUCGGUCCAUGUAAACGGAACAUUAAGUAUAAAUAAUAAGAUUCGUUAAUUCGACUCGACUUGACUCAAAUUUUUUUGACUCGAUUCGAAAAAAAUUCAAAUUGAGUUCGGUUGCUAAAAUAGGAUUCGUCAACUCAACUAACUCAAAAUUUUUUGACUUGAUUUGACUCGACUCAAUCGAAUACUCACCCCUACUCAUUUUAGUUAUAUUUGAGUGUUUAACGAUUUGUAAAUGAAUGUAGUUCAACCGUAAUUGCUUUGGCAAUGAAUAUGGCACCUCGUAACUCGGACUUGACAAUCAGGUUGGGUAACGCGGUGUUGCACCUGUUAAGUACUGCCAUACCAUCUAUUUCGUCGGUUAUGGAUUCUAUUUGUUGGGGUCCCUCUAAAUCUGGAGACUUUUCUUUAGGUAGAGCCUACUCUUUCAUUCUCUCCCGUAGUGAUCCCGAUAUUGUCACAUCAAAGUUUCUGGAUGACAUGGAAAGUUCGCCUCCCACCAAAGUUUUUUUCUUUUUCAUGGAAAUUUGGGUUGAAAGCUCUCCCCACCAAGUCUCGCAUGUUUCGUCAAGGUAUGAAUUGUGUUUAUCUUUACCCCUUCUGUUCUAAUAAAAAAAACUAUAGACCACCUCGUACGGGAUUGUUACACCACUUGAAAUUUAUUGACUGAUGUCUUCCACCUUUGUCGUUUCAAUCCAUUGCAUCUGUUAAUUAGGAGGAAUGGCUUUUGACUAAUAUCACGUCCAAAAAUUGGAUUCAACACCCACAGAUUCCCUGGUAUAUUAUAUUUUCCUUUACCUUAUGGGAAAUUUAGUUGUGCCAUAAUGCUCUAGUGUUCUCGAAGAAUAGGCCUCUAAGAGGUUUCUUGCAGCGUAUUCUGACUAAUUUUGGGGAAUUUUUUGCUUUUUCGGUCACUGUGAGAAAAUUUAGCAUUCCAUACACCAUCCCAAUUGCAUGGAAAUCUCCUCUGCAAGGUUGGGUUAAGCUGAAUAUUGACAGUUCUUCUACAGGUAAUUCGGGAAACGCAGAUGUUGGUGCUAUUAUCUGCGAUCAUCAUGGUGGGUGGUUGAUCGGUUCUUUUCAUCACAUUCCUAAAGCAAUGAGUGUAGAGGUUGAAUUGUGAGCUCUAAGAGACGGUCUAGCUUAUAUGGGGAGUAGUUUACAACUGAGUCAUUCUCAAAAAGUAUUUUCUCUUGAUGACUUAUUUUGUGUGUGCUGAUCCUCCUAUAUAUUUAUUUCAUUUACUUAUAGAUGAUACCUACGAGCAUAUUAUGUAUCGAAUCUUAUUUUAAUUGCUAAAUAAUAUUUAUUCUUUUUCAAACUAAAAAAAUUAAAUAAUAAAAUAAAAGUUUAAAUAUUAAAAUGAAAAAAAUAAAUAUACUUGAGGGCCCUUUGAGGAAAAAUAAUUUAAACGUUUAUCUAAUGGUCUAUAGGAUAAAGUAAAAAUAUAAAUCUUGGGUAGUAAAGUAGAAGUGAUAAAAUCAGAUAUGGAAAUCAAAAUUCAUUGGUCCAAUUAUAUGCUAACCUUAACCCAAUAGCCGUGAUAAAUCAAAAGGAUAAAACAACUCAAUAAAUUUCCACGGCUAAUACUAAUUUACAAAAUUUGGCUCACACAACUUCUUCUCUGUACAAUAAGCUUAUAUUUACAUUUCCCUCUUGAAAAUAACUAUUGGGAAAAACAUUGUAAAGAAUUAUUACUGAAUGCUAUAAUACAUUGUAAUCGAUGAGAUGCCAACAAGUAUGAACAAUUUUAUUUUAUUAAAAAAAAUUGUUUGCAACAUGGGAAAGAGAAAUUGUGCACUAAUCAACAAGAACUAACAACAAAAUGAAAAAUCCAAAAUAUAUAUUGAAAAAGAAAAGAAAUAACGUAUACAUUACAUUUUUCUAUACCCUAUACAAUCAAAUCACCCAAUUUGCAAACAUAUUACCUCCCUAAAAAAAUAACGACACAACUUUAAAAAAAAAACAACAACAAUAACAAAAGUAAUAAAAUAAAAUAAACAACAAACCUUUUUCUUCUCCAUUGUUUCUCUUUCUCAAAAUAUUCUCGUCGAUCAGAAAGUCCAUUUCCAGAUCUUGAGUCUCAAAUCAACCUUACAUUUUGCAUUAGAAGUUGAAGCUGUGGUUGCUGAUUUUGCCUUCGGGCCGGUAGCUUUAAUCCCUUCACAAACAACCCUUAUCCCGACCUUUGGUGUCUUCAAUGCUCCCAUUUUUGCUUCCACUUUAGUAUCGAGCUUUAUCUUUAAUGGCAGCCCCUUCUUGCUCUUCAAAGCUUUCUUCAACUUGGCAGCUGACGCGUCAUCGAGUUCUUGGUUGCUACUAGUUAUGGCAGCUUUCAAGAGGGUCGUGUUUUUAGUUCCGUGCACGAAGGAACCGAAGGAACCUUCCCCAAUAGCGAUGUCGUCGUCUGUGACAAGCGCUACGGUGAUUGGGUUGUAACUGUAGACGACUUUCUUGUUUGGGUUUUUGGCUGUGACGUUUAGGUUGAUGUUGGUGAUCAGCUUGGAAGCUGAGGUUACGUUAAGUGCCGAGAUUUUGAGGGAGGAAACUGUGAAAGUAGGACGGUGAGGGCGGUAAAGGACGUACAAUAUAGCAGAAGCUACGGCGGCUAUGAGGAUGAGAACGAGGAUAGCUAUGGUGGUCCAAAGGCAGCAAGAACAGCAAGAGCGGCGGUAGCGGUGGCGUUCGGGUUGUGGACGGUAGACAGGGCGGGAGGCUCCGUAUUGUUGUGCUUUAGUGGCUGGAAAAGAAGGGUUGGUUGCGGCGGCGGUGCCAUUUGUCGCUUGUUUAGGGUAUAUCCUAUCUGCCAUGGUGAUGUUGGGGGAGAGAGCUCAGCAAAGAGAAGAAAAGGCGUUAAUUUGCUUUUGGAUUUCGAACUUGAAGGAGAAAAUACUGACUGCCCUGUCUUUAUACAUUUUAAACGUGCUUGUCAGCGCGUAUUUUGGGGAGAGUGGGAUAGGGAAGAAAAGGGAAUUGUUUUGGACUCAAGCCAACGAGGGAAAUAAUCUCGUGUUCUCUUUGUUUUGGUCGGGUGACUUUGUGAUAAGGGUAAUAUUGACUAAGGAGAAGGAAGGUGGGAGUGACAGCAAUGCCGUAACUAGAACCAACGAAAGGUUAUCUCGACGCUCUUGUUUGGGGACGUGGAAUUGACAUGUAGUGGUAGUUAAGGUUUUCUUUUUUCCUUUUUUUCAAUUUAACAAAAUUUGAUUUCAGUCCUAAAUAAAUUUCUAUUUAUACUCUUAUUUAACUUCUUAAUUUGAGCUCACAUUAAUUUUUUUUUUCAUAUUUAAAAUAAAUUAUUAUAUAAUAAUAUUUUGAUUUUUUAAAUACAUGUAAUUACAACUGUAUUAGUAAAACCUUAAUUUUAUCAUUCAACCAAGUUUCUACUUUAAUUCUUUUGUACAUUUUAAUUUUAUUAUGCAUACUUUAGUACCUUUAUUAAUUUUAUAUAUAAAUAAUAUUAUUGACUGAGUUGGUGUCACAAAUUAACUCGACACCAGCUUAAGAUUGAUGAUAACACCAUGAUAAACAAAUUGUAUUCAUUUAGUAUUCUUAAUAUGAUUCUUAAUGUGUUUCAAUUUUGUUUUACUUACAAUUUUAUUUAAUUUUUUAUUUUAAUAUCGUACACAUUUCAUAUGUCAUUAAGUAGUUUCAAAUCAUACAUUGCUAUUUUAAAACUCCCAUAUGUAUUUUAAAUGUUGUUUUCUCAAUCAAAUUUGAGUUUAUUAAAAAUAAAACUUAUGAAAUUACAAUGAUAAACACCUAUUAAAACAUCUUAUUACAAUGAUAAACACCUAUUAAAACAUCUUACUCAUCGCCAAACACCUUAAACUAAAUGAUAACAAACCUCUACAAUAAACCAAUUUUCAUCCCAAAACCAUGCCCCGAUAGAAUGAAAAACCCAACGUAUCUAAAAUAUCUCAUAGGAUUGCGUAGAUUAAAAUAAGUCAAACCUGCAAUCUCUUGUCAUCACUUUUGCAAACUUUCUCUCCAUCAAUGUCGCCACACAAUUGAGCUUAACCCCAAACUCUAAUUGUUUUUGCUUGCUUUUUACUUAAUUUCCUAGACAUACAAUCAUCCAAUUCAUCAAAAUAUUUCCAUUUCAAAUGCUUGUGUUUUGUGUGAUUGAAUCUCUAAUAUCAUUUAAAGUCGUCAUAUUAUGAAUGAUAUUUUAGUAGUUGGAUAAAAAAUGGUGUUCGAAUUUUUAAAUAUUUAAGAUCAAAUUUUAUAAUGUAAUUUGAUUCUAUUUAUAAUUAGUCGGAAAAAUAUUUUCUGUAUUUAUUUAUAGUAAACUCUAAAAAAAAAUUCAACGUUGGGUUGAUUUUUAUUCAUCAGUUGAAAUAGGAAUUCAAAAUUAUAGGAAUAGAAAAGUGGUGAUGGUCAGUAUCAAAAUUAUACUCGUAUAAUAAUUCAGAUGAAGCGGAGUUUAUGGGAUUAGAGCUCGAAAUUUAUAAUGUAGAUGGACUGUUACAUCCAUAUCUCCCAUGUGAGUUCAUUAAUUCAACUACAUCAAAUAUGUGUUGUAUUUAAUGAAUUGUGUAUCAUAAUUAGAUUGUAAAUGAACAGGAACUUCCUUGAAUAUUUAAUAAAAUUAUCCCUAAUUGAAGUUUUCAUUUCAUUUGAAUUUGAGGGUUUUAAAGGAAUGGAAGGGAUAAUGUAGUUCAUCCUUUAACACUGUUUUUGGUAAGUUGGGAAGAAAUUUUUGGAAAAAAAUUUUCAAAUCUUAUAUAUAUAUUUUUAGAUGUCAUAAGUUGAUGUAUUAUAGUGAAUUUACAAUUGAGUUAUUCUACUUUUAUUUUUAGUAAUUUUUUUUUAUAUUUUAAAUUCCAAAUUUAAGUUCAAUUGUUAAUACUAUUAUUUUUUUUUUCUGUUAAAUGAGUUGGUGUGACAUUUUGGGAUAAAAAAAAAUAUUUACUAGGUAGUAAUGUAACUAAUAAAUGUUGUUGUAAGAACCUAAAUUUAGCAAAAUAAUUUUAACAUAGUUGGACUUAGAAUUUUGAAAUCUGAAAAGUAGAGGGACUAAAUUCUUAAAAAUAAAAAUACGACGACUAAAUUCUAAAUUUAUGAAGAGUAUAAAAACUUAUAACAUAUUUUAAUAUUUUUCUUUUACAUUUGGGACCGAAAUACUUAUUCCGACUUAAUAUUUGUGUAUUUUAUAAUAAAUUUAAAUAAUAUUUUUAUUAAUUAAAAUUGAAACCCACCAAACCAAAAUAUUUCUCUGUCACAUGCAAAAUGGAGGCAAAGAGCAAAAGAGAGUGAUUGAGCAAUGUCAAAAUUUGACAAAGUACCUAAGAUGACACCUAAUAGGGAAAUAAAUUAAUGAAGUGUUUGUUUAGAAGGAAAUUAAACAGGCAUUUGCCAACUGAAUUAAACCCGUAUUAGUGAAAGUCAAUGCUUAUAAUUAUAUAACAAAUUAAUUUUCUCAACAAUCACAGACGUUCCCAUGUUACCUAAACCUAAUUUUAGACUUUUCUCUCCAAAACAGGUCGACCAUAAGGCUUAGUUAAGAAUGGGAAAUUAACCAUGGUUGUAAAUUAUCAUAGGCUAUAAUAUAUAUAUACACAUAUAUAUAAUAUUGAAGGCACUGAUUGCCAAACUUUAUACCAAAAUAGAGCUUUGUCUCAUUGGCUUUCCAUUUUGCUCAAUGAUGGACAUCGAAGAAAACUAGGAAACCCAGCAAUUUGAUUCCUCACCUACUGAGUGAUGACCCAAAAAUUAAAUUAAAAUAAUUGCUUGUUCCCUUUUUUUUUGUAUUAUUAUUAUUGUUGUUAACACAGCACAUCAUGUGAUUGUGCUAAUUUUUUAAAUAAUUUUUUAUUUUAUAAUACGGAAAUUUGAUUACAACAGCUUAAUUGCCAUCAAUGUUCUUCAAUACUUCGACACUCCCCGCCCCCAACCAAUAUGUAUAGCUCUAAUGUUGUAAAAACGUAUCGUGGUCCAAUAGUUAAACUAUUAAUUAAUUCAACCACUUAAAAAAUAAAAAAAUACUAGACACAACUAAUUAAUUAUAGAAACAUAAAUAUUUGUUUUAUAAAUUAUAAAAAUUAAAUUAAAUAUUUAAACUAGUUUAAAUUCAAAUUAAGUAACUUUUAAUUGAACUUUUUAUUUAGUUCGCUUGAUUUUUUAUCGAUUCAAUAUUCUUCCGAACAACUAUUUCUCAAGUCAAUCUAUCGCUCUAAUUCUAACAGCCAUGUUUUCUUCUUGUUUCUAUGUAAAAUGAACAAUCUCAAAGUGAUACAAAACAAUAUAUUUUCAACAUCAGGUGGAAAUGGACAAGGCAAUACUCAUUCCUAUUAUGUUGAGUAAGGGUGAGGUCAGUUCGGUUUCAUUCGGUUUUUUUAAUUGGAUUGGGGUAUUCGGUUUUUUCAUUUUUCAAACUAAAAUUGAACCGAAUGACAUAAGAAAUCAAUUAUUAUUGAAUCGUACUAAAUCAAUUCAGUUCAGGUUUCGAGUUUCCAUAAUAUUUUUGAGCUUUUGGACUUUUUUUAGAUAAAAUUGUCUUUGUAUUUGGACUUUUCAACUUUAAUUAGAUAAAGUUAUCUUUAUUUUAUGUUUCUUGGACACUGUUUGACAAUUUUAAUUUUUUUCAGUUAUACAUAAAAUCUCAAUUAAUAUAUUUAUUUAAAAAUAAAUUGUAAAAUCUAUAAUUCUAAAUGUUUAUUAAAAAUCUAAUUAAACUGUGAUUUAAUCUCUCAAUCUUCAAUGAACACAAUCAAAUGUUAAAUUACUUGUAUUUUAUAACUCUUAAUGUGUAAUGAUAGCAAAAAAACACCCAACUUGGAAAUGUUUGUAACACCCCUUGCUCGACCCGAUUGUCGAGUCCGAGUUACAAGAUACCACAGUAAAAAAAAUGAAACAGUUACAUACAUUUAAAUACAUAAUUUACAUCAUAAUUCAAGUAUUUAUAAUCAAAACAUUUCACAAUUACUUUGUACGAUCUAUUACGGGUCUUAAUCGAGCCUACAAAAGCUAAUUUACAAACCCGAGCUUGAAAAAUGACCAAAUUACAAUAUUUUCAAAGUUUCCAUAAUAGGUAUCGAUGCCCCCAUAUAGGUACGGAUAUAAUCUUUAGCUUUGAUGUUUAGAAAAAUCUUAACAAAAUCACAAGUACCGAUACGUACUAUAAGGUACCGAUACCUCUUUUACAAAGUAUCGAUACCCAUUUCAGUAUCGAUGUCGUUUUACAAUUCGAUAUUUUCAGAAAAUUAAACAAAAUCAUGUGUAUCAAUACCCUCAUUAAGUAUCGAUAUCCUGAUAUGAAGUAUUGAUACUUUAGUCCAUUAUCGAUACCAUUUUGAGCUCAAUUCGGACCUCAAGGUUUAAAAUUAGGUUAGAUUUUAUUUUAUUUUAUUUUUAUUUUUAAGAUUUGAGGUAAAAAUAAGAUUUUUUUUUAUUUCAAUUUUCAAUUUGAGUUUUUUUUCGAUUUGUUUAAUAGUUUUAAAAGUUGAAGUUGCAACUCAAAAACGAUUUAAGCUUUUUCGAAUUAAACUUACACAUAUAAAUAAUGAUUUCCAAAAAUAUAUUUGAACACAUUAAAAAUUGAAAAUGGAUAUUAUUUCUUUGAGGACUAACGAUUUUGCUCUUCUAUUUGUUUCAAUGGAAUCCAAAAUAAUAAUAAUAAUAAUAAUAAAUUGCAACAAUGAGAAAGAAAGUUUUCAUGUGUCAAAAUGAAAAAAAUAGGAAAAAAUUAAUGUUUUACUAUGAAGGAAAAUUAGGAAAGACGUGUUUUAAUCUCAUCCCUAAAUCAUUUUUAAUUUAAUGGUUUAAAAAUAUUAUAAAACUAUCCAGAUCUAUCUUAGUGUAAAUGGAUUCCUCCCCUAUAUUUAUUUAUAUCCUUACCAUAAUAUAAAAUUAAAAAAGUUUCACACACUUCUAUAACUUUUUAUUCGAUUAAUAUUUUAACAACUCAACCAUUGAAUUUUAUUAAUAUGGUUAUACUUAUAUUGUAUGUAAAAUUUUGAAUUAAUCUGAUACCUCUAUCAUAUUGAUCUAAAAUAUUGCUUAUCAAUAUAUAUAUAACGGCUGAAAGUUUUUUUUACAUAAAACAAAUAGUUAGAAAAAUUAAAUUUAUUUUACACUUGACAUGCAUUAUUUGUAUAAACCAAAUAUAAAAUAUUUGGAUUGUUGAAAUAUUAUUCGUACAAAAAGUUACGAAAAUAUUUAGUUUUAAACUAAUAUAAAUGGACCCCUUCAUGUAUAUAUACAUGUUUGUGUGUGUGAGAACGAGAAAAUUGAAUAUAUAUCAAUAUUAGAAAUUUUAUGACACGCGUAUGCGUAUGAAAAUCAUGAAUUUAGAAUACAUAUGUGUAUUUAGAAAUAACAUACAAUAAUGAAACAUAUAGUUUGAAACUAAUUAAUUACAAUAACACAAAUAUGUAUUAAAAUAAAAAAUAAAUAAAAAAUUACAAAUAUCAACUAGAAAAUCAAAUAUAUAAAUAUAUAUUUUUGGAAGGAGUAUAUGAUACCUUAGAGCCAAAACAAUUAUCAAUAUGAUAUAAAAAAUAAAGAGUAAUACAAUUUUUUUUUUUUAUAAUUGAGAGAGAAAAAUAGGAUAGCUCUCAUAUCAUACCUAUAUUAAAAUCACUAAAUAAAAUUUAAAAACAAUAUAAUAAAGUAGGUAUUUUGAUUGGAGAAGGUUUAUUAAAAGUCCGAAAACAAGUGGAUGUUUCAUUAUUCAGGUAUUUUAGUCAGAAAUAGAGUUGAAUACAAGUUUUGACUCUAAAUAAUAAUAUAAUGGGAGCCCAUAUAUUGUAGGAUGCGGAAGAGGCCUCGCCAUUCAGAAAGAACAGUGGACCAAUAGUUGUCAUAUCUUUUACGUAAGGUUGCUUAGUAGGCCCAUCUCGUAUGUUAUGACCCAUGCUUUUCAGAUUCUGAGGAUAGGACAAAUAAAAACCAUUUUGCAAAUCUUUAUAUGUCCAAAAGGACUACAACAUAUGGUGCAAAAUGAAUAUGGCUUCUUACGCUUUUGUUUGAAAAUUUCACCACCAUGUUGGUUCUAUCUUUUCUUUAUAUAAAAAUAACCAUAAAUAUCUAACCAUUAAAAUAUCAUGUUUUAAAAGUCAUGUCUCUUUUCGAAAAUACAUUUUAUGGUAGGUUUGGAAAUUAUGAUUUCGCUUGGUUUGGAUAACAAAUUAAGUAUUCGAGUUAAAUUUUGGAUUUCAAAAAUUCAUUUUAAAAUCUAAUAUUAAUUAAAAAAAAAGAUGAGAAUUCUUUUUGUUCUCCAUUCUUCCACACUUCCUUUCAAACCCAAAUAAUAAUUAAUUAAUUUUACUUGUAAUAUAUAAUCAUCGAAGCUUGAGGUUUUCAGAAUUGGACCGGUAGGCAAAUCAGUCAGACCACCAAUUCCUAGUUCAAUCGAUCCAUUCGGUUUGAUUGAAUAAAUUAAUAAGAAUAUAUAAAAUCGAUUCAACUGUCGGUUCAGCCGAUUCACUACUCAAUCAAUUUGACCCUUUAUUUCAAACUGAUACCUCGAUCGGUUUUCAAUCUGACUUUGAAAAGAGUAACAAAACUUCAUGCAUUUAAUUUAAUACAGUAUAAAUAUUCAAAAAUUUCAGUUAUACCUUCAAUUUUAAAUCCUUGAUUUCUAAUUUAUACCUAACUACCUAAGUAAGUCCAUUUAUGCCCAGUACAAUUGAUUUAACUAGUUGAUCUGAUUUAGCUUUGAAUAUAGAGAUGAAGCUUCGUGUUUUUUUAUUUAAUAUGGUAUAAAUAUUUAAAAGUUUCAUUUAUACCAUAAUCUCCACAAUUUUAAUUUAUAAAUCCCUGACUUUUAAUUUACACCUAAGUAAGUCCACUUAUUUAAGUACAAAUCAAUUCGACCAUUUCAAUUGCUUUGAUUGGUACGAUCGGUUCAGUUGGUCCAUUCAAUUCUAUUAAAAAAAUCAUAAAAAAAUUGGUUGAACCUCCAAAUCAAUCGAUGACCGAUAUCCUGGCUAAUUCUCUGUCCGAUCAACCAGUCUAGUCUAGUUCAAACAAAAAUGUUCAAAAUCCUCCUAAAUAGUUAAAUUAAAAAAAAUCAAUGCUUAAAAUUAAUUGAGAUCCAAAUCUAAAUUUGAAUUAUCCAAACAAUAAAUUUGGAUUAAUUCAAAAUCUUGAAUUUCAAAUAAUUUAUUUCUCAAAAAUAAAUUAGGAAUAAUAAAUUCAUAAAUCAUAAAUUUCAAAGCUAAAAUUUUGAAUUUCAAUCCUCAAACAUUACCUUAAUUUAUUCAAACUUUAUUUCUUAAAUAUUUUUCCUAAAAGAAUAAAAGCAAAUAAAAAUCAAUAAUCGAUUGUGAGCAAAUCCAAUAUCCACAAAGAUCUAAAUGAAGUAAAUCAUUUAAUAUGUCAGUUAACGAUGGAUGCAAAUUAAGUUGAGGGAUCAAAGACGAUGAUCAUAUUAAAGCCUUACACUGGAGUGUUUAGUCUUCUAAUUAUAUCUAAUCAAAGACUAAUUAGAGAGCAUCAUACCUAAGCAAAGACUUAUGAACUGGGAAAAAGGUGGUUUAUGUAUAAUGCCUUACACUGGAGUGUUUAGUCUUCUAAUUAUAUCUAAUCAAAGACUAAUUAGAGAGCAUCAAACCUAAGCAAAGACUUAUGAACCGGUCCACAUAAAUUAAAACAUGUUUCAAACCGAUUUAAAAAUAAUAACUAGUUUUAUAUAAAUAUAUAUAUUUUAUGUUAGCUUUUAAUAAUAUUAUUAAUUACAUAGCUAAGACAAUAUAAAAAAAGAGUUGGCAACUUUACAACUUUACCUACAUUCAUAAAUUAAUUUCAUAAAAUGGGUAUUUUAUUUUAUUUUUAUAUUUAACAAAGCUUUGACAUUAUUGAUUAAAAUGAGUAUUUUUUUUAUUAAUUUAAUCCUCCGUUAUAAUUACUUGUAUAUAUAUAUUGAUUUGUCUCUAAAAUUUUGAUAAAUAUUUAUAUUUAUCUUGUAAAUGUAUUUUAUUUAUUUGUAGAGGCAACACUUUGAAAAUAUUUUUAAAAAAGAGAGCUGCUGGCUUAUCUUAAUAAAAAUUUAACCAAGUUCACCGACACUUAAGUUUUUAGUUUGCGUCUUGGGUGUGCCACUUUUGUCUGAUUUUUAUUUUUAUUUAUCAAGUAAAAGAACCUGUAAAAAACAAUGGUGGUGGUGGUGGUGUCCAACGUUGCCUUCCAAAAUUACUACCUAACUCUGCCUAAAUUGUCUGUUGUGGGGACGAGUAUCCAUAAGUUCGAUAUUUCCUCGAUCAAUUGAAAAUACUUGUCAAUAUCAUUGGUUAAUAUUUUUUCUGAAAGAAAAAAAAACCCAUUAAAUGGUCGAAAUAGUUGGAAUUUAGUUCAAACCCUAAUCACAGAAAUGUCAAAAAUCAUAAUUCUAUAGUGGACCGGGUGUCUAUUAAAAUAAAAAACAAAUAAUAUUCUGGAAUAUAAUGAUGAUACUUGGGAUCUGGUUUAUUAAUUUUCUAAAGCAGUCAAGCAAUCCAUGUGAAACAGUUGAGCCAAAUAUACCCCCAACAACAAUUCUCCCUCUAUCACUGAAAAGUGUCUUAGACCAAGCUCCUUUUAAGUUUACUGUUCUGCUUUGAUCAGCUCCAGUAAAACUUUGAUUUUUUUGGAUAAUUAUAGUUACCUUUAGUCACUUCUACUGAAAAAAGCUGUUUUCUUCCAUUAAAAUUAUGUCAAUCUUCUUAUUAGUCUUCAAUAAAAUCUUCUUAUUAGUCUUCAAUAAAGGGAUAACCUGAUUUUUUUGGUUACCAAAUCCCUGGCUCUUUUAUUUUUAUUUUUUUGAGGUGUACCAUUAGUGGGUCUGCUUUUGUACUCUCAAUAAGGCAGUAUAAUUUUUGUUCCUUCAAGUUAUAAAUAUAUACCCAUGUUUUGCUUCAGGGUGUUGUUUCAGUUUUCACUGCUUUGUUUCUCUUAUCUUUUUCUUGCUUUAAUGCUUGGCUAAGAGGCCUGAGAGAGGGAUGGAACUUUUUUGAGAUUGAAUUCCAGCUUUUUUGGAAGUGAAAAAAAAUGGGGUUUCAGUUUCAAUUUAUUCUCCUGCUGGUGACAAUAUGUAUAACUUUGAGUGCCAUGUCAGUUGAUGGAUCAUCAGGUACUAAUGAUGUCUAUAUCUGUUUUCUUCUAAGCUGAUCUUUUAUUUUUAUAGCGGGCUGUUUUUGAUCCAUGCAUUUGUUUGCCUUUUUUGAUUGAGAUUUUUCAUUAAAUUUGUACUCAAAAUCCAUUUUAAAGAUCUGGGUUAUUUAAGCUAGUUUCAGUGAUCAAGAACUAGGAUAAUGAAUGAUGAUGUACUUUGAGCUUGUUGUGAAAUUGGCACAGUUGAGAAUUUAAGUAACUGAUGGAAUCUGCAUUUCAUGAUCACUGAGAAAAGCCUGAAUGAGUGAAUUUGAAAUCAGCGUGUUCACAUUUCGUGAUUCCUAGAUAGUUUUGAUUUUCAGAAGUUUAUUUCCUGGGGAUCUGUUGUUCUGAGGGUUUUAUCAUUGAUAAAUUGUCCGAAUAUUCCAUGGCUCGUGGAGAUUAAUGAUGACGGGCGACUUUGUCGUCCAAAAGCUAAUAGAUUGCUUUGAUCUACAAUCUACUACAUGGUGCUCUUACAUCAAAUCCAUCAUUUCCUUUGAAAAAAAAACACAUGUUUAGGAAAGCAAAACGAUUUGUCACUAAAAAACUGACAGUAAUGCGGUGCGGUGUGUCUAACUUAUUUUUUGUCUCAUGCUACAGUAUUUAAUUUCACCUCACCGUUGUUUUUACACAAACAACAGGUAAACGCACCGUCCAUCCAAACUCACAUUAAUGGAGUUUGGUAUUUAGGUUCUCAUUAUAGCAUGAUAUAUCCAUUAAAUAUAUGAAUUUAGCAGUCAUGAUAUAACAAAUGUUGUCAUCAUGAGGUUCACUGACAUUACUAACUUAAAGCAUUUGCUUAUUGAUGUUGCUGCUUAAUCUGCCUAAGUUUUUGUUCCAUUGGUAUUUUUGAUGCAGUAAGAGCUUCAUGGACGCCGCCAAUAGUAAUGCCAGCAGAAGCACCAACCAUUCAUCCUAUCGGGCUAGGUCCACCACCAUCGACGCAACCAGGUGAAUGUCACAAAAUGGGAUUUUUGAUAGACUAAGACUGCAUAUAUCCCAAUGCUUGAUUUCUUUUUGGAUCUUAAACACCACGGUGCUAUCUAUGAUCUUAGAAGAAAGUUUUGCAAGAAAGAAUAUGAAAGUUUCCAGUUAAUUCUGUUUCCAUAACAUCACUGUUCUUGCUGAUCACGUCUAAUAUAUUGAUGAUCCACAAUGAUUAAUGUUCAUUCGAUCUUUUUUAUACCGACGUUACAGAUCCAGCACCCUCUCUGACACCAACUACUCCCAGCUUUGGCAGGACAAGAAAUGGAAAGUUGGCUGCUGUCCCUUCUAGCAAAGUAUUCCAUCAUUCAUCAUCUUCCAUGGAUCACUCUCCAACUAAAGGUGAGUGGAUAAUCUAGAAUACCUUCCGUCUUUGGAAAAGGUAAUGAAACCAUCAGUAAAGGUUGUUCUCUUUGAUUUGUAGCCAUCCAUCCGCACCAUGCCUUGAAGCCUUCAAGUAUUUCGGUUGCACCUACUGCACCAUCUUUUGGACCCCCUGCAAAGAAUUGGAUGCAUGGUCCUGCAUCCUUACCUUUGGUCCCGUUUCAUAAGCAUCAUCAUGCAAGGAAACAUUUCAGAAACUCUGCUCCUCGACCCUCCUAUUCAAUUCAUCAACCUGCUUACAGGCAGCAAGGUUUAAUUCUCUCCCUUGGUAGCCCCUAAUAGUUAUUUUUGAGGAUUAAAACUAAUUGAUAUAUAUAUGUAUUCACACUUAAAAUACUUCUAAAUGCACAGUUCCUCCCGUCUCUCCUUCUCAAUAUCCCACUCCCAGCUGGGUUUCACCUGCACCAUCACCUACUGCCACGUCAAACCACUUUCAUAGUAUGGAUCAGUUUACUUCUUUCAUUUGCUUAACAAUGCUUUCUUUUACUAACUUUAAACUGUUUAUUAAUAACUAUCAUAUCAUCUUCAUGAUUGUAGAUAUGCCCAUUCUUCAACCUGCAAUUUCUCCGAUUGCUUCUUCCCUGAAGAAGAUGAAGGCUCCGCCACCAUCCAUCGUUAUGGCACUGCCACCUCCACCUCCUAAUAAAGGUACCAAGUACCUCCUGUAUGAUCUAUGUUUUCUGAUCAAGAGAAGAAAACAAAGGUUAAAUUCGAUAUCAUUUGCAGAUUGUACAUCAGUGGCAUGCAGUGAGCCCUUAACAUAUACACCUCCUGGAUCACCUUGUGGUUGUGUGUGGCCAAUUCAAGUUAAGCUUCAGCUUGGUGUUUCAAUAUACACCUUUUUUCCUUUGGUUUCAGAACUGGCUCAGGAAAUUGCUGCUAGUAUAAGACUAAAUCACAGUCAAGUUAGGAUUAUGGGGGCAAAUGCAGCUAGUCAGGAGCUUGAGAAAAGUACAGUCCUCAUCAACUUGGUACCAUGGGAAGUAAAAUUUGACUAUACAACAGCAUUAUUAAUCUAUAAUAAGUUUUGGAGUAGACAGGUCUUCAUAAAGGCCUCCCUUUUUGGUCCCUAUGAAGUCGGUUAUGUUCGCUAUCCAGGUAAUAUAUCUGUUUCUCCGUUCUUUUAGGUUGUUUUCUGGAUAAUUUCACUAUCAGAUGGCAUGAUCUGAAGACUUUUGGAUGAUUCCAACAUGUAAAGGUCUUCCACCCUCACCGCCUGUAGCGAGUUCCAGCGUUUCUGCUAUUGAUGACGGGCCAUUCACUGGCCAUAACAAUCAUGGACAAGCAAUAAAACCUUUAGGAGUUGAUGUUCCCAAGAGGAAGAGAGAAGGGCCUACACGAAGCAUGAUAGCUGUGAUUAUUCUGUCAUCCUUUUCAGCCUUUGUUGUAUGCUUGGGGAUCAUUUGGCUUUUUCUUUGGAAAUGGGGCGCUUGUGUCAAUGAACCGGAACAUAAACCGCAAACUACAACGUUUUCUCCACCACCACCGUCAGGUACUUCCAUUAUGACUGAAUUCAUAGAGGGUAUUUCUCAUAGAACAUGAUUCGGCUUUCAAAUAUAAAGCUUGUUGCCAGAUUUUGUUAUGAAAUCAGGCUUUCUUCCUUGUUCAACUUGAAUUUCCAGUUUGCUGUUCUUCUAUAAUCUGUCAUAAUUACUCCAAAGCAUUAUUGUUCAGACUUCAUUUUGUCACAAAUCAUAAAAUUCGAAUACAACAGGGUCUACUAGAGCUGUGAUGCAAGGAAGCAAGUCCAGUGCUGCUUCAAUGUCUAUUAGUUCCGGUGGGAUGACAUAUACAGGAUUGGCAAAGAACUUCACCUUAAAUGAUAUAGAAAGAGCGACAAAUAGCUUUGAUGCUUCACGGGUGAUUGGCGAAGGGGGUUUCGGCAUUGUCUAUAGAGGCAGUUUAGAUGAUGGAGCUGCGGUGGCUGUUAAAGUUCUGAAGAGGGAGGAUCAACAUGGGGGACAAGAAUUCUUGGCAGAAGUGGAGAUGCUUAGCCGCCUGCACCACAGAAAUCUGGUUAAACUGAUUGGUAUUUGCACUGAGGACAAUACACGUUGUCUCAUCUAUGAACUUGUUCCAAAUGGAAGUCUUGAAUCCCAUUUGCAUGGUGAAUAUCUUCAGCAUAACUAAAAUCCCCUUUCCACAUUUUCCAUUUGCAAGUGAUUAGACUGCUUACAACAGCUUAGAGAUUGUUUUAAUUCUCUAUCUAUGUUCUCCCAGGAGCUGAGAAGGAAACUGAUCCACUCGACUGGGGUGCUCGAAUGAAGAUUGCGCUUGGUGCAGCUCGAGGUUUAGCUUAUUUACAUGAAGACUCCAGCCCCCGUGUUAUACACCGAGACUUCAAGUCCAGCAACAUCUUGCUGGAACAUGAUUUUACACCAAAAGUUUCGGAUUUUGGAUUGGCUAGAACCGCAAUAGAUGAAGGGAACAAAUACAUCUCAACACAUGUGAUGGGAACCUUUGGGUAUGAACUUCUGUACCAUCUUUCCUGAAACAAUCUUUUUCUAUUUUCAUGACCAUUUAUGAUUCGAUACUCGCAUGCCUCAUGAGAAUCAGCUGUCUAAAUUGCUUAAAAUGUAGUUAUGUUAGUACUUUUUCAUUCUUUCUUUUUCUACAUCUAGAAGAUUUGUAACUUAUAAACUACUCAUUUUUCAGUUACUUGGCUCCGGAGUAUGCAAUGACCGGUCACCUUCUUGUCAAAAGUGACGUUUAUAGUUAUGGGGUGGUUCUACUUGAGCUCUUAACAGGGAGGAAACCUGUGGACUUGUUACAGCCCCCGGGUCAAGAAAAUCUCGUUGCAUGGGCUCGUCCACUCCUUACAGACAAGGAAGGUCUGGAAAUGGUCAUCGAUCCAGCCAUAAAAUCUGAUAUCUCACUUGAUAGCAUAGCAAAGGUAGCGGCAAUUGCAUCAAUGUGCGUGCAGCCGGAAGUAUCUCAUCGGCCAUUCAUGGGUGAAGUUGUUCAAGCAUUAAAACUAGUAUGUAAUGAAUUUGAUGAGAGAAUGGAGGUAGAAUCAAAAGCUGGCAUCCAGGAGGACUUUCCUAAAACUGUAGAUAGUAAACUUAGUAGACUUUCCAGUGAGCCUGUGGAAGCUUCAGAUACCUAUCACCCAAUACCUGGCUAUGAUUAUAGCCAUGAGAGCAAUAUACCAUUGUCUUCAUCGGAUCUUUUAAGUAUCCCACCGGGACCUGAGCUGCAGGAGCCUGGGUCAUUUAGGAGGCACUCGUGUUCGGCCCCCCUAGGAACAGGAAGGAGAAGACAUUUCUUGCAGAGAAUAAGAAGUUUAUCGAGAGGCAGCCGAAGUGAACACGGAUUUUCUGUCAAAUUCUGGCGAGGGUCUCGUUAAAAUUUUGCUAAAACCGUUUUCAUUGAAGUUGCAAUAAUUUCCAUGGGAAAUUAGAGUUUGUUCUCUUGAAUCCAGACUGAUGCUUUAUUCUCUUACAUGCAUGCACCAGAUGAAAAGUUGUGAAUUUUGUUCUUUUUUCUCUUGAUAUAAUAUGUCAGUUAUGGUUUCCAUCAAUUCUAGGAAUACCAAUGAUGUCUAUCGAGUGUGUGUGCGUGUAAAUGGAAAAUACCAAUGACACAACACAAUAUCUUAAAAUAGCAUUGAGUCAUUGACAACUACGUAACCUGAUCGUCUUAUGCUUUUAUGAAAAUCUCAUGCGACAGCCAGAGUUUAUAUGCAAAGAGCUUGAGUUCUUCAAGCACAGCCCUCACAUGCUGGCCAACAACAAUCUUCUGCGACUAAAGUUGUCAUUUAAUAUCCUCCACGGUUAAUAUUUUAUAAUGUUGGUAGCUUAUAAUAUUUUAUUAGAUUAAAUAAUUGUAUUGUAAAGAUGUAACAUUUGUAUGUAAAUUUAUCUUAUAUAGAUAUAUAAUUUUAUAUAUAACUUUAUAUAAAAUUAUUUUAUAAAACAACGCAAUCAUGUGAAAGGGUGUCUCAUUAAAAGAUAUAUCUCUAUGAAAGGUAUAUCAUGAAAAGAUACAUCUAUUAGAUGUAAAUAUAAAUGACCUUUCUAUUAGUCAUUCUGACUAUUCUGCUUAAAAUAUUGAGGAUUUUGUUAUAUCUUGGAUGUAUUUUAAAACCUUAAGAAAGUGUUCUACACAUCUCAAAGUCAAUAUAUUUUAAUAAUAUUAUUAUGCAUCAUUUUAUCUAAAUUCUUGAAAUUAUCAAUCCAUAAGUUGUAUUCCAAAUAAUAUGAAAAGAAAUCAUGCAACAAAAUAAAUAAUUAGUUCACUUACCUGUAUUGUAAUCAAAGAGGAGACAACACUUAUAAUUUGUAGUCAUAGAAUAAUUUUUGUUUCAACCUUGAUCUUAAAGCAUGCAUCACGACAAUAAAUCACUAUUCUUCCUUUGUACAUCAUAUAUAAAAUUAUCAUAUGAAAGGCACAUUUUAAAAUUGUUAUUUUUAGUGAUAAAAAAAAUCUAUUGAUAAAUGAUUGUCACAAAAUCAUAUAAUAAUAUAUUGAUAAUAACAAAACAAUUAAUAAAAAGGUUGUUAACAACGAUUAAAUAACUGAAUAGUAAAGUUACAAUAAUAGAGACCAUUUAAAGUGUAGAUUCAAAAUAAAAAAAGUGAUGAUUUGGUAAAGACACCUCAACAACAAUUAAUGUAUUAUAUAUAUGCUUUGUUUAAUGUUGGAAUUAUUAUUAUUUUAUUCUAAGUAAUAUUUUUUUUUGCAUGGUUAUAUAUAUAUAUGAUAUAAUGAUAUAUUACUAAAUUUAUAUGCUCUUAUAUUGAAUUGAUAAAAAGUUUUAGAACUAAAGUUUCGAAAUAUCAAAUGAUUGCUAUGUUAGUAAUAUUUCAGUUGAAAUUAUAUUAGUGAGAAUAAUGCCAACAAAAAAAAGAGAAAGAUAAACAUGUAAAAUAGACAAUUGCUAAAUUUCCCGGGGCAUAGUAAUCUCUUACAUAAACUUUAUGCACUACUACAAACACUGCUCUUCAAAUGCCACCACUUGGUCUCAUGUCAUUAUUACACAUGAGCAGCUUUUCCUAGUCUUCUUCUCAAAAUCUUGACUCCCAUGUACCUGCAAAAAUCAGAACAACCAGGUUAAUUUAGCUCCAAAAUCAUGAUUGUUUACCAGCUUUGGUCUCAACGGUUACUGCUGGUUGGCAUGACUAAUGAAAUGUGUAGACAAAGCUAACCUGCCCAUCAUCAAGACAGUGCCCUGAGGAUUUGUUCCAGGGGAUUCAUUAAAUGUGGAGCCAUCGACAAUUCGGAGUCUGUUGGUGCCAAGAACUUUGAGGUCAGGAUCCACCACUUUGCCGACGUGGCACCCUCCAUGGUAAUGCCAAAUUGUGAUCACAGUGUCUUUGCAGAACUGCUCUAGGGACUUGGUGUCAUUAGUAUGCUUUGGUAUAAGGUUAAUGUUAGCCUUGACACUCAUGUUAAGAAGCUUCUCUACAGUUGGUUUGUCACACCUUGUGAAGUUUGUGAAAUGUUUUGAUUGUAUAACCUUGGCAGCCAUGCGGAUCCCGUCAACGCAUCGCUGCAGAUCACGUGGGUGGUGGAAGUAGUUGAAGGUAACUGAAGGGUUGUCAUCGAUGUUGGUGUUGACCAAGUUGAGGUGCCCCGUGGAAAUAGGCCUGGCAAUCUUUUCCAAAAUGAAACCUCCCUUGAAUGCUUCAUGUGGUAGGUCUCGUUUUCUUUUGAUGAAAGCUUGGAUCGCUUCGGGUGUCCUUUGCUUCGGAGGAAUCGUAGAGAGCUGACCGAUCUGGUUCAGUAUAACAAAAGACAAAAACCAUCAGGAAUAAACCAAUUCCUAAUUCAUGAAAUUUGUGAAUCGACAUUGCAAGAAAGUUUACAUUUAUUUAUCUCUUCUUAGUUAAUUAAUCAAUAGUACUUGAGAUCACCUCAGCAGACAAUAUUCCAUGAUGGCAACGAAUGCUAUCCUGGGACUGUCCAAAUCCACUGCUGGAUUCCAUGUAAACCCCCAUCUUGGUAAUGCCUACAGUUUGAAUAAGGGACUGUUCCACUGGUCGAUUAGUGGGGACGAAAACCGAGUUCAUCGGGUUAUCAGCCAUGCCUUUGCCAACAAACUCAUUGCGCAGAACCAUAGAAAUGUUCAAUUUGUCGAGUUCAGCCUUUGGUCCAAUACCACUGAGCAUUAGCAUUUGAGGAGUUCCAAUUGCACCACAUGACAAAAUCACUUCACUCCUCCGAUUGUUUGUGAGAAAUGCCUGAUGCUGGUUCCCAUUUUCAUCCUUGAAAAUCACUCCCAUUGCCAUUGGUCUCCUCCCUGUACCAGACAUCAAUUUUUUUUUCAUCUCAUUAACAAAUUAAAUGAUAGUAAGAAAAGGGUGUAUGUAUAUAGAUAUACCUGUUUGAUCGAAUAAGACUUUUUGGACGGUGGCAUAUACCAAGACAGUAAGCAUUUUGGGGUUUGCAGAAGCAAGCAGUUCGGCUGCAGUAUGGCGACGGCCAAAGCGGUCGAAAAGGGUACCUCCAACUUUAGUUCCAUGGAUAUGAUCGUAGGUGAAUCCAUUAUAAGGUGACACCCCAACAUCCAAAAGGCUGUCCUUGAAGGCACCCUGCCAUUGUGCUAGUUUAGGCUGGUGAAUAAUUUGCUUCUCCACCCAUGGAUAUGACUCAUUCACUAGCCUUUCAUCCCAACCCACUCUCCGGAUGAAACUGUAAUAUUCACCCAACGAACUUCAAACAUCAAUGCUUAAUGACAAAAUAGUAGGGUAUACAUAAAUUUUGAAGUAUUUCAGCUAACCAUUUAUUACGCAUAUUUGUGGUUUAUUUGUACUGUUGAAUACCCAAGUUAAAAAAAAAGUCAACUGAGUUCCAUGGUUAAAUUUUUUAUUAAAAAUAAUUAAGGUCCUAAUAAAAAAUUGCAUUCGGCCGAGUUCUUAAAAUAUAAAAAAAAUAUCAAAAUCCUUAACAGAUCAUUAAGUGAUAGUGUAACAAUUGAUAAAAAAAAUGACAUGACAAUUAAUAUAUUAUUUAACAUGAAAAAACUGAUAUGCGACUUAAUUGAUUUUAAUUAUUUUACAAGUUUUGAUAUCAAAACUAUCAUAAAAUUAAAACUAUCAAAACUUAUAAAAGUAGUAAAAUUUUAAAUUUUAAAAGUUCUAUUAAUUUUUUAAUAAUUUUUAUAAUUUUAUAUAAUCUCUACUUAGUUUCAAAAACUUUAAUUUUUUAAAUUUUUCAUAAUAUUCAUAAAAAAUAUAGAAAAUUAUUAAAAAAUAUAAUACACCUUUUUUUAUUUUCCCGUCAUAUAUCACCAUUAUCAACAUCCUUCGCAUCGCUUUCAUUCAACCAAAGUCAUUUUUAUCACUUACAUUAAGCCAUCAAACAAUAAAAAUAUUGUCACUCAAACCCCUUAUUUAGCAUCGAUACAAACUUGAUCACCAUCAAACUUUAUGCUUCUCAUAUUUUUUAUUACUGAAACCAAAGAUUUCAAACCUUCAAAAUAACAAAAAAAAAAAUAUAUAUUUCUAUUAUAAUCUUCAUAACUUUUUAACAAAGUUAUAAUAUUUUUUUAUAAUUUUAUAUAAUUUUUAUAAUUUUUUAUAAUAUUUUUCAUAUUAUUUUUAAAAUACAAAUUUUAUAAAUUUUCUAUAAUUUUCACAAUUUUUAAUUUAUUAUAUUUUUUAUAAAUUUAAAAUUUUUAUAAUUUUUUUCUAUAUUGUAUAAUAUCUUAAUAAUUUUCAAGUUUAAAUGUUAAAAAUUCUUAUAAAAUAAUUAAAAACUCAAUUAAGAUCUUAAAAAAUAAUUUAAAAAUCAAUUAAACAGUCACGUCAACAUGUUUUCAUGUUAGCCCCAUAUCAUAAUUCUUUCAAACUAUCACAUCAUCCAUUUAUCACUUAAAAACUCAUUAAGGGUUUUGAAAAGGUUUGUGAGUUUUCUCUUUUCUUUUUUUUGUCUUUUUAGCUUAAAAAGAGUUUUUAGGGUGAAAAUGAAAACGGUGUUUAAUUUUUUGAAAUGACAUCUCCUUACCACCAAAGCUUCCAAAAAAAGGAAUUUGCUGACACCUGACAUAUUACUUUCGUGCAUUGUUGAUGGUACCCUACGUAACUCCUAAGACCAAAUGUGUUGGAAAAAUAACGAGACUCUUCUGGUGUUAUUUUCAGUGUGAUGGUUUAGGUUUAGGUUUUUUUACGUUUUAUUGUUAUUUUUAUGCUAUCUAUAAAUAAAUAGACUAUUCAUCUAAAUAAGGUUAUGCGUAUAACAUGCUGAUGUUUAAUUUAUAUAUAUUUAAAAUAUUGUAUUUGUAUGCAUAUUUUUAAAAUAAUAAUAUAAUUCUCUAAAACUUCAAAUGAAAACAUUUAAUUGCCUAAAAAAGAUGAUCAUAAUUUCUUUUAAAGCGAAAACUAAUUAUUUUGAAGGAAGAACAUGGGAGCUCGGAUAACGGAACUAUAAUUGUUGGCCAUUAAUUCUUUGUUGAAUUUGUGAGGACAUGAUAAUUUAGAUUUUCUUGAAACUUAUUAUAGACUGUGAACUACUUUUGACAGAUUUCAAUAUUGCAGGACCCAAUUCUACAUGUUAUAUAUAAUAUUAUCUCUUCUUCUUUUUUAAUAUAUGUAAAAAAGAUGAAUUGAAGAGUAUAGAAGUCGACAACAUACCCUGAGUUAGCUCUGGUGUAAAAGCCAGCAUUGAUGCAAGUGCCACCACCCAGAACCCUAGCCCUUGCAUUGAUGACACCAUCGGUUGAAACAAAAGGUUGGGAAGCAGAGGUGGGGGACGUGUCUGCCAGGGCGAUGUGGAAGUUGCUGAGGAAGGAGACAUUGACGUUUGAGAAGGGAACGCCUCCUCUCUCCAACACCAGCACACUGAAGUUUUGAGACAGUGUGGCUGCUAAGGGACAUCCUGCUGUGCCACCUCCCACUAUUAUGUAAUCGUAUGAUGCUUCGUCUGUGUUUGAUGAUGAGAACGAUGAUGAUGAUGCCCAAAAUGAACUCGCCCUUUUGAUGAAUGGGUAUUUGAAUUCAUAAUAAUCACUGCCACCUGCAACAGUUGCCAGUUUUUCCAAUGUAUUCUCAAGUUAAUUCAAUCAACUAUCUAUGAUCCAGAAAUAAGGUACAGAAAAAUGAGACGCAAUGGUACAUCAUUAAUCAAUUAAUCAAAAACCCAAAUUUAUUCAAACGAAAACAGAUCCAAAUAAGAUGAUUUUCAGAUUCUAAAAGAGAGAAAUAUUAUUGAUCCUACAAGAAUAAAGAUAAAUUCUAUAUUAUAUACCCAACAUACAAGAUCAGAAGAAUCAAGUGCAUAUAUAUACAAGAGCUGAGAGAAGCAGAAAAAGGAAAAAGACCCUGAAGAAAAGGGAGAGUAUUGAGCCAAAGAAUCAAACAGAUAGAAAGCUUCUUCAAUGCCCCAACAAAAGCAGCCAUUGAAAGGCUAAACAGCAGCAGAUUAUCAAACUCAAAGCAAGAAUCCUUUGCUUCCUGAAAAACAAACAGAUUCCUCUUUGCGGCUCUCACUGGUUGGCCUUGUUUUGUGUGUUCUAUAUGACACUUAAAUCUCUCUCUAUAUACAGCUUAGCUUCGAGCUGAUCAAUUAUGAUGAAUAUAUAUAAAAAUUAACUCCAACAUACGGUAGCCAAGCAAACUAGACAGCGCAUAUUAUAAUGAAAUCGAAAAAGGAAACAAUAUAUUAAACGGUAUUUAAAAUCACUGCAACGAGGGCUGGUGUAAGUCAUUAAUGUUGAAAUGAAUGCCGGAGUUUGGAGUGUAGGACUCUCCUUUUAAUUUAUUGGCCGUUGGAUUCAAACUCUACGUUCAUUUCCAUCAUCCAGCUCAUAUACUCUAUCCUUUUUCUACAUUCAUUGAUGUAAUAUUUAUGAUCUUGUGGAACAUUCAAGAAUAAUGCUUAAACCUUUGAAUAUUCUAAUACACAUUUCUUUAUAAUAUCAAAAUCUUAAAUUCUUAAUCCUGCGUUCAAAUUUUAAAAUUAUUUCGUACUCUUGCCAUCUACAAAUUUUUUUUUCAUUUUCGGAUCUAAAUUGUUGUAGGGUAGGCUGGGUUUUGUUAAUUUGUUGGGUAGCUAUUAGACUAGAUAAGUUAUUUAGUUAAAUGCCACAAUUGAUGGUAGUGUAGUGUAGUCCUUGUUAUUAUUAUAUUAGGUGUAUUGUUCAUUUUUAAAGGUUAAUUAAUUGUGAUAAGAUUAUAUUAGGUUUAAUAAUGAUUUUUUAUUAUUAAAUAUUGACUUUGCAAUUAAAAAGUGAAAACAUUUCUAAAACCUAAUUUCUCUUUUAUCUGUGUUUUAUAAUUUGGGUGGGUGCCAUUUAUGACAACAUCUUUAAAUACUCUAUCCAAACAUUGAUAAACGAUUCAUUGAUGAAAUUUAUGGGAAAUAAAAACUUUUUUUUUUUUAUAUUUCUCUAAAAAUAUAUAUAUUCAGAAAAUUUUAUAUACAGACUGUCUGUAAGGGAAGGUGAAGAAAAAAAAGGACAGUGGAAAAAUAAUUGUAAAUUUGUCGGUUUAUUAAUUUGUAAAUGUCUUAUGUUGUAACAACUUUAAUAAAUGUGAUAACAAAAACAAACAAAUUUUGCAGGUUAGGGCUAAUUAAAAAAUCUUAUUAAAUCUCAUGCAAUGGUUUAACGAUUAAAGAUGUUUACUGUUUUAGGUGGUGUAAUCUAGAUUCGAGUUACGCUAGUCGUAUUUUAAUUCCUAUAUAAUAACAUACAUUAUAUAAAGGGAGAAUAUAAGAGUGUGAAAGGAUCAGACCAAACUAUAAGGGGAAUUUAUUAUUAUAUUACGAGUUUAAUUAACAAAUAUGUUUAUUUUGUACAUGAACAGAGGUAAACGGAGAGGAAAUUAAAAAUCUUGAAGUUUAACCCUAAAACAUUUAUAUUUCCUUUGAAAGUAAUUAUAGUGUAAAACCCAGACUCAAUUUGUUGAGCUAUUCAUAUACAACUUUUAUAUUUGUAUUCUAAUAAUGAAAUUUUUUUAUUUAUAUAUAGAAAAAAUAUAUAUUAGUAUUUUGCAUUUCCUUUCAUCAUUAUAUAAGAGGGGAUACCGUUUAGAUCCAUAUUAUACUUAAUACCGAAUAAAAACUCUAGUCAUUAUCCCAAAAGCGUUGAUGCAUUCUUUAGGAGACACCACUCUUGCAUUAAAAAUCCAACAUUUUUUUCCCUUGUUGCAUAUAUUCUUUAGCCGUGCCAUAUCAUAUGUCUGAAAUCUUAAUUUCUAUUCCAAGACAGAUGUCUUUUAUUGCAGCAAAGGGAAGGAGAAUAAAUUAUAAAAUAACUAUUAUAUUUAGAAAAUAACUUAUAUUAGGAUGAUUCUAAAAAUUAAGGUUUUUAGGCACCAAUAAAAUUUUGUCACAUCAUCAAAUUUUAAAGAUAUGAAAUUAUAAUUAUACACUCAUUCAUAGAGAAAUUAUUUUAUGAACCCUUACCACCACAUUAUUCAUGGUCCCUUUUCAAUUAUUUAAUAAUAUUUCAACAAUUUUUUCUAUGUUAUUGACAUAUAAUUUUGGUAAUUUUUUUACCAUGAAUCCUAAAUCUAGAAUCCUGAAUAUUGAAUAAAAAACUUAGAACCCCAAACCAUAACCCAGAACCCUUGCACCCUAAACUCGAACCAUGAACCUCAAACUCAUAAUAUAUAACCUUAAACCCUUGAACCUUGAGCCUUGAACCUAAACAUGUAACAUCAAACCCUGAACCCAAAACUCAAACCGAACCCUGAACCUUAAAUCUCAAACCCAAACCCAAACCCAGAACUUUGGAGUUUAGGGUUUAAGGUUCAAGGUUCGAGGUUCAGGGUUCAGGAUAAAAACAGUUAUCAAAAUUAUGUCAAUGAUAUGAAAAAAUUGCACAAAAAUAAAAAAAAAAUAUUAACUUAUGAAAAAACUAAUUAAAAUUUGUAAAAGAAUAAAAGAUGCUUGUUUAUAAUUUAAAAAAUUAAUUAUUUUAAGUAAUUUAAUUAAAGUUAAAUUAAGUUGGAAAAGAUAUUAGAUAUAUAUGAGUAUAUAAUAAUACUUUGUUAUCUUUAAAAUUUAAUGAUGUGGCACUAUUUUAUUGGUGCCUAAAAACUAUACUUUUUAGGAUGAUCCUAAUAUAGUUUAUUCCCAUAUAUUUAAUAGAAAAAACCUUUGAUUUAGAAUUUGAGAUAAAUUUAAUCAAUUUACAAAAUUAUUUUUUUGUUGAAAAUUUUAAACAAAGUUAGAAUUAAAAUCUUAAUAUAUAAACUACCAUCUACCGUAAAAAUAUCUGUACAUUAAUUCAUUGGGGAGAGAAGGUGGUUGAAUAAUGCAUCCUACAAAGCAAGCAAGCAUGCAGAACCCAAGUUUACAUUGAAGUAGUUAUUGACAGCUAAAAUCAAUUACUCUGAGCUAUUUCAUCCACGGCCACGACCUUUGAGUUCAGUUCUCAGCCUCUUUCUCUGGUUGCAAAUUGUGUGUCCUAAUACGAUGCACAUGAAAAUACCUACCCAUCCAGCUGUAAAUCAACAAGAACAAGCACAAAAGAAGGAUUGUUGUAGUCAGAUAGUAGUAAAUAUUCUUGAAAUUUGCGAUUUGAUGAUUUUUCAUUUUAUUUUAUAUUUCUUCAACUGCCUUAUUGGAAAAAGGGUCAAGUUACAAACGAAUGAGCAUUAAGAUUAUGAGUUAGCAAUUUAAUUAAGAGGGUGGGAAGGAAGGAAAGACCCGAGACUUCAAAAGAAACAGGUGAAACAAUAUUUAAGAUUUGUGCGGCUGAUGGAGAUUGGAGCGUAGUGCCGUAAAUAAUCGACGUACGUCCGUAAUAAUAAAAUCAAAAAUCAAAAUUAGCAUUGGUAAAAUGCCAAGGAAGGACACAAGAAUAUGCAUCCUGCUCAUGCAAACCAAAUUCACUAACCCAUAAUAAUUCUGUCGUUGAUGAACAGACAUGGCAUAACAUCACAAGCCCAUGCACCCUUCACUUUUAGUGAUAAAUCUCCAAAUUGGGUAAAAACAAGUAUUAAUAAGGCCUUACAACUUAUCCGACAUACAAUAAAUAUAAUUGAUGAUUAAAAACCUAUGCUGAAGAAUAAAGUAUAAAACAAAAAAGAAAAAACUAUUUAAUGGGGGGCUCAAUUGCAAGAAAGCCAAGGCCCCCACUUGUGUAAAUGGCACUUGCUCAAAAAACAAAAUGUCUUCUCAAGAUGUGUUGACUGUCACAUUCUUGGAAGAGAUGUAGACUUCAUGGACCAUGAAAUAACAUACGUGACAAACACCCUACCAUGAAAGCCAAGUACAAGACAGGCGUCUUCCAAGCACAAAGAAUGAAUUUCUGAUAAGUUAAAAUCAGUCUUCUUUAGGGGGACUAGAGUAAUCGAUAUCGUUUCCUGAUGCAGUUACUCCAGACGAAGCACUCGACGAUGUAUUGCUGCUGCUGCUUCCGUUUUGGAAGCUCUUGAAUGCUGUUGCACCCGAGUUUGUCUGAGGAUUGUUAGUUGCGGGACUUUGCCCCUGCUCCGCUAACUUUGUGAGAAGGUUCAUGACGGUGGGGAGAAACUUGGUAGAUAUGGAAAGAAGCCCUGGAAGCUGCAAGCAUAGAAAGGCGUAAAUUAGACCUUCAAUCAAAGGGAAAAUGGUGAAACAUAUUAAUGACAGUGACAAUUGGACUAAUUUGAAGGACAAAAGGCAGUUUUAGCUCUUCAGGAUAUAUCAAAAAUGCAUGACGUUACUAACAGCCACUGAACACACUUCAAUAAUAAUUUUAUUCAUAUAAUGAGCUGCAAAAUGGAGACCAAUGGAAUAUUUAACAAAUAGAAAAAGCACAAAGAUCUUACUAAUGGCUGUAUUUGAUGAAAAGCAAAUCUGUUUGGUAAAUAGGCUUUUGAAUUUUAAGUUUGCAUGCCCAGGAUGUUUUUAAAUGCUUUUAAAUACAUUGUUUCAAUGUAUUGUACUGUAAAGGUCAUUGCUAACUAAAUAUAUUAAGCCUGAUAACCAAGAAACCGGGGAUAAAAAAUUUUAGUUCAAAACUUACAACGCCAUGUUGGAAUUCACCGGAAAUGUUAAGUUGCACCCAUAGAGCCUUCACAGUAAGGUAACCCACAAAGAGGACACCCAGAUAUAAAGGAUUUCUGCAAUGAGGAUAUUUGUAAGUAAGCGCAGGCAACAAACAAAGGAUUAUAUCAUUGAAUACUGACCAAACUUAAUUCAAAGCUACAAGUGCAACAUGCACCUUAGGAGAGUCAUAAAUUCAUUAAAUCCCAAGACGACCAAGGCAACAAUUGCCCAAGGAGGUGGCAUCCAGUUGUUGUUACGCCUGCUGGCUUCCUGAAAGCAGAAGGCAUCAGUUAACUCAGGGAAAAAAAACAAUGCAUUGGCAAUAACAUGUCUACCUAAGCCACAAUAUUAAUUCUGAAUUCUGGUCAAUAAAACUUUUGACAAUAAUACCAUAUAUGCUACAACAGAAGCAGUACAUGUGCAAAUCAGAGGAACAGAACAGGACAGAAUUUUAGGGCGCAAGCAGCAAUAAAUAAUGCAACUAAUUAAAGCCAGCUAAUGUGAAUUGCAAUUUGCAAUUGCAGAAGACUUAUUUUUCUAGCACUUUAGGCAACAUCGGAAUUUGAUUUGAAGACCGACAAUUCAAAUCAAUAUUGGAUGGGAAAAUGAUAAAACGAAAUCUUUGGAAUAAUUAGAAAUUGAAAAUUCAUGCCUGAGCAGAAAUGGCCUGAGUGACACUGUACUCUGUCUCAGCCCUGAAUUGCCGCCACAAAGAUUUGCACUGAACAGGUGUGAUCAAUGUCUUGGCGGGUAGAACCUACACCAAAAUCAGUCAUAAGAAUAUAUCAUGGAUGAUAAAUGGAGGAAAAGACAGUGUUCAACUGAUGAACUAAUAGCAUGAGAGAGAGGAAAUGUAUCAAGACCCUUGGGUUGCUUCAGCAUUAUGCAUUUAGGUGAAUGCCACACAAAUUUGACAUUUAUGGUAACCUUCAUUAUCAAACAAACAACAAACUACUUUUGACUUUCAAUAUUAAAUCCAUGUGGCCAUAAAAAUGCCAAAUGCAAUGUUCAAACAGUUUGUAUAGUGAUGUCUCUCAUAAAGAAUCUCAGCAACAAGACUUCACCUGUUCCCACGAGCUUGAGGCCAGGGGAUCAAAUGUUGUAAUGCUUUUGUCAGCCACAGCAGCAUUACUUUUAGUAUCCACCAAGGCAGAAGUUAGUGUAUUCUCGAUAUUAUCAACAUCAUCAUCCAACCGGAUGGCAGCCAUAACGGAUAGCAACUUUAAGGACUGAAAAAUAAAUCAUAAACAAGUUUAAAAGAGAAUAGAACUGUAGAAUGAUUCUGAAAAUCCAACAAAUGGGUUUACAAAAACAUACUGCAGAGCGAGCUGUUUUAGUGAUGGCUCGAAUAUCUUCCUUCCCAGUCCAAACCCGUGGCAUUGAAUCAGAAUCAUGACUAAACAAUGUUGAAAACCUGUAUGCAAAUUUAGAGUCAACGUCAAUUAUGUAUAAUGCCUAGCAAAUCAGGCACUUUAACUCAAUCAUUGAAAUAUGUCAUUACCUAUCCUUCAUACGUAUCAAUACCCUGCCAGCUUCUUCUCUUGCUUUUGCUUCAACCACACCUCUAGCAUAAUCCAGUAGACUUGUUAGCAUCUUCUCCUUAUCUUUUGCAUCCAUUUCAAAGCCAGAAAGGGCACUGGAGAGUCCAGAAACAGCUGAUACUGUUUCACGCUGGAGAAGUUUCUUUAUUGAGGGCCAGGUCUCAUUAUUAGCUCCAUCUAAAAAUGCUUCAACAGGUCCUGCUAAUGCCUCAUUCAGCUUUGCCUGCAAAUGCACCAUAAUUAUCAGUAAGACUCCAAGUGGUAAUAAACUAAUCAUAAACACUUGCUCUGGAUGUCACCAUGACAAAUUCUUCAAAGGUUAUGAAAUUUCUCGCCGAUAUACAGCACGGAAAACAAUAAAAAAAAGACAAGCAUAAUCACAUCAAUGCCAACAUUGAUAUGAGGUAAUUCGUUGUUUACUGUACAUCGUAUAUUAGAAUAAAAAGAAAACACUAAAUAUCCCAAACUUAAGAUCUUCAAAAGAAUUGAACUAGAAAAAUCCAGAACUUUUUUAAUCAGACCUAGAUUCCAUAUUUUAAAGUUUAAUAACCUAACUGUUUAAUAUGACAUCUUUGUUAAUUGGGCUUCUAUUAUUUUUAAAGUAAUCACAUUGCAGGUAAUAAGGUGAAAUUUUCAGCAACUAGCAACACAGUAAAGCUUGUUUGGGUUACACUAUACCCAACUAAAAACUAGCAAAACCAGCGUCACAACAAUUACCGUGUCAUGUCCCGCAAGUGAAUGCUUCAAUGAGUCUGGAAAGAGUUGAGCAUGAGAAAAUCAAGCCACGAGAUUCCCAGAGUGCCCCGAAAGACUCUAGAAAUCCGAAGGGACCGAAUCCGCGUAGAAUAUUCCAGAAGUUAUAGAACUAUCCAUCCAUGUAUAUCUUUUGGGGCUUGCCUAUGUAAGUAGAGGCUCCCCUCCCUCAUUUUUAGAUUCAAGUUAGCUCGAGUUGAGCACGAGAAAAUCGAAUCACGAGAUUCCAUACCGAACCAGACCGGAAUAGGGCUAUAUACAUUCUCAUUAUGAUAAGGGGUCAUUCGAGCGUAUAGAUACUAUGUUUAUAUAUGGAUGCUUACGUUGUUACAUUCCAUUUAGGAUUAGGAAUGGACGUAAUCGGGCCUCUCUUUACAUAUCUCUCGUUAUUUGGGAUCCUAUGACAAUAACUUGCAAUAAAUAAAUGGCUAGAAGAGACAGAAACAUAAGUUGUUAUACCUCAUAUGAUGAAGUCAGCUCUAAAAGUUUAGCAGCACGGACUGAAGCAACAUGUGUAUCAAUAUCACGGCAUAGCUUAUCCCUGACUUUAGAGCAAUCCCAAUUUGCCAGCUCAACAUUAGCAUCUACAAAAACAAUUUAAAAAAUCCACAUGUAUCCAGUCCAACAUUAGCAUCUGCUAAAACAAUUAAAAAUAUCCACAUGUAUCCAGUCCACCUUGUUGAGCAAAAAGCAAGGCCAUUGACAAACAACUAUAGCAUCAAACUCUCUAAAUGCAAAUCAAUAUACCGUUGCUUAAUUCAAAAUUUCAAUUCACAGUAAUGGUUUAAAAACUCAAUUUUGCCUAUAUGAAUAACUUAUUACCAACAAACUGUUUUAAAAAUACAUUUUCCCAUUUCAUAGCUCUUGAUUACUAUUCCAUAACUUUUAUUCCCAUGCCAGCUUAUAGCUAAGAGAAUGGUUAAUUGGUUAAUGAAAUUCAACCAUACCUGUGCAUCUUUCAUCAAACAAAGCCAUAUAAGAUUGAGUGCAGUUGCGAGCAGCCAAAGAAAACCCCUCCCCUCCAUUCAAAGCUUCCUCAAAUGCUUCCUUAAAUUUUUCAAGAGUUCCAGACCUUAAAUGUCCUAACAUGGAUAGGUAGGCCGGUUGGACAAGCUACAUCAGAAUACGAAAAGCAAAUGAGUUGAGAAAAUUAAAAUAACAAGAAAAACUGGAUAUGGACACAGUACAGAGCUAUUACUUGUAACAGUUUUUCUUCAAGUUGCUUUCGCUUUGCAGAUCGGACACCUUCAUCAAAAUAUGUGGCUUCUGCAUCAUACCUAAAAUUAGAACAAAGAACUUGCUGUAACUGAUAUGAUAGUAAAUAGAAAAUAAAUACAGGAAAAACAAUAACCUUGAAUUUGAUCAUUAAAUUGACUCUUAUUUGGCCAUGCCUCAAGAAAAUUUCCAUCCAUCCAUUCAUUUAAGCAAAAUAUAACAUUACCACCAUCUUGGAAACAUGGACAUGCAGUACGGAUACAACAUGAGUAGGACACUGAAAAUAAUUUCUAAAAUAGCAGGUAUGGCUAGACACCACAACAAAAAAGAUAUAUUUUUAUUCAAAUAAUGUAUAAUAAAAAAAUGAAAUUUGAACUUCUUAAUCAAAGACUUGAAUGUAAUUAGCUUUUUAAUAUUUUAAACUUGGUUUUGAGUAUAGAAACUUUGAACAUAAAAAAAACCCUUAAUAUUCAAAUAGCUCAAAUUCAAAGGUUAAAAAUCCCGUGUUAAAGGUGUCUGUGUUGAACAUGUAUCAGGUACCAAUAUGCGAGGGCAUAUUGCAUGUAUAUGCUUCAUAGGUCACCUUCAAGACGCACAAGCCAACAGGUUGCCAAUUCCUAUUGGUCUGUUAGCAUCAUAAUUCUGCACCGUCACUUUGACCGGAUGAAUCACUUAUAUAAUUUCUUCAAUGCUCAAAUGGUCAUUGCCUAAAUGAACUCAGCUACGUAGGUAGUAACUCAUUUGUAACUUAAAUACUACAAAACUUAUCUUCUAAUCUCAUUAAAGUAGUCUUACUCUGAUAGAGAAGUGCAGAGAAUUGAAUUCAGCUUCUUCCCAAAGCCAGCAACUGGACCAGACUGCACAGCUUCUUCUAAAAGACACCAGUUCUGUCAAAUGAGGUAAUAGGAUGGUUUGAGUGUCUAGAAAAAUAGCCAGCUGCACAGAAAAAUUGUGCAUGUGCGUGUGUGCAUCACAUGUUUAUGAAUGUAAAGAAUAAUCCAUAUACCUCAUUUGCAGUGAAACCAGUGAACUUCUCAUUGGCAAUUUCUUCACAGCGUACCGUAGCCACCAUGACCUACAGGCAACAAAAAAUCAACAAGAUUUACAAAAUUCAUUCAAGUUAUAGCUAAAAUUAAGUCUGAAAGGUUACCUUAUGGGCUGGAAGGUCAAGGUCUUUAUUCUCCUUAAUGACUUUCCAGAUCUGUUGUGCACUAAAAGAGAACCCUGAAGCAGGUACAACUCCCCUCCGAUCUCCAGCAAGGCCCCCCGGUGCAAUAGAGUGGUUGAACCGUUGUCUCAAAUUAGCAACCUUCAAUGAUAAUAGAAUCAGACAAACUGCCCAUUUGUAUGCCAAGUAAUCAAAUAUUUCAGCACCAAUAUCCAAUAUUCAGGCAAAACUAUACAGUAGUAGAGGUAUUUUAUUUUGGCCAUCUCCAGAAAAGAUAAAUUACACAGUAUAACCAGGACAAGUGAGGAAAAAAGAAUUGCAAAAACAUCAAUGAGAAAAAAGGGAGUCAUCAGACAAUCAAUAGGGUGAUGUCACAAAUCUAAAUGUAGAUAGUCAACUUCUCUCUUUCAAUUAAAAGAAACUUCUAAAUACUGUGAAAGCUUGUUUACAUGCUAUUCAUACAAAAUAUCCUUAUGCGACACGGUACCUGCUCUUUAAAUUGCUCCUCCUUUUCUUCAUAACUAGAAAGUGCAACAACCUCAACCUGGCCAUUAUCAGCAAUAGCAUUAAAUUGUCAGAAGAAAUGUUCAUUAGAAAAAGGUAUAAAGAGAUGUUAAACAUUUAAAUUUAUGUUGCAUUAACUCAUAACCGAAAAUCAUACAUUGAAAAAUUCACUUAAUGGAGUUUCCUUAUGUGCUUGUGGCUUUGGAACAGAGUCCCAUAUCUGCAGUUAAUGAUAAACAGGUCAGAAGAAAACAUUACAUAAGUUAAUCAAAAGAAGCACAAUAUAUCUGUACCUUCUGAAUAUCUUCUCUCAGAACAGGUUCUAAAUUUUCCAAUGGUGUCUGUAAACAAGAAAUAGCUAAGUAGUCAUAGACUCAAUUGAAAGUAGAAAAUUCUAAGUAUAAAGCUGAGAUGCUUGGAACUUUUUAAUGAAAAAGGUAAACAAAAACUAGCUGUCUAAGCACAAAAUGCCCACCCUUGUUUUAUCACGGAUAACAAACAUCAAAGUCGUUUUGCGGGGACUAAACAAUCGCAUCAUCACCUGCAACCAAACUCAACCAAAUAAAGAAAAGGACCACUUGAAAUUCAAGGCAUUGCUUAGAAAGGGCAGAGAAAGUGAAACCUGGAAUACGGUCUUUAAAAGAGGCUUGUUUGCAGCUUGCUCACGACCAAUAUCAUGACACCACCUAAAUGAAAGUUGCUCAAUAAUAUUAUUUGCAUGCAGUACUGACAGCAAUUAACUUAAAAUGAAAAUUCAAAACUAUAUCCAGCACCAUGUAGGUGCCAUCGCUUACAUGUUUAUGAGUACUAUAUCUGAAACCGCCAGUGCAAAAAGUGCACUUUGUUUCUCAAAUGCUGUGUCAUCCUGGAAUAAUGCAAAGAAAAUAAUUAAUAAGAUAACUUGGAAAGAAACUCUAAUCCUCUCCAUUUUUCACAAAACAAGGAAGAUAGAUAGGAACAGACAAAAACAAACAGACUAUCAACUUUUACAAUCUCAAACCACUAUUGAUUUGUUCAGCUUGGUACAUCACUCUAAGCUUUACGUGUUAUUGGAGCACCAAGACCUCUGUCUAAAAUCACCAAGUCUUCUUUUAACUAAAAAAUCCAGUGCAAAUCACCAAAUUUUGUACUUUCAUCAUGAUCGAUUUGAUUGCUCCAAUUUCAAGUAUAUUCUACUAAUCAAUGUUGCUGAAAAUAAUGCUAGGGAACAAAUAUCACCUAUGGUAGAACCUUUGUUUAAACAAGUAAAAAGAGAAUGGAACAUUCAGAACUGAAACCUUGACAUUAGAAAAAGAAAGAACUGAUGACCGACCUUUAAUUUCAUUUUACCAUCAGGUAAAACAAAAAUUCAUUCAAUAUUAGAACUACUGCCUACAACUAACAAUUCAGUAGCAACACCAUGCCAGUCAAAACUUGUUAGAAUUUUUUAGAUGUAGUUGAUAAAUUGCCAACAAAGCAAGCACUACCCACUCGAUUAAUAAAUCAAAAUGCAUUGCCAUAAAUACUCUUUUUUAUUGUCCUUUGGGGUGGGGGCCUGAAUCCUAUGUUUAGCAAAAACAGGCAAAAGAUCUUUAAGCUGACAAGCGAAAGGAAGGCAAACAACAGAGCAAGCAAAAGUAGUUCUUGGCAUAUCAAACAAUGUAGUUUCAAUUUUUUGACAAAACAUGUUAAUGAGAGAAUGCAAGCUAGCAACAGCACCUCCCCACGCUCUCUUCCAUCAGUGCCCUCCAAAUCCAUUACUAUAGUGCAAGGCUCUAUACCAGCACAUUUUGCCAUCCAAAUACCUUUAGUGGUUUGAGACCUGAUAAGAAGCUCAUUUCAUUAAUUGUUUGAACCGAUUGAAACAAAUGCAAUUUGCUAUUACAUAAACAAAAGUUACCUUCCCUUAAAUGCAUCCAUCUCCCUGAAAUUGGUGUAAAACAAAUUGUUUAACAGUGUGCUUUUACCUGUCAAGAUCAAGGAAAGUGAAGAGAAACUUUUAAUGUCAUAAGCAGAACUUAUUUAACAACCAUAGAAUGAUAAAACAGCUAAAAAUUGAAAUCAAUUAUGGAAUGCGUUACAUUCAAAAUAACAAUAAACAAAAUAUGGAUAUAACACUAGCUACAAAAGUAAUUACCAAUAUCAUGUGGUAACAAGUCCACCUGAAAGUGAGAUAUGAAAGAUAUGCCAAAAUGAAAUCAUUUAUGGCAUGAGUUACAUUCAAAAUAACAAUAACAAAAGAUGGAUAUAACACUAACUACAAAAGUAAUUUAACAAUAUCAUGUAGUAACAAGUUCACAUGAAAGUGCAAUAUGAAAGACAUGCCAUUUUCUGAAAACUGACAUGACCAGGCUUCAAGCUUAUCCUACUCUCAUUUGUAUCCCACAUAUUUCUAGUACAAUUAUCAUUAAACAUAGUGCAAAGUAAAUAAACAAAGCAGCUUACUAUGAACUGGGAAUAGACACCUAAGUAACAGGGAAAGGAAAGUAUAAAGCAGAAAGUCACAAAGAUAACAAGGCAUACCGCUGCUUUGCGGUCCCAUGAUGGAAACCACGGCAUAUGACAGACCGCAUUCAUGAAGUUUCACUUCCUUGAUAAAACUUUCGAUUCCAGUAUCAUUGAAUGAACCAUCUCCAUCAAUAAGUUGAACUGAACAACAUUCAUUGCUUGUCGCUGAGAAAUCAAAUGUUCAUAGCAUGUCAAGGUAAAGUGAGAAAGCAUCCAUAAUGCACACAACUAAACCGCCCUAUUCAUUUUUCCUUAUUAAUUUAAAAUUAAACUCUCUAUAUCAAUUAAUCAAGGAAAGGACAUUUUAAGUAUACCUAAACUGAAACAAAGUCUAUUUAUCUUUUGAUAGAGAAUUUUGACGUACUAAAUAGCUUUAACAGCUGGUAAUUCAAAUUCAAAUUCCAGUUCUUUGUUUUUUUUUUUUCCUUAGCUUCCUCAACAACCAAACAUACCAUAAACAUGAAAUUCAUCCCCGGUCCCGAUCCAAACAUCACAACGAAUUGCAGAUUUACACUACUAAAAGAAACUUUAGAAAUCUAAAAAACAGUAUUCAAACCCAAAUUUCCACCAAAAGAAAAAAAAAACCCGCAUCGCACCCUAAAUAAUAAUAAGAAAAAGAAGAAGAAGAAAAAACCAACAAAAUUAUUAAGGCGGCGCUGCUUGCUCAGCCGCUUUCUUUUGCCGUUACUUUACAGAAAUUAAACAAAUAAACCGCAAAACUAAUUGAGUAAUGAAAGGAAGAAACGGAUCACUGAAUAAGCUAUAAAUAGUGAGGAACAAAAAUGCAAAAAGAGAAAAAAAAAUAGAUUAGGAUGAAACGAUUCGAGGGUUUACCCAUUGAAUCUUAUUUGAAAUUGAAAGCUCGGAAGAUGAUGAGAUCGAUUCCGAUGAAAGACAGAUAAGAGAAAUAGAAAAACAAAGAUAGAUUUGAUCGAUCUGAAUGGGGGCACUUUGAAGCUCUUCUUCUCCGUCUUUAGUUUUUAUAGCAUCGUAUUUUCCUUUUAACUAGCACGCAUGUUUUAACUUUUGUCUUCGUCAACUUUAAUGAAUACGUUUAGAAAGAUGGUCUUCUCUUUCGAUUUAUUUUUCCCAAUGAAUCAAAUAUAAAUUAGUACUGUUUGAUUUUACUUUGAAUGAAAAAGGUCUUUCAUUUUUACUUAAAAUCUUUUUUGUCGGAGUUAAAUUUCAAGUACCUUUAUACUUCUAUUUUUGGCUUUAAACAUCUAUUUAAGAUUAAUAGCUAUAUUUGUACUAAAUAUUGUAAGUCUAUACUUAGCAAAAUAUUUGUCUUUUUGUCUUUUUUGAAAUUUUGAGUUGAAGUUGAAUGUCAAUGUUCCUAGUUAUAACGUACAAUUAGAUUAUGUCAUGCCUCUAUUUAAUAUAUUUAUAAAAUAUUUAUAUAAAGUGGUUAUAAUUAAACAAUCAUCAAUCUAUUUCGGAAAAAAUUUAUUCUUUCACAUAAAACUAGUAAAAGAUAAAAACUCAGUUAUGUUAAUAUUUAUUACUCAUGAUUUCGAAUUGAUUUACAACACUAAUUUUGUCAAAUAAUUAAUUAAUUAAUAGUAUAAAUACUUUUAUGAAUUAUAUAAUGACACAUUAUAAAUAUAGAUUGAUAACUAAUGCACACAUUUAUGGUGAAAAAAAAAGGAAAAGAAAAGGCAGGGCAACAAAUUACGAUUUUAACUCGCAUGCAUGAGUCCCCAAAUAAUUUCCGUACACCUACUGUCAAAGGCGAAUACGUGUAUGGCAUCACCGGGUUGGCUAUCCAAGACUCGGUUAAGCAGUUAAAAGAUCAGAGGUUUUCUGUUUGUGCGAAAUUGCAGUUGGUAGUGAAUUAUGGUUGUGGACCCGUUUAUUCCACGAUCACCGACUUUAGCGGGACCCAUUGGCCGCCCAUGUCCUUUUUCAAAAGUUUGGACGGCGUGAUCGACUGAUCGCAGCUUGUUUUAACAGCAAGUGCUUUACACGCUCUAAUAACCAGCGUGGAUUUGGGCAUGGCUGAGUCAUUUGGCCCGGUGCGUGGAACCCACACGUGAAUUCACAGAUUUAAAACCAACAUUCCCCUAUAAUUCAAUCUCAACACUGCGGUUCGGGGUUAAAAAUAAAUAAAAAUGUGAGAUAAGUCUUUAUGUAUUUUUCGGAAACUUAAAAUUUAAUUUUUUUAUUUUUCAAAUUUUAAAAUUUAAAUUUAAUUUUUAAUUCUAUUAAAUUUAUUGGUGACAUUUUCAAAUAAAAAAAUUCCCCUGGUAAUUAUAUAAUUAAAAAUAAUAUUAUAAUUAACUUAAAAUUAAUAAUAAUAAUAACAUUAAUAGUUAAACCUGAAUUUUAAAAUUUUAAAAUUACAAAAUUAAGUUCUUAAAAAUGUACAUAUUUUAACCAAAAAGCAUUUCGUUAGCAAAUAUUGAAAUAUUUAGAUGAAUAGAUAUUUAUUCUCGAGUUUUAUAGUAUGCAUGUGAAUCUUUAGUUUAGAAUAUGUAAUUUUUUAAAAUUUUCGUUAUAUUUUGUCUUUGUUGAAUUUUAUUUUAUAGUUACUUAGAAUUUAUAUAUGUAAUUAUAUAAUUAAACAUAGUUGAUUAUAAAUUCAUUUUAAAAUUUUAAAUUUAUUUAUUAACUGACUUAAAUUAAAAGACCAUUAUUAACAUUUAAAUUUACUAAUUUUUAAUAUCACUUGAUUUUAUAAUUUUUUAAUUCAUUAAAUAAUAUAAUUUUAUAAUUUAAAAUAUUUUUACUAAUUAAAUGAGGAUAAAUUUAAAAUUCAGAUGAAUAUCUAUAUUUAAAAUUUUUAUCGGAAAAAAGUGAAAUAAAUUCCCAAAUUUUAAUAUAACAAAAAACAAUUAAAAAGCAAAUCCACAGUAUUUAAAUAAACAGAAUACAAAUUAAAUAAAUAUUAAUGGUUGUGCGUGGUUGGGCCUUGGGCGGCCAGUCAUGCGCCCAACCCUAACUUCUAGGAUAAAUAUAUUAUAUUAUUUUAUUUAUUGGCCGCAUUUUUUUUUCUUCGGCCAAAUUUGGCGGCAUUUAGUUUAAUGAUUUAUUAUUAUUAUUAUUUAUGAGUUGAAACAAAGAUUAAAAGCUCUAAAAUAUAAAUAGUUCAAAAUUAGCUCAAUUUUGUAUGUUGUUUCAUUUUCCUUUUACAAAAAUAAAACAUUCUAGAUUUAAUCAACUCUAAUAAAAUUCAACUGAUAAGUAAUUGAUUUAAAUAGAACAUUUAAUAGAUUUGUAGUUUUUCAAUUUUCAAUUUCAUCCAAUCCAACGGCUGUAUAAUUAAAUGAUAACUACAUUAUAUUUUUCAUGUUAAUUAUAUAUUUGGUUGCAGAAGUCAAGAAAAUACAAACUGGCAUUUAAAUUCGAUAAAUUUAUUUAUUUAUUAGGAGUCUAAAAUUGAAUUCUAAAAAAUAUUUGAAAAAUCCUUGCAUGUUUAGUAUUUGGAAUUACUUUAUAUUAUUUUGAUUUUGAAUUGACCCUUCACCCGAGUUUAUAUAUAUAUUUGUUUAUAUAUUAGAAGAUGAAAAUCAUGUUGCUUUUAAUAUUCGUAUACAAAAUUUAAGAGAUGAAAUAUCAAGUAUUAUAUGCAUAUAAAUUGGGUAAAAGUAUCAUAAAAUUCGUUGGGCUAUAUUUUGGAAUAUAUUUUAACUUAUUUACUGAAUAAAUGAGUAAAUUAGCUCAUAUAUGUUAGAUGUGUGAAUAAAAUAGUCAUUUUAUUAAAAUUUGAUAUUUAUAUAUGAGGUAUAAUAAUAAAUUUGUCCCUUAAUCUUUACACAUUUAUUCAAUUUGACCAUUACACUUUGUGGGAUGUGUCUCGCAUUUAUCGGACGUUUUGCAAGUACUUACCGGAGAUAGACGCGCGACGUCACGACGAAGAGUUACGUGACGUUAAUUGUUCAAUCAUGCCGAAUCUUGUCAAAUGAGGUAGGAUGAGUCAUCAACUAGAGACUCGAGUGAGAGUAGUUUUAUCGGUUUGUUAAGGGGUCUCCUUCCCCUGUUCUUUCACCAAUGGAUUUUGUCUCAAAUUCUCAUUUUCUUGCCAACCAUGAUACUAUUGGUCAGAACAUUGGGGUUUCAUUUUUUGUUUCUUUUGUUGCUCUUGUUAGUUUCUUUCAAGGUAGGUACAUAGUUAGGGGAUGGCAAGGACUUCGGUCAUCCUAAAAUGAAAAAUUUUCAUUUUGGUCAUUUACAUUUCUUUUAAAAUUUUAAAUUAAUAAAGAUAAAAUUACACUUUAAACUCUUUAAAAUGAUAAAAAAUUUAAUUUAAUUAUUUAAAAAUUAUAAAAUAUAAAUAAUUAAAAUAAUAAAAUUACUAUCAUAAAAAUUACAAUUUAAUUUUCAUCCAUACAAAAAUUUUGUUGCUUCCGAUAAAUAGAAAAGGCGCUACCACAGUCGCAUGAGUUGUCAUUGGAAUUUGGUUUCGUUGCUCUAGCUUUUGUUUUAGCCAAUGGCCAAGGGUCGUGGCCCCACUCCAUUUGUUUAGGCAUUGCUUUCAGUAUGGCCUCUUUUAUGGAGGUAUGUAAUCGUUGAUUGUGCAUUCGUUUUUACCCCUAAACACAUUGAUUACUCUUUUCCUCACAUUUUCGACUUUAGCAUUGAAAAGUAUUUUUGAUGACUUGUUUCUUCUUUGGAUACUUUACAAAUAGGGGAUAAAUAUCGUUUUCUAGAUUAGUCUACCUCUUUAUAAUAAAUGCUGACAUUUUCUGGAAAGGUUUAAUUUACAAAUUAAUAUCUAAAUUAUUUAAAUUUUAUUUUUUUAAUUUUUUUAUCACAGUACUUAAACUAUUUUUUUCUUAAAUUGUACAUAUGUUAGUCAAACUUUAACCUAUAUUCAUUUUUUAAAUUGAUAUCUAAAUUUUUUUUGUUCAUACGUUAUAUAUAAAUUAUUAUUCAAAUCUUAUUAUACAUCAAAAUAUUAUAUGAGUUAAAAAAAUUAAAAAAUAGGUGAAAAAAAAGAACUGAAAUACCAACAUGUAAAAAAGGUAUAGUUUAUCAUUUUGAGUCCUUGAAAAAUAAAACUGAAAUGCUACUAGUCUUCCUCUCCGUGUCGAAAUCUCUAGUACUAUAGCAAUUCACAUACACUCUAUCUCCUUCAUGCAGCAGAUCCUCGUUUUUCCCAUGUAUUCUAAUCUUUCUUAGGGCUUUAAUUCAACCAUGUUCUAGAUUAUUAAGAACCAAAACAACAAAAAUUAGUAAAUAAUGUCUACCGUUGAAAAAAAACAUCAUGUUACCUCCUGACUUCGGUAAGAAUCUCCAUAGCAGAGAACGAGGAAACAAGAAGAACAUGACUCUUUUGUAAGUGGUGACUCUACUGAGCCAUCUAUUUCUACUUUGAUGACAACGACAGCUUCAAGCCUGUCGUUUUGGUUAUCAAUGGGGAAGGGACCGACUCCUAUGGCUUUGUUUAUCUAGUUCAAGCUUUGGUCCGUUUAGGCCUCUACAAUGUCCAUGUUUGCGCCCCUCGAUCGUGGGUCUCUCUUUCUUCUCCUAAAGUUUCUCUAAUUUCCUCAUUUCUGCUUUUUUUUUUGUCGUAAGUCUUGCAUUUUCUCAUCUAGGUCCUCACCAAUUAUUGAUUUCUUAGUAUUUCAUUUUUCUUAUUGAAUUUUGUAAUUUUUUCUGUGAUUUAUUUCUGAAUGGAUUGCUUAAGGGAUAAAUCUGUUUCGGGUCAUUCCAUGACAGUGCGAGUCCAGCAGAAAUAGAUGGUGCUACUGCUUAUGGAGUCUGAGGUGUGAUUGGAUUUUGCUUGUUCCGCUCAAAUUUUAAGUAUCUCAGUGUUCUUGAUUUGGGAUAUGAAACCAUGUUAUUGGAGUAAGCCAAGUGUAGUAUGUCACAACCAUCAUUUAUAUGAUUAAACAUGGCUUUUAAAAAGUACCUUCUGGACUGUUAUUUGUUGCCCUUUUUGCAGAAACGUCAAUAUAUAUGCAUGCAAGCUUGUGUGAAUUGGCUGUGAUAAUAAUCCUUUUCAUUUAUGGUUCUCUGAUUUCAGGGACUACCGUGGAUUGUGUAUCCUUAGCAUUGUCUGGGGCAGUGCUCUCAUGGUCGAAGCCUCUCCUGGUUAGGCUUUCAUCCUGAUUUCUAUGAAUUAAAAUACAAAUUUGUUUUUAACCACUUCCUGACUUCAUGAAAUUUCCAGGUGAUUAGUGGAAUAAACCGGGGGAGAAGCUAUGGUCAUAAUAAGUUUUUUAACACGCCUGCACGAUAAUACUAAUUGAAUUUUCUUUGAUUGUAGCAGGUGGGAAUAUUACCCUCUUGAUUCACUCUUCUAAUAGAUGGUAUAAAUUUUGCUUUGAAUAUUUUAACGCCUUUUGCUCAGCUUCAUUCAUAUGUUAUUAUUGUUUUAUCAUGUUAAUUUACCAUCAAUCCUCUUUGCUCUUCCUUGGAUGAUAAGUGUAUUUAUGAUGUGUAAUAUACCAGGUUUAUAUGAUUAAACAUGGCUUUUAAAAAGUACCUUCUGGACUGUUAUUUGUUGCCCUUUUUGCAGAAACGUCAAUAUAUAUGCAUGCAAGCUUGUGUGAAUUUGCUGUGAUAAUAAUCCUUUUCAUUUAUGGUUCUCUGAUUUCAGGGACUACCGUGGAUUGUGUAUCCUUAGCAUUGUCUGGGGCAGUGCUCUCAUGGUCGAAGCCUCUCCUGGUUAGGCUUUCAUCCUGAUUUCUAUGAAUUAAAAUACAAAUUUGUUUUUAACCACUUCCUGACUUCAUGAAAUUUCCAGGUGAUUAGUGGAAUAAACCGGGGGAGAAGCUAUGGUCAUAAUAAGUUUUUUAACACGCCUGCACGAUAAUACUAAUUGAAUUUUCUUUGAUUGUAGCAGGUGGGAAUAUUACCCUCUUGAUUCACUCUUCUAAUAGAUGGUAUAAAUUUUGCUUUGAAUAUUUUAACGCCUUUUGCUCAGCUUCAUUCAUAUGUUAUUAUUGUUUUAUCAUGUUAAUUUACCAUCAAUCCUCUUUGCUCUUCCUUGGAUGAUAAGUGUAUUUAUGAUGUGUAAUAUACCAGGUUUUCCUCGGGUGUUGUGGCCUGGGCUAGAGAAGCAUUAACGUUGGUGUACCAUCUUUGUCUAUAUCACUGAACUGGUGCUGGGAAUUCAGUUUCUACUAAUUUCUUUUCGCUUAUGAACAUUCUUCUGAUUGUUUGAUACUACUGAAGGAAGGGGGAAGAAAGCCAAGAAAGUGAUUUUAAGGAUGCAGUUUCACUUUGUUUGCUUUUAAUAAACGCAGCCAUCCUAGAUAUCGAAAAGGGUGUUUUCCCUAAAAGUUGCUUUUCCAAGUGUAGAAAUUCCUACUUUUCCUUCAGCAAACAAGGUUCGGAUUCCCUGUUUUAUGGACAUAAAGAGCAUUUGGCUGUGAUAACAAUGACGUGAUAUAUACCAACGUCUAUCACAUUUAAAAUGAGAUAUAUUUCCGGUUUUGGUCUUCAAAUUAUACUCAUAACCUAAUAACUAAUAUUUGGAUACUGUUGCUUCCUUGAGAUGUGCUCUCUAAACCUUGUUUAUAUGCAUCUUUAUUUAGACAUAUUAGCUGAUAGUGACGAAGUUGUCUUAGUUUGUGAUCUUUCCUGCUUUUCAACUCUCUGAAGUUCUUUAAAUUGUUAGGAGAGGCAAAGUUUGGGUUGCUAUCAUCAUAAGAAACAAUCUUUUAUUAGAGCCAGUGAGGAAAUCUUUGUUAUGCCUUAGAGGAAUAUAUAUAUAUCUGUUCAUCUACUCGUUUUCAUUUGUUUGUUCAUAGGUUAUAGCAUUAUUUUGUGGGGGAGUUCUUAUAUAGUCACACUAUUUAUAUCAGGUUCAAAUUAUUGGCAAUCAUGGAAUUGUUCAUAGAAAUUUCCCUUUUAGAAGCUUCAUUGAACAAGGGAGAGUUUUAAUUCACCAAUGGGAUGAAGUUUCCUCAUGCAAAUUGAAUGUUCCAUACAAUCGUAUAUUUGGACGAUCAAAGUUCCAAACCGCGUAUUUACUCAAACAUGCUGUUCUGUUUUUUUGGAUAUAGUAAUGCUAAGCCAUCUGGAUUCUUUCAGCAAAUCUGUUUAGCUUGAUAUUCAGCUACAUUUCUUUCCUUUCAGUAUGUAAAUUUAUCUCGUUUCGUCCUUCAUGCAAUCUUGCUUAUUCAUAUACGACAGGGCUUUAAACUGACCAAGCAAAGUAUGUGGAGAUUGUUGGAAACGUGAUGGGCCGAAAAUUUACUUUUUAUUACACACUCAAUAUAUUACAAUACGAAGAUUACAAAUAUUUUCUCAAUGACUAGAUAGUCUAGCUGCUGCUAGAUUUUAACUCACUCAAGGUUUGCUAACCUUCUCACUCUCACUCACGUUGCUUCUCUUAUUUCUUUUUUCUUCUCAUUUUUUUUCCUUUACAACACAAGUUCAAGCCUCUAUUUAUAGGCUGAUAAAGUGACAACAAAUGUGGCUAUUAAUCCACUUAAUUUCCAGCCACAAAACAUCUCAAUAAUGGAGCACUUUGUAUGGCUAAAAUUUCAGCACUUUGCAUGGCACAAAAUUGCUCCACGUCUCAUGCUUCUAGAUUAUGCUUGGAGUGGGUUUGAUUUCUAACACUCCCCCUCAAACCCAACUUUCAUACCGAGCUUCUCUUUGAAUUUGUUGAAUGUCUCCACUUUCAACGGCUUUGUGAAAAUAUCUGCCAGUUGAUCUUCUGUCCUGCAAUGGACCAACUCCACGUUUUUGUUUUUCACUUGCUCUCGGAUAAAAUGAUACUUCGUAUCGAUGUGCUUGCUUCGGCUGUGCGACACCGGAUUCUUGGCAAGUGAUAUAGCGGAUUUGUUGUCAACGUAGAUGGUAAUUGGACCUUCAUUUGAAACACCUAUUUCUCCCAAAAUAUUCUUCAACCACAUUGCUUGGCAUGUACAAGUUGCUGCGGCCAUAUACUCUGCUUCACAUGUUGAGAGAGCAAUUGUUUGUUGCUUCUUUGACGACCAUGAAAAAACUGCGGAACUGAUGUGGAAUGCAUAUCCGGAAGUGCUUUUCCGAUCAUCCAAGUCUCCCCCAUAAUCGCUAUCUGAGUAGCCAACUAAUUUUGAAUCUUGUGAGUGGGUAUAGAAUAAACCAUGGUUCAUCGUACCUUUGAUAUAUCUCAAAAUUCUUUUUGCGGCAAUUAAGUGGUCUUGCUUCGGCUUCUCCAUGAAUCUGCUCACCAAUCCUACUGCAUAUGUAAUAUCUGGUCGUGUGAUUGUCAAAUACCUUAAACUUCCAACGAGACUUUUAAACAACGUCGGAUUUAUCGACUUCCUUGUCGAAUCAACACUUAGCUUCAUCCCUGGAUCAGCUGGCGUGACUACUGGCUUGCAAUCCUUCAUUUUGAACUUGUUCAAAAUCUGCUCCGCAUACUUCUUUUGAGAGACAAAAAUUCCAUCUUGUAUUUGUUUCACCUCGACUCCAAGAAAGUAUGAUAUCUCACCGAUAUCUGUCAUUUCAAAUUCUUUAGUCAUAGCUUUCUUGAAAUCAUCAGACAUACCUGGAUUGUUUCCGGUGAAGAUCAUGUCAUCCACAUAUAGGCAUACGAUCAUGAUAUCUCCAUAUCCAUUCUUCUUUGUGUACAGGGUGUGCUCGUGCGGGCUUUUGAUGAAUCCAUUUCUUCGGAAGUACUCGUCGAUCCUUGUGUUCCAUGCUUUUGGGGCUUGCUUCAAUCCAUACAAAGCUUUCUUCAAUCGGUAGACUUUGUCCUCCUUUCCUUGUAUGCUAUAUCCAGGUGGUUGUUCUAUGUAGACUUCCUCCUCCAAGUAGCCAUUCAGGAAUGCAGACUUGACGUCCAUCUGAUAGAUUUUCCAUUUGUAUUGUGCUGCGACCGCUAUGAGAAGCCUAAUUGUGUCUAUUCUUGCGACUGGAGCAAAUAUUUCAUCAUAGUCCACUCCUUGUCUUUGCUUGUAGCCUUUGGCGACUAGUCUUGCCUUGUAUUUCUCUACUUUUCCUUCUUUGUUGGUCUUCGUCUUGUACACCCACUUGACACCAAUCGGGCUAUGUCCUUCUGGCAGACUUGUUAGCUCCCACGUGUCAUUCCUUCUUAUUGCAGCAAUCUCCUCGUCCAUGGCCUUCUUCCAUUUAUUGUUUUCAAUUGCUUCUUCGUAUGUCAUUGGAUCACAUUCUGUCAUUAGACAGAAUAGUGAAUAAUCGAACUGCGUCUCUACAGGUUCCGUAGAAUUGUAGAUGUCGUUGAGACUCCGUGUUCUUGUGGGUGCUUCAUCUGAGCUGCUGCUUCCGCUGCUGCUGGUUGGUGACGAAGGGGCUGUUGUACCAGGACUUUGAUCAUCGCCUUGUUCUUCUUGGUUAUUGUCGUCUUCGUUGAAAAAUAAUCCUUCCACUUUCUUUUCUUCUUCACUCCAUCUCCAGUAAUCCGCUUCAUCGAACUCGACAUCUCUUGAGAUAAUCAAUUUCUUAGUAAGAGGAUUAUAAAGUCUGUAGGCCUUACUUCUUUUGUCAUAGCCUAUAAAGAUACACUUCUCUCCUCUAUCGUCAAGCUUUUUCCUCUGUUGCUCAGGAACGUGUGCAUAUGCAAUGCAUCCAAAAAUUUUGAGGUGUCCAACUCUUGGCUUGUGACCGCUCCAUGCUUCUUCUGGUGUCUUGUGUCUUACACUUUUUGUUGGACAUUGAUUCAACAGAUAAACUGCGCAUUCAACGGCUUCAGCCCAGAAAGUUCUCGGAAGGUGUUUACCUUUUAUCAUGCUUCUUGCCAUAUCCAGAAUUGUCCGAUUCUUCCUUUCUGCAACUCCGUUUUGUUGUGGAGUGCGUCUGGCUGUUAACUGAUGAAUGAUUCCAUGAUCCUUGCAGAAACUUUCAUAAAGCUUUGCAGUAUACUCACCUCCUCUAUCGGAUCUGAGUAUCUUCAAAUAUCGACCACUCUGUUUUUCCACCAUUGCUUUGAACUCCUUGAAUUUUUCUAGGGCUUCUGAUUUUGCUUUGAGAAAAUAAACCCAACAUUUUCUGCUAUAAUCAUCAAUAAAAGUUAGGUAGUACCUGUUUCCACCGAGUGAUUCAAUGUCGUACGGACCAGAUAUGUCGGUGUGUACAAUUUCCAAUGGUCUUCUAGCUCUUCGAGAUUUUCCUACUUCAAAUUUCUGCCUAUGCUGCUUUCCUUUGACACAGGCUUCACACAGUUGAUCUGGAUGAUUAAUACUUGGUAAUCCAUUCACCAUAUUUGUCUUCGACAACAGCUUCAAGCCAGAAAAUCCGAGAUGUCCGUACCUUAAGUGCCACAACCAUGAUUCAUUCUUCAGAUCCGUCUUCAUGCAUUUUACUUCUCCAGACUCGAUGUCGAGGGUGAAAAGACGAUUUCGCGUCAUAUCAACUCGAACAACUAAUUCUCCACUUUUGUUCCUGAUGGCGAGUGAGCGGUCUUUCAUAUGAACUUCAUAUCCUUUUUCUAGGAGUUGACCAAGACUGAUCAGGUUGCUCUUCAAAGCUGGUACGUAGUAAACGUCUGAGAUGUACUUCUUCUCUCCAUUCCUUUGUGUUAUAACAACCUUGCCCUUUCCUUUGAUUUCUGCAUGUGAGUUGUCUCCAAAAGUUAUUUGUCCAUGAACUGUUUCAUCUAAUUCUGUGAACAGCUCCUUUCUUCCACACAUGUGGUUGCUUGCACCGUUGUCGAGAUACCACACACUUCUCUUGCGAUCUUCAUUUUCUCCGUAAGUGAGAAAGACACUUGAUUCCACUUUUUCGUUGCCUUCUGCUGCGACUGCUACAUGGUUUCUUUCAUCCACUUUGUGUGUUGAUCUGCACUCGUAACUGAAAUGUCCAUACUUGUUACAGUUGUAGCAUUGUACCUGAGAUUUAUUUUCUUGAAAUCUGCCUCGGCCACGACCUCUAGAUCCACGUCCACGGUUGGAUGUUUGAUAAUCUUUAUUUUCUUGAUAUCUCCCAUAUGAUUGAUUUCCACGUCCUCGUGAUCCUCUUCCUCCUCUGUUUCCACCACGGUAGCCUCCACGGUAUCCUCUGCGGUUUCCUCUUCCUUGGUUAAAGUUAUUACUUGUUUCUCCGUCGUCGACGGACAACUUGCUAUGCAAGGCUUGAUCAAGAUUUUCACUAUCUUCAUUUAGCUUCAUCUUUUGCUCAUGGGCUUGCAGAGAACCCACAAGUUCUUCGAGCGACAUCUUUGACAAAUCUUUUGAUUCUUCGAUGGCAACGACUACGUACUCGAAUUUGCGUGUGAGUGACCGUAGAAUUUUCUCCAUCACUCUUACCUCGUCAAGAGUUUCUCCAUUUCGUUUCAUUUCAUUUACCACCGAUUUUACACGAUUGGCAUAGUCAUCGAUAUUCUCGGAGCUCUUCAUUUUUAACAUUUCAAAUUCAGCUCUAAGUGACUGAAGGCGUACCUUUUUAGCUUUUUCUACACCUUGAAAUGAUUUUUGCAAAAUCUCCCAUGCAUUCUUCGCGUUCUUCACAUCUGAUAUUUUCUCGAAGGUUGAUUCAUCCAUUCCUUGAAAGAUACUAUUCAAGGCCUUUUGAUCCUUCUUUCGUGCUUCUCGUAACGCCUUCUUAGCGUCAUUUGAUAAAGCUGCUUCUGUAGCGGCAUCUCCGGGCUCGAUGUAUCCUUUUUCAACGAUCUCCCAACAAUCUUGCGAACCGAGCAAAGCCUUCAUUCGAAUGCUCCAAUUUCCAUAAUUUGUCUUCGUCAAUUGUGGAACUUGUAGCUGAAUUACGUCGCCCAUAUCGACUUGUUAGAUGAACACCAAAGGUACUCCGAACUGGACACGAACCGGACACGAACCGAACUCCGAACCAAGCUCCGAACCGUAGCUCUGAUGCCACUUGUUGGAAACGUGAUGGGCCGAAAAUUUACUUUUUAUUACACACUCAAUAUAUUACAAUACGAAGAUUACAAAUAUUUUCUCAAUGACUAGAUAGUCUAGCUGCUGCUAGAUUUUAACUCACUCAAGGUUUGCUAACCUUCUCACUCUCACUCACGUUGCUUCUCUUAUUUCUUUUUUCUUCUCAUUUUUUUUCCUUUACAACACAAGUUCAAGCCUCUAUUUAUAGGCUGAUAAAGUGACAACAAAUGUGGCUAUUAAUCCACUUAAUUUCCAGCCACAAAACAUCUCAAUAAUGGAGCACUUUGUAUGGCUAAAAUUUCAGCACUUUGCAUGGCACAAAAUUGCUCCACGUCUCAUGCUUCUAGAUUAUGCUUGGAGUGGGUUUGAUUUCUAACAGAGAUCUGCUCCGGGUUGGCAAGGUGUUUCAGCUAAUCACCAUCCUUUAGCUGCAUAUUCCAUGUCUAAUCAAUGAAGUCUUGGGAUCCAACUCGCACAGCUUAGCCAAGAUGCAUCCACUGCUGUAAGUUUUUAUUUUCUUUUAAUCAAAAGGAAUUGCGUCAUUUACUCCUGUACAUCAAAACCUGCUUAUUCAUGCCCACAUUUCUUUAUAUUAAUCCCUUUAAACAGAGUAUCAGGAUCUCUUUCUCACUAUUUGAUCUUGGUAAUGUGCAUUUUUUCCCUCAGGGUGCUGCUCGCUAGUUGACUGCACAAAGGAAUAAUGUGGAUGUGGUCUGUUGAAGCAGCUAAAUCUGAAUCUAAUAAAGCGAAAAAGUACUUCCGAAUGGAGGUAGGGAAAUUUUCCAACAACGGAAUAGAAAAGUUCUGAAUUGCCAUCAAAACCAAUUUUGCUUGCUGUUCUCAGGUUUUUCUCCUUAUCUAUGAAUGAUCCUGGCAUUGUUAAUUACAGUUGAUGCUGGCUUAUGUAUUUUGCAGUUUGUAGACAAAGAACAGGAAGAUACAUGCAAGGAUUUGGAUUUUGGCGCACUCGAAACAGAUUUGUAAGUUAAAACCCCGUUUUCUCCCUGGAAAUUAUGGUUAUUCAAACCAUUUAAGAAUCGAACUAUUGAUUUUCAUUUCUGUUUUCCAUGAAGGUCAUGGAAUCAACCUAAUACGGUUCAUUUAUGUCACUCAAAUUGCAUUUGGUUUUUUUCCCCCUCAAACAGUAGAUUGCGGUAACUCCUGUAUCGAUUUAUCCUUCGCAAAUUGAGUCACACGUUCAAAAGGCUGCAUUGGAUUGGAUAUCCAGAUCCUUCUAGGGCAGCAAUUGGCUCUUGGAUGAUCAACAUAGCAUCUUAAAUCACUCAUUUGCAUUUAUAAAUUCUUAGGGGCUUUUUUCUAUGUAAAUUACCAUAAAGUUUCGGGGUGGUUGUUGAUACAAGGAAAUAAGCAAUUGGUCUAAAUGUAUGUACGACCUUGCUUGUUGUUUCCGCAAAUUCAUUGAUUUGUGACAUGGUGUUCAUGCAUGAUUAAUCAUUUUUGUUCUUUUUGAAAUUUACACUUUGUUGUUGACUAAAUUAUUCGAUGAAUUAUUGAAGUAUGGAAAAGCCAAGGCAUUGAAAAAUAGAUUGAAUCUGCUUGUUUAGGCAAGGAAACCGAAAGCUGCUUGGCUGCCUGCAGCUGCAGCUGCCUGAUGCAGCCAGUGGUGCUUCUUCUUUUUUUAAUUUUUUUACUGCUAAGAUUUUAAGAGCGAUUAACAGUAGCGGUGCUGUUAAAGACCAUACCUUUUGGGCCCCUACCGCCUCUGUUCAUGUCCAGUUUACUACCUGCGUCCGGCAUUGAUGACAAUUGCCGUAUCAGCCGCGGACUUGGCCCGCUCUUGCUUUGUCCUCUUUCUUUUACCUUGCUCGUAAAUCCGAUCAAUUUCUAAUAUACGUAAAAAAGGGUUUUUUUUUCAAGUGAAAUGGUUAAAAUUUAUCUCCUAAUGUUAUUGUUGACCCAGAAUCGGCUGCCUCGUAACUGUAAAAAAUACUCACCUUUUCAACUUAAAAGUCUUCAACAUGUAUAAAAAAUGAACUUUAAAAUCAAUCAUGGAGAAGGUCUGCAAUUUUUUUUUAUUUGAUCUUUUUACUAGAAUCUUACGAUUGUCUAAUCAUAACAUAAAAUGAUGGUUUACAUUCGUGGUCUUACACGGUUCAAGAUUGUUGAUCGUUAAUUGCACAAGUGUAAUUAUAGGUAAUGUGCUCCUAAUGGCUGCGUUACAUCUCUUUUUACAAGCAAUUACAUUAACAAACAUAUGGAUGAAUCCUAAACCUAACGCCUUUAAAUCCACAUAAGUUUUAUCAAGUUACUUGUCUAAUUUGCUUUCCAGUUAAUCCCAUUCGCUCUCCACCCAUCUUUUUCAAAACUGCGUUUACGAAAAUUGAAAUUAGAUUCCAAAAUUUCGAGUGUAAUAUAUUACCAUGAAUUUUAGUCUACACAUUAACGUCACCGUAUAAAAUGUAUAUAUAUAUAUGAAAUUUCUUAUUGUUAAUAUCUCCUACAAAUGAGAGAAUAAAUUAAUAUAUAUAUAUGAACAAAUUAUUUCAUAUACUGUUAUACAAAUAUAUUUAGAACAAGUAAUACGUGAAAUUUAGAACCUAAAUUUAUUUAUGGAACAUCAUCUGGCAUUAUUCAUACUGCAUGUCUGAAAUAGUAACAUUUAGGUUAAUAUUUUUCUCUCAUAUAUAAGAACCCUACAAUAUUUUUUUUGGUCGAAAAGGAACCCUACAAUAUACAUAAAUAUAUAUAUCUGUGCAUAUAAUAUUUGAGGAAAAUAAUUGCUGUUGUAUCGAGUGAACCCGCAGACGGAGUACCUAGCUAAAACUAACCCCAAUCAUGUAAGAAAAUGUGAAUGGGUCGUGCCUAAGGGUCCCAACCGCCUGAUGGAAGAUUAGGGUUUGUGAUAUAUUGCCCACUGGAUAAAGCUGAUAAGGAUGACGAAGAGGACGAUGAUGCUGAUGGCAUUGAUGUAAUGAUGGUAUCAAUAAAUUCCAUCUGGUUGGUUGCCACGACCAUGUCAUGCGCAUAGGAUGAACCAGCAGAUAUAGGCAAACAUGUCGAGAGCCUCGAGCCUAACGGGUCGAUGUUUUCCAAUGAAACAGAAGUUAGUGGCACGUUGCACAGGUUCCCUUCAAGGAUUUCACAGAGUUUGGGCACUGUUUGGGCUGCCAUUAAUGGAUGAUCAUAAAGAUUUACGGCAGCGGUUGAGUUCAUAAGCUUCUCGUUGAAAAUAUCAUGAACUACUUCAUUACUGAAAACCGGGACGUGAUGUUUUUUAUCUUGGUGAUGAUCAAGAUCAUGUUGAGAUGUAAUGAAGGGAAAUGGCCAUGAAGGGUCCAAGGAAGAUGCACUUGAAAGGGGUGGUGGGAGCAUUGGGGUUAACGGGAAAUGAUGGUGAAUCAAAUCGACGUUGUCACCGCUUGGGUUUGACUUGAAAUCUGCAUGAUGUUGAGCAAAGCUCUGUAGCAGUGGUGGGGAAAGAUAGAGCUGGUCCCGUUGAUCACUAAGGAUCAAACUAGGGUUUACAUUUAGAGAGACGAAAUCAACUGCUUCAUCUGGAGGUUUAAAAUUAUGAACAUCGGCGAAAGAGGCUAAAGCAGGAACCUCAUGGGAGAUAAACUUCUUUUUGAUGCUUGAAUUCCAAAAGUUCUUCACCUCAUUAUCUGUUCUCCCUGGUAGAUGUUUGGCUAUCUGUGCCCAUCUGUUCAACAAAAUGUGAAAAAAAAGUACAAAAGUUAAAAAAAUAAAAAGAGAGAGAGAGAAGAAAACAUUGAUGAUUACUAUGAUUAAUACCUGUUGCCUAGAAUACUAUGGAGUUCAAUGAUGAGAGCUGCUUCUUGUGGGGAGAAACUCCCACGUUUCAAAUCAGGUCUGAGGUAAUUUAUCCAUCUUAAUCUACAACUCUUCCCGCAUCUUUGAAGGCCUGCAUCAUGAAACAAACCCCCAAAAGGAACAAACAUCGAAAAAAAAGAAAAUAAACAAGGAAUCAAAUUAAUGUAGUUGGGUUUUUGCAGUUAUUGUCUGCAAAAAAAAAAAGUUUAUAAAAACUAGUACUGAUAUUGGCAAAAAAGAAACCAUGGAAAGAUGGAGAAGAGUAAAAGACCAGCAAGUUUAGGGACUGAGCUCCAACAACCAUGGCCAUAGGUUGUAACGUAGUUUAUAAGUUUCUCAUCUUCCUCGGGUGACCAUAGCCCUCUCUUCACCUUCUGCUUGUUGCAACAAGAAUGGUGGCCGUGCCCCAUCAUUCAGCCAAUAGCGGGCCAGAAUCUAGAAUUGUUUAUUUAUUCAAAAGUGAAAAAGAAGAGCAGAUCUGAAAAAGAGAGAGAGAAAGAGAGGGUAGUUUCAAGUUUUAACUUUUAAUUUCUAUAUCAGAAGAUAUUCAGAGCUAAGCCCUAGAAUUUGGCUUGGAAGAAAAUGUGAAAAACAAAAAGAAAAAAAAAAGCUUACAAACUGAGUGCUAAGAGGGUGAUUUUAAAAGACUGAUGAGAGUGCAGUGAGGGCGUGAAUUUAAUGUAGGGAGCUGUACCAUGGUGGCCCAGUUAGGGUUUGAGGGCAAAAGGCUAAAAUCUGCAGCGUCAACCUGUAAGGGAUGUAUGGCUUAUAAUGGGAUCCCUCUCACCCUGUUAAUUUCUGAGAUAUGGGUUUGCCUUGUACAAGUGGCAUACAUGCAGGCAUGUGGGACCCUUUAUUGUUUUUAACGGGUCCCACUUUUUGGACUUAUUGUCUUCAUGUAGGAAUACGAAGUUGUAGGAUGUCAAAACUGGUUCAAUAAUUUUUCUUUCUUCUCAACUUUCAGAUAUGGCUCUUGCAAAUUAAUGCAAAAUCAAACUCACUGGGAUUUUUCUUCAUGAUUACAACAACCAUCAGACGGUUGUGAGUCUAUGAAAGGGUUGUGAUUGUAGGCAAUGCAAUAAUAUGGAUUGUGUAGGUAAACUUUUAAUUCAUUCAAGUAAUUAAAAUUCGAUGCACCAUGAGAUAAUUAUUUAAAAAAAAUAUAUUAGGAUGUAAAUGGAUCGUCUUCUUUUGCGCAUUGAUUGAUAUCAAAUGUUCGUAGAACUGUCCCACCAUAGAUGCUUUGUGAAUCUCAGCUAGAGAAAAUUGUAUCAUCAUAUAUUACUAUUAUUACGUUCUAGAACAAGAUUGCCGUUGAAAUUCUCUGCUGAUUCGUUGCAUGUAAUGAAGGGCAUAAAGUAAAGGCUUUUUAUCUCCAAGUCAAGCAACUAUGUGAUGCAAAGAAAAAAGGGAAGACAUUUCAAUCAAAUGCAUGAAUUAAAGCUCAGCUCUUUCUUGUUAAAUUUCAAGUUGUAAAUCAAUUACUAGGUUGAAAUCUGAAGACGUUACUAUGUUUUAAUAAUUAUCGUUUCUGAAUAAGCAAUGAGUGGCUUUAAACUUAUAUCAAAACUUGUUGUUAUUAUUAUUAUUAUUAUUAUUUCUUUUACCAAUUUCAAUUAUAAUCAUAACAAGACUUCUGUUCAUUAUCUACUUAUUAGGUUUUAGUUAUCAUAUUGAAAUAAUGAACAGUGUAUCUACAAAUUGGAAAACCAAAACGUUGAUUGGGAUCUAAGCAAUGGAACACAGAGGUAGAGUAAUUAUUUAAUCUUAAUUAAGGGACCACAUUGCCUUAGCAAUUCCAGAAUUCCUUCCAUUUCAUGGAAACAAUAUAUAGAUUGCUUAAUUUAUUAACAUCCAGGGGCACACCAUACUGUUUUAACUCAAACUUUCAUUUCUUCUUCUUUUUCAACUUUUAUUGGAUUAGACACGAAUAUUUCUUCAAGUUGGACGAUGAGUGGUCACCAUAUAUUAAAAGCAAAGAUGCUGAAAUCAAUUAAUUUUUUUAUCUACAUUUUAAUUCCAUCAGUGGGUCCUAAUCGUUAUAAUAUCAGCUGAAGAGAAAACAGGAAAUGCUAUUCGGCUGGUCUAUGUGUUAAAAAUUUUGGCAAACCUUGGUCUGACACUCCCCUUUUUACCUUACACACAACCAGUUCUUUUUUCUUUUCAAUACAAUGUUAUGAUUAUAGAUAAAUUUAAGGUUUAAUAUUUUAUGGUUUAUGAUAAAUAAUUUUAUAAAUUAUAAUUUAGUGUUUAAUGUUUAAGGUUUUAAGUUUGGGGUUUCUUUUUAAUUAUAUUGAUAACUAAUUCUAUAAAUUAUAAAUAAAAACAAUAAACCCUAAAUAAUAUAUAUUAAUUUAAACACUAACUACUAAAUAUUAUCACAGCCGGUUAUAAAAGAAACGAAUUUUCUUUUCUUUUCUUUUUAUUUGGUAAAAAACAUCUUAUUUGUGAUUUUUUUCCUCAGCAAAAUCAUUUAUUCAUUUCAUAGGAAAAGUAACUGGAAAAACCAGUUACAUACAAACAACAAAAAUGGAGGUAUCGACAAGGCCAUUAGCCUCUCGAAACACAUGCACAAAAAAUAACUUAGCGCACCAAUACAGUCAAGUGAUAUGAACAAAUCCCAGAGUCUACAAGGGCGAUCAAAGUAAGAAGAGCACCAGCUCACUGCCACCUGAGAGUGGGAUUCAAUGAUGACAUGACAAUCAGGACUCUACCUAUAGUAAAUUAAAAGAUGUAAAAAGUGUUUUUUUUUAAUUCCGACAAAGAAAUUACACUCGGACAAAAUCUGAAGAUUCUCCGGCAAACAUUAUUAUAUAAAAAAAAAACACAUCAUGAAUGAAAGGGUCAAAAGAAUUUGUAAUCAAGGCAGUGUUAUGAUUGAAAAUGGGGUCACCCUAGUACAAAAUGCAUGCUCUUGCCUCUUCCCAAAUUAAGCAAGCAGUUUUUAGUGGUAAAAUGACGGAAAGGAGGACAAGAUUUGCAUGGAAUGGAACCCUGCCAUUUACUUCCUUUACCCCAUCCAUUCAUUAUUAUUACGAAUAUAUAGGUUGAGCGAUUUUGACAAUACUAAUCCUAAAAGGCUAUUUAUCUGCAUAUAUAUAUCGAGAAUACUGAUCAACGAGCUUAAAAACAAAAGGCUAAACGAUAAUGGCAACAAGAAAAUUUAUGACAAUCAAUCUUUUGCAACCCUAGUUCUUUCCAUAAAAAAAAUUAAAUGUUACAUCACUUGAAUGGAAUUCAGGAUGUUGAGAAGCUAAAUUCGUAGGAAUGACAGAUUAUGAUUAUUGGUUUGCUAAAGUCAAAAGGAAAAUUGAUUGUUUUGGGUGAAAUAUGAAAUAAUUAGCAUAGGGUGUGCUUCAUGUUCUGAUAAUUAUGGUGCCAAUUCAUGGUAGCAGAAGUGAUGGAUGUUGAAGGAGAGACAAUUAAUGAUCAAGGCCUUGAUCUGAUGGCUAUUUUCAUUUAUAUUUCAUUUUUUUUACAUAAAAAGAACUGGACAUGGGUGAGGCAGUUGAAAAGGUGAAGUUUCUCUUGGCUUCCCCACAUUUGCCCAGUUUUUCAUGAAAUGAAAACCCUGCUAUGAAAUAUGAUUGACUGUACUCUUUUCUCAAAAAUUAAACCCCUUUUUUUUAAUAAAAAAAUAAAAAAGUUUAUCAUCAUUCAUUCGUGGCUAUUAUCUCUCAAAGACAAGUUGUUUCACCAAGUAAAAUUGCUCCUAACAAGCAAUUUAUAUAUAAUAUGUCUAAUUGCAACUAUAAGUAAUGGCAUUGACGUAAUUUUCCACCCUUUUCUCAAGGGGAAGUUAUGGUAAAAUUAUACUCCUAGGUUAGGUGGUAAAUUGGAAACUAUUUUCCUUUCAAAUAUAAGACCCUCAAUCUUAAAAAUCAUUCCAUUUCUUCAACUAGUAUAAAAUCUACACUAAUUUUAGUAAAACUAAAAUAUGGGACUACAAUCUUCAACUAGUAUAUGCAAGAAUUUGGAUUUGUUUUAGUGCUGUCAAUUCGGCAUCGUAAAAGGAUUCCAAAUUAUUUGUGUUGUUUUUUCCUCCUUUUGGUAAUUGGCGUCCAAUUUUAACUCAAUGGGAACUUGGGGUUACUAGAUUACGAUGGUGCUACAAUUAUACUAUAUUUGUUGCCAACUUUGAAAAAUUAUGUUGUAUCUAACAUUGUUGUCUUUUAACCAUUUUAAACAUGCUUCUUUUAUAAUUUUUUUUUGGGUAAAUUAAAGAUUUUACUCCUUAUACCACUCCAAGAGAUUCAAAAUUUUCAUGAAUAUAGUUAAUUGGAGUGUACUACUUGUACGAUAAAUAAUUAUAUACAUAGUUAUGAAUUUUUAAUAACCGCGUAUGACACAAGUCAAAAGAUAAGAUCAAUAAAAGAACUUAUCAAUCAAAAGACAUCUACGCUCAUCAAUUAUAUGCAAAGAACAACUUGACUCCCACGCACUUGAAUAACCUCACGACAACUAAAGACCCUUGAAUAAAUUCUUACCUCCUUUUCUUCUCCUACCUACUCCUUUGUGUAAAAAAACAUAUUAGAGCACAAGCUCUAACACCUCAUACUUUGCCUUUCAUCUUGCAAGAUAUUCAAAUCCUCAAGCAAAAGAAAAAUCUAGCCCUAUCUCCUUCAAACAAUAUGUUAACACUAAUCAAAUUUUUUUUAUUGGAAUAAAACUUUAAAUGGAAAUGUAAAAGCUUUUUAUACUCAAAUUAUUAUGUUGGUAACAUGGAAGUUAUAAGUUGAAGCUCACUUAAAAGCAUGAUAUCUUCCGAUUUAAUUAAUUUAAAUUUUGAAAAUUUUAUGAAUAAUUUAAAAUCUUACAAAAUAAACGAAACCCAUAUUCCUAUAAUUGCUAGAUAUUAAUUAAGAAAUAAUCAUAGACAAAAGUUGCAAAAUAUAUAUAUCAUGCAAAUGUAAUUACAAAUAUUAAAAACAAAGCUGCCUUUUAAAUAUAGGAAAAUAAACAAAACUAUUCUUCUUCUUCUUCUUCUUUUUUGGUUUUUGGGUUUAAAGUCCUUAAAGCAAAUGCUUUAUUGUGGUUAAAAAUCACACACAUCUGGGUUAAAUUUACAUGAUUAAUUUCGCUUUCUCAAAAGCCAAAGAAAAAAGAAAAGUAAAAAGAGAAAUGGAUUGGAAUUGCUUGUGAUGGAAGAAAUUAAAAGGAGCGAAAACAAGGAUGUUGAAUUUUAAUGUAGCACAUGCAACAAUUAAUAGCCCAACCCCUUCGUUUGCUUUAUUUGUUGAGUCAGACGAGGUCACAAGAUGCGGCCUAAGUCACCCAAACAAAGUACAAAUGAAAUAUUGAUUACGUAAUUCUUUGUCCUCACUUGAAUCACAAUUUUAUUACACAAAAUGAAACCAUUUUAGAUCCAUACCACUCUGCUAAAUUAAACGGUUAAAAAGUAAAUUAAAUGUUAAUUUAAUAUAAUUUGUAUUUGAUUUUAAUGAUAUAUUAAUUUUAAUACCCUACAUACACAAGAAAUACUAAUCAACUGUAAAUAUGAUGGUUUUUUUUUUUAAUUACAUAUGAUAAAAUUAAAUUCAAAUAAUAAAAUAAAAUACAUAAACAGAAAAUUGACAACCAUGGAUUUUUUUUUCAAAAAUAUAAGACCCAAUUAUUAUAAAUAAGGAUUAAGAAGAUAGCAAAGUAUGAAUUUAUGAAAAAAUAUACAUGGUAAAAACCUAUAUCAAACUUAUAUUAUAAAUCAUCGAAGAAGUCAUUGAAGUUCAACAAUCUAUAUAUAUAAAAAAGUUAAAAAAAUAAAAUAGUUCGAUUGGCAUAGAUAUUGUUGUCAAAACAGGAGGACGUGAGUUCGAAUGCACUGAAGUGUAUUAUCCUCCUAUUUAUAGGUUAGGGAGGGGCUCAGGGUUGUUUUAAUAUUGUGUCAAAAAGAAUAGAUAUAAUCAAAACCUAUAAUUAGAUUGUUUAGAAAAAUAGUUAAGAUUUAUAAAUAUGAAAAAUUAAUAGUUUUUCAUUUUGAAAGCAAUAUUUACAAUAAUUUUUUUAUUUAUUAAAGUCCUUUGAUUAAUUAUUGAAAGGCUUAAUGAUAAAUUUAACCACUAACGUUUGCAUGUUUUGUCAAAUUGGUCCUAAUUGUAUUUUUGAACUUUUUUUUGCCAACCUUUGUUCUUCUUCUUUUUUAAUCUGUUUUUUUAAAAUAUUUAAUGAAAGUACCGUUAAAAAAGUUAACGGGGAUGAUGUGAAAUUUCAUAUGUGGAAUAUUUUUAAUGAGAUGUAAUUUAUUACUAUGAUAACCCAAUAAAAUAAUUACAUGUGGAAAAUAAUAAAAUAAAAAAAUAACACAUUAGAUUAAAAAGUAGCUCUUAAUUUAAAGAAAAUAAGCGUAAUUAUCUAAAAAAAUUAAAUCAGUAGAAAAACUUCUCAGUAAACAAAGUAUGAAAGAUUGAAAUCUUUUAAAAGAAAAAAAUUAAAACCUUGAAUUUAUUCAUUAAAUCUGUUAGAAAAAAAACAUAUUAAAAAAAUAAAGAUUGAUGACCAAAAUAGACUCAAAAAUACAAUUAGGGUCAUUUUGACAAAACAUGCAAACGUUAAUGGCCAAAUUUAUCAUUAAACCUUAUAGAAAUAAAUUUAUUCUACUGUUUUAUACAAAUUUAAAUAGUAAAAGUUAAUUUAAUUAUUGAUGAAUUUAAUUUUGAUACUCAAAUAGUUAAUUAGUAUUUGGAGAGAUUUGUCCCAUUAAAAAGUUAAUUUAAUUAUUAAUAAAUUUUAUUUUAAUAGCCAAAUAGUUAAUUAAAUUAUUAAUAAACGUUCAAAUUCUUUAUUGAACAUGAUCAAUAUACACUCUCUUUUUUUUUUUGUUAAUGUAAUUCGUUUAAAGGCACUUUACCUCCUCCUCCUUUUUUCAUACUAAAAAUGCCCUGAAACCGUAGGAAAAAGGAGAGAAUAUUUUUACAGGAAGUCGUAAACUUGUCACCUAAAUUUAACUCUUCCUCCUUGUUCUACUCAUUUACCUCAACAAUGUCCUUUUUCACUCAUAAAACUAAGUGAUCCUCAAAUGACCCAAGAUUGCUAUAUUUAAGCAUCAUAUUAAUUAGAGAAGAAAAAGAGGAGGGGGGGGGGCAAAUUCCCUUUAUAAAACUUCAUUUCUCUAAAGUAUGGCAAGUUGAACUAAUUAACUAUGUGUCAUAAAGAACAGCUUGAUGAUGAGUCCUAUAAAAGCCAGAAAAGAUGAGAGGUGGGGGCACCUGAAUUACAAUGGGGUUUGCAAAUGUCAAAAGAAAUCACUUUAUGCUUAGCUAAAAGUUCACAAAAAUUGUACAUUAAGAAAUAAACAAAUUAGUAGUGUAUUUUUAUUUGGCCAAACUGAAUUUCUUUCACAAUUAAUUAGUAAUUGACAAAGUUUGAAUCCAAUUAAAUUUAUAAUCUAAUCGUAAUCUCACCCAUAAAUGUUUAAUAAGUUAUAAAGCACGGGUUUAAGUUCAACCAUAUGUGAUUAUGCAUGAUUCAUUUUUGUAGACACGUGAUGAGAUACUCUCAUUACGUGAAUUUUCUAUCUCUUUAGGCACUCAGACUCUUAAUGUAUUGAAAAAAAAAUUAUUAAGAUAAUACUAAACUUGUUGAGGAGUCUACCAACUAUAUGAACACAAAUAACAAGUGUUUAAUAACUUGAAAUUUUGUCAUUAAAUUUUAUCACGGUAUGUAGAAACUAGCUUAACAAGAAAUGAGUUUCAUUCCAAAAUUGACCUCCCUUCAAAAAAAUCAAUCCUAACUUGAUCAAACUAUAUGAUUCAUUUAAUGUCAUCUAGCAUUUCACUUUGUACAAUGUAAUGGAGUAAAGAAGUUGAGAAAACAAAAUUUAGACCAAAAGAGGUAUGGAAAUUAUGUGAAGUGUAGAAUACUCAAUUACACCCUAUUCAACAAGGAAUAUAUAAAGGUGGCCUAUUAAGACCCCAAUAGACCCACUCUACCUUCCUUAUCUUCAUGGCAAUCCUCUUCCAUGAAAGAAAAUGUCCACUUUGUUUACUCAAAUUUGAAGAAAGCUAAUCUCCCUUACCUUCUUCCUUUUCUUUAAUUCCCCCCUUCUUUUCAGAGUCUUUUUCAAGUCGAAAGCCUUUUUUGGUAGCAUGUCCUGAUUUCUAGCCUUCGUUAGAGGCCAUAUCCCCCACACCAAGAUGCUACUUGGAUCAACUGGUCCUUUACUACCAAGAAUUUUAUGCUGCGAAGGGUAUGAUAAUAUUAUAUUUUUUUAAGAAAUAAAAAUUAUCAUUUUAAAAGUUUGGAGAGUCUAGAGAAAUAACAUUUAAAAUAUUUCAAAAAAAUGUUAAAUGAUUUGUCAACAAUAUUUUGUGCGACCUAUUUAAAAUAAGAAUAGUAAUGAAUUAGGACGAGACCGAUUAUUGUUAAAUUUAUUGUUAGCAUCACUCCCUCACUUUACCCGUCACCUUCCACUUCGCCCUGAAUAUUGAAUUUUGAAUAUUAUUACCUCUUUCAUGGAGAUUUGAUGCAUUUAUAAUUGCCCUGCCUCCUCCUAUCCAUUGAAUAUUUAUCGAAUUAUUUUAAUAUAUAAACAUGAAAAAAAUUUAAAAAAUGAAAUUUCUUAAUUCAAAACAAUUAUAUUUAUUUUAUCUAUUCAUUGUUUAUGUAUAAGGGAUCUCUAAUCUCAUGCCUCGCUUAAUUGAUUAAUUUAAAUUGGAUUAUAUAGCGCAACUUUGUGGUAAUUAUUCUAAAAAAUAUGAAUUUUUGGAAUUUGAUAAAAGAAUAUGAAGAGAGAGAUUACGUUAACGAGCCGACAAACCUAACAAGGUUACUCCAUUAAUGAUUGAAAUAUGCUUUCUUACAUAUAUGGCGUGUCUUGUCAACCCUAAUCACAUGAUUAGAUCAGUCGUAUAAAAUGUAAAUCAUCAUUCUCCCGACGAAAGCUUCUGCUUUGUCCACUGAUCUUGGACUUACUCAUCAUUCAUCAAUAUUCUUUUCUUCCAUCACUCUUCAAACCAGGUUUUAACUAUGUACUUUUAAAUCUUUUAAUUCAUCAACGGCGGUAAGUGUAUCAUGUUACGAAGUAUAAGAGUUUUUGUUAAUCUCAACUAAUUUUAUCUUUUAUCAUAAUUAUUUAAAGUCUAUUCUAAUAUCUAUAAUUUUUUUUCAUUUUGAUAUUUAAACUUUUUGAUUCCAAAUAUCAAAGUAGACAAAAAAAAAAUCUAAUUACCAAGUUGAUAGGCUAAAAAUUACAUUAACUCUUUUAAUAAUAAUUGCAUUGGUUCAAUCCUGGAUUACUAUUAAACAUAUACAAAAUUAAUUUUAAAAACAAUUUUGGGUAAAUUAUAAAUUUAAUCAUUUAUGUAUUAUUUAAAUUAUGAUUUUAUCAGAGUUUUAAAAAGUUACAAUAUAAUUAUUAAUGUUAUCAAAUUACUACAUUUUGAUCAUUAAAUUGUUAACUACCGUUAACGGUGUAAGGUAAGUUACAAUAGACAAAAAAAUUUAAACCAAAUUAUACAGUUAAUUCUUAUACCUUUUCCUUUUGAGAAUUUUAGUUGUUUUGAGGUUUUUUUUCCUUUAACCCACUUUCUUUAAGAGCCAUCAUUUCUAAAAGUAAAUUAAAUUUUAAGAAAAAAAAGUAAAAAAUUAAUAAGGAAAAAAGUAGAAUUUAUAAGUGAAAUAAUUCUUUAAUGGAAUUUUUAACCUUCAAUUAUUUUAAAGAAAACUUAAACAUAACAUAAAACAUAUAAAAUUAUCAAAUUUUAUAUAACAUAAAUUACUAAUAUAUAUAUAUAUGAAUAAUAAUAUCGUAAUUAUAACUAUGAUAUACAAAUAACUAAAUCUUCUUCAUCCUUGAAAACCAAUCAUCAAAAAGCCGAAAACUCUUUGCCUUGUUACCUCAAGGAACAUUCUGUUAGCUUUACUGUCCAUCGAGGGUAAAGAAACUGUUGAGCAUCAGCAAAACCUUUGGAGGGGUAAGCAAUGUCUAUUGAUGGGGGCGAUGGAAAUGAAGUCGAUGGAUUAGAAGAUAAAAAUCAUGGCUGAUUUUAACAACUUUUAUUUUUACCGAAAGAGUAAGUGACACCUGCUAAAUUUAAUUACCCAAAACUUAUCUUGCAUUCUUGAUGGAAAAUUUUCAAAAAUUCAAUAGAAUAGAUAUUAAGAAAAAUAAACCCACAAAUUCUUCCUUUUAUAUUUUCUUUCUAACUUUUUUUUUACAUAACUAUAGGUGUCUUCGUUCAUUUUAUAGUGUUAAUAUAAUCUUCUUUUAACCAGAAUGAUUUUUUACAUAACUAUAGGUGUCUUCAUUCAUUUUAUAGUGUUAAUAUAAUCUUCUUUUAACCGGAAUGAUGUUCACGUAAAGCCCUCCCAACAAUGUAACUCCCAAAGCUGGACUUUGUCUUAUUACCUGACAAAACCACUUCCAGUUCUUUCAAAUACUUGCUGGAAUUUGUCUUUUUUUAAUUCUACCAACAUUAGUAACUUUUAGUACUGUUUCAUUUUAGGCUUAAUGCACACUUUAGUCCUUGAACUACAUCAUUUUUUUCAUUUUGAUCCUUAAAGUUUUUUUGACCCACUUGUUGUUCCAAUAGGGUCGGAAGCGUGUAAAUUAUUGUACUAAAAAAUCACACAAAGUUCAAUUCCCAGGGAAGAGAGGUGGAUCACAAGGAUCUCUUAAAUACCAAGUCUUUCCUUAGACAGAAUAUCCCUUCUAUAGUAAUUUAAUAGCACAAUUAAAUACUACUAUUAUACCCUCAAAUAUUGAAAGAAAAAUAGGACAAGAAAGAACACAAGAGUUUUAACGAGGUUCGGUAAAUUAUACCUACGUCCUCGGGCACUAACACCAGAUGAUAACUUUACUAUCUUCAAAGUAUUACAAACAAAUAGAAUUCCUUAAGAAUUCUCAAAUGGGAGAAGAGAGAAAACUAAGAGAGAAAGAUUGGUUGGGAUGAAUUGAAAUGAGAAAUGAGAAGGCCUAUUUAUAGUUGAGGUUUAAGGACCAAACAAUAAAUAGCCCAUUAUCUCAAGGACCAAAAAAAAAUUAUCCCAUGCCACUUUUUCAAAGUCAAAUUUAGGGUGCUAAACUUGCACCACUUUGUAUUGUUUGCCAUUAAUGUUGUCUCCCAUUAAUGUUAACAAUCUCCACCUUGAAGAUUUGAUUAGGAUAAUCACAUCUUCACACACUUCCUUCAACUCCCCAAAUUCGAUAAAGCUAUCUUUUGUAGUGCCUACAAAUGCACUCUCGGGCGCCAUACACCUGAAGGUGCUCAAAUUCUCAGGAUGUUAAUCAAGUUCAAACAAUGAUUAAACUUGAUUGUUGUUACCACCUUGGUCAUCAUAUCUGCGGGAUUAUCUGCUGUCGGAAUCUUCUGAAGUAGAAUUUUUCCUUUUUCAAAGACUUCCCGCACAAAGUGAUAUCUUACGUCGAUAUGCUUGGUUCUUGAAUGAUAGACUUGAUUUUUCGCUAAAUGAAUAGCGCUCUGACUGUCACAAUAUAAACUUAUGUGACUUUGAACAACUCCUAAGUCUUUCAACAAUCCAUUAAGCCAAAUAGCCUCCUUAACAGCUUCUGUAACUGCCAUAUAUUCUGCCUCUGUAGUAGACACAGCUACUGUAGACUGUAAGGUAGACUUCCAACUUAUUGGGGCUUUCGCAAGAGUAAACAGAUACCCCGUAGUUGAACGACGUUUAUCUAAAUCACCAGCAAAGUCGGAAUCAACAUAUCCAACUACAAACUGACCAAGUGCUUCAUCCUGUUCAAAAAUUAAACCAACAUCUACGGUUUUUCGAAGAUACCGUAGAAUCCAUUUCACAGCUUGCCAAUGUCCUUUUCCAGGAUCAUGCAUAUACCUGCUCACAACUCCAACAGCUUGUGAAAUGUCAGGCCUCGUACACACCAUCGCAUACAUCAAACUCCCAACUGCAUUAGCAUAUGGGACUUUCGCCAUAUAUUCUCUUUCAUCUUCAGUCUUCGGAGAUAAUUGAGCACUAAGUUUCAAAUGAGAAGCAAGUGGGGUACUUACAUGUUUUGUGUUUUCAUUUACACCAAAACAUUGUAAUACCUUUUUCAGAUAUUGCUUCUGAUUUAAACAGAGCUUGCCUCUCGGUCUAUCUCUACUUAUCUCCAUGCCGAGAAUCUUCUUGGCCUCACCUAGAUCUUUCAUCUCGAACUCUUGAUUCAACUGAGCCUUCAGCUUAUCUAUCUCAUUUUGGCUCUUCGAAGCGAUUAACAUAUCAUCAACAUACAAGAGUAGAUAAAUGAAAGAUCCGUCAUGCAGCUUCUGCAAAUAUACACAAUUGUCAUAUUUGCUUCUUGUGUACUUCUGCCUUCUCAUAAAGCUAUCAAAUCGCUUGUACCACUGCCUCGGGGAUUGCUUCAAUCCAUAUAGCGAUUUGUUAAGCUUACAAACCCAAUUUCUACCACCAGCAUCUGUGUAUCCUUCUGGCUGAGUCAUAUAGAUCUCCUCUUCUAACUCACCAUGCAAGAAAGCCGUCUUAACAUCAAGUUGAGCUAGCUCCAAAUUCAACUGUGCUACCAAGGCCAACAAAAUUCUAAUGGAGGAAUGCUUCACAACAGGGGAAAAUACAUCAUUGUAGUCAAUUCCCUCCUUCUGAGCGUAGCCUUUAGCUACCAAUCUUGCCUUGUAGCGAAUAUCCUUCUUGCUAGGAGAUCCAUCUUUCUUUGCGAAUACCCACUUGCAUCCGAUUGCCCUUUUACCUUUCGGUAAUUGCGCCAACUCCCAAGUAUUAUUCUUCCGGAGAGACUGCAUUUCUUCAUCCAUGGCGCUUUUCCAUUUAUCACUUUCUAAGCUUUGCAUUGCUUCUUGAUAAGUGAUAGGAAUAUCAUCAACAACGGGAAGGGCGUAGGCCACUAUAUCAGUAAAUCGAGCAGGUUUACGAAUUUCUCUCCGUGGCCUUGCAACUGCAACUGGUUCUGGUGUACUUAGUGGUUCUUGGGUCAGAACCUCUUCAACCUCUAAUUCCUCCAUUGUGGCUGGAGAAUUAGACUUAUUAACUGGGCAAAUCCCCAUCUGCUCAAACUCCACCUGUUUUGGAGUACACUCCACCUGCUGUGGAGUAUUGCUCGUCUGAAUAUCUUUAUCUGCUACCUUUUUCAAUGUGGUAGAUUCAUCAAAGGUAACAUCUCUGCUACAGAUCAUUUUCUUUGUGCUUAAGCACCAAAGACGAAAUCCCUUCACUCCAGAAGUGAUUCCCAUAAAGAGAGCUUUCUUUGCCCUCGGAUCUAACUUUGACUCCUUCACAUGGUAAUAUGCAGUGGUUCCAAACACAUGUAAGGAAUCAUAAUCUGUAGCCGGUUUUCCAGACCAUACCUCCAUAGGAGUUUUUCUUUCUAAUGCAGAUGAUGGCAAAC
rnacentral:lncRNA from 1 species